UCAUCAGAAAGGAUAUAAAUCUCAAUCAGCAGACACUACAAAAGUGCCUCUUCAGACGACCGUCGUGAGAAUUUGACAUCCAUAUCAUCAACUGAAUCAUGUCACACACUCUCCGCUCCGUCUCAUUCAUUUAUAUUUUAUUCGGAAACUAAUUUCGACAUCAAUAUAUCAAAUUUUACAAACUAAAGAUACAAGCUCAGAUAAUUGCACCAGCAUUUCACUGACAAAGUCUCAUAAGUCCAGACAUAAAUUAAGAGCAAAAUCAUCAUCGCUAAUCACAACUUAAUCCUUAAUUAACACCAAGCAAUCAAAUUAAUCUCAGAUAAGCUCCACAUUGUGGAUUUUAUACAGACAAUCAACAUGGCAUCAGUUCAGACCGCCCGUCUGCUUUUUAUCCUCAUCGAAAUAAUCAACAAAUACACAAAAUUAAAUCAAUAAAUAAAUUAUUAACGGGAAAGCAUCAGAUAAUAAGCGGAGUUUUGUUCCACAUAAUAUUUCAGUGGUUAAGCAUAAAAACAAUUUUAACAUCACUUGCUUUCCCCUUAAGAAAAUAAUUCAAAAAUUGAAAAUUAUUAAAAUGAAUAGGCAUCAGAGAAUAAUUUGAGAAUAGUUAUCAACACAAACAAUCAGUGUGUAGGAUAAGAUUAAACAUCAUAUGCCAUAAAAAAAUAUAAUAAUUAAACACGCUCACGCACCCAAACAAUUUAAACCACCCGAACUCUCGACUUCCGAUAAGCGGAGAGAAUAUAUGUUAUGCAUAUAUAGGAAGGUCCAUUUGACUCCAGUGCUAAACUAAUAGAAGCAAAGGGUUGGUAAGCCAUCCUGAAGAUCGAUAUAUGCACCAGUUAUAUCUCCUUGUGUAUACAUACAGAUUUUUCACAAAGAGAGGGUAAACCAGAUGCAAAUACAUAACAAUAUAUGUUAUUCAUUUUAGAAAAAAUAAGGCUGAUUUCUAAUAAUCAUAUUCAUACCUCAGAGGCGGAGGGAUGAAUAAGAAAAGGCAAGGGAAGGUGAUAUAUAUAGGGAUUGAUUUGGAGCUAGCCAACUAGGGUUUAGUAAGCCCAUGGAUUGGGUUUUGGGCUUGGCAUAUAAAUCUGUUCAUGAGCCCACUUCACAGGCCCACGGUUCUACAACCCAACACUAGCACUCUAUCAUUACACUAUUAUUAAAAUUAAAAUAUUAAAAAAAUUAUUAUUAAGCGGAAACAUUAAAAAUUUAAGUCGUUUAGCUGGUAUUUGGUCUACAACCAAAUUUCAGAAAGAGUAAAGAAAAUUGAAAGAUAAAAUUUUUUGAAAUUGUAUAUUUAUUAUUAAUUAAUUAAUUAAAAAAGAUGUUAUGCACAUAAAAUCUAAUUAGACCCAAUACAAAUUAAUUUUAAAAUUCUAGUCAAGUAUCAGACAUAUUUUAGGAUAACUUAAAACCACAGUCUAAGAGCAUCUUCAACGGUGUUGGCUAUAAUAGUUGGCUAAAUUGGACCUGUGAGACAUUAUGUAAAAUUUGCUGAACCUGUAAAACAUUUUGCUACAAUGGUACUGGCUAUAUUGGUUGGUUAUAAUUUAAAAAUAGUAUGUUAUUAAUAUUUUAAAUUGUAAAAAUAGAAUAUAUCAGUUCAAUAUGGUAAUAAAUGAUGUACAAUCUUCCUACAGAUUUUCUUACAGACCUGUAGAGGUUCGAUAAAUUUAGCCAUCCAUAGGAGGUUGGCUCAUGGUUGGAGUUGAAAUCUUUUUAUUUUAAGUAUGCCAACUCAUCUUUAGCCAAGUGCUUUAGAUGGUUGAAGAUGCUCUAAAUAGUCUAAAAUUUCAAUACAUUUUUCAUAUAUCUGGAUUUAAGGAAAGGAAAGUAUUAGCUAUGCAAAAACCUUUCUCAAAAUUUUCCCAAAUUACAUAUUAUAUUUUAUUAUCGGAUAUAUUAUCAAUUAACAGACAUACACAUACUCCCUGCAUAGUGCAUACCAUAUUAACAUUACCUAUUUGGAAAAAAAAAAAUGGGAAAAAUUGGAUACCUUUCCCGAAAGAAAAAAAAAAAAGAGAUCCUUAAAAGAAACAACUGAAUACACCCACAAAUUCUUAACCCUACGUGACAAAAAAAAUAAUUCUUAACCCUACGAAACUCCUGCCCAGAAGAUCUUAAAGUUUUUUCGAUGAAGAAUGUGAACUUUUACAUACCAGAUGAAGUAUGGGAACAGAUUUUUUUACGCGAGCCAGUGGAGACACUUAUACGAUGGAAGUGUGUUUGUAAAAAAUGGAACCGAAUCAUCAGCGACAAGUCCUUCAUCAAAGACUAUGGUCUCCAUCAAAAAACAUCCCAAAACACACGUAAAUAUUUACUCCUCAACUACUGUGAUCGCAAAAUAGAUUCAGCCCUUCCGAGCCCUUUUAAUUAUCGGGAUCAUCCACGACUCCAUCGACUUAGGAUCGGGCACUAUGAUUCCUGCUACUCAGCAGGCCUCAUCGAUAGAAAUUCAUCAUAUAAUGUUCUCGAAUAUUACAAUGACAUAUUUUGCAGAGAUCUCACUAGAUGUUGUCUAGAGGUUUACGGUAUUUGUGAUGGUUUAUUAUGUUUGGCUGUUCAUGCCAAUUAUUUACGCGAUGAUUUUCCUAUAUUUUUAUAUAAUCCGUUCAUCAGAAAGGGGAAGAAACUAAUUCCUCCUAGGCGUGCAGGUGCAGAUAACUUCACAUUGUUUGUUUCGUUGUGUUUCGGGUUUCACGAUGAUGAUUACAAAGUACUCAGGGUUCUUGCAUUUCAGAAUAGGUACGAGAUUUAUGUUUAUAGUCUGAACACCGAUAGUUGGAAGUUUGUGAAAGCUGAGGUUAAUAUUGAAGAUGGAGGGAGCUUGGAAAAAUUUAAUGUUCUGCCGUACCCUAAGGCCAGAUUAGUAAAAGGUGUCGCGUAUUUCAUACAAGGUAACAGAAUUAUAUCAUAUGAUCUCGAUGAUGAGAAAAUCAGGAAAAUACAAUUGCCGGGAGAUAUGAGUUCUGCUACCCAUGUUAUCAUGGAAGAAUACGGAGAAUCAAUAGCUCUAAUCGGAUCUAAUGCUCAAUUUUACAAUACCUAUAAUGUCUGGGCUAUUGGCUAUGGUGUGGUGAUGUGGGUACUGAAACAGAGUGACAACUCUAAUAUAUGGGAAAAAAAGUUCGAUAUCAGAGGGGGAGGAAUUAAUAAGCAUCGGUGGAUCCUUUAUCCUGUUGUGCAAGCUAUGGGAGGCUUCGUUAAUAACAAUGAACUUGUGAUGAGGAAGUGGAAGAUUUACGGUGAUAAAUAUCUGCAUCGUGAGUAUUUUCUGUUCAACGUAGAAACUGGAUUUCAAAAACAAAUUUCAAGACCACGCGAACAAGCAAGAGGAGAAUUUUAACAGAGAAUAAAUAUUUUGACGGAAAGCCUGGUUCUACUCACUGAAACUACCAUGCCUCCUUUUCCGUCCCUUGAAGUUGCAGCGACGCUGCUGGGCUGUAACAACAGCAGAUGAAUGCAUAUCAGUUAACACAAGCUGUGUGAUUCAUAUGAAUUUUAUUUCAAUCUGCAUAGAUAUGCUUCUUAUAUAAUUUUUUUCGGAUCUUGUUAGAGAUCGUAUAUUUACAUAAGUAGUUUACAUCUUCCUGCACAACUUUAGAAUCUCGUCAUAAAACUUGUUUAAUUUCUUCUCUCUUUUUCUUGGAAUCCAAAAAUGGUCAGCUCUAUUUCUGCCUCAAAACGAAGGUGAGAUUUCGCUCCAUUAGUGCUGCAAAAACUUUGAAAAUUUGUACAACACAUUAGCUUUUAUCUAUCAUUUUCUCAUCUGCUCUGCACUUAAACAAGUUUGCUUUAAGACUUCUUCUACAAACAGCUAAUCCUGAACUAGGAUUAGAAAACAACUGAAAUUAAUUAUGGAUAUCACUAACGAUUAUAUUAAUCGGGCCUUAGAUAUUUUCUUACUCAUUCUUAACUAAAAGUUAGGAUUUGAAAUAAAUUCUUUUUCUAUUAAUUGAAUUCAGUCGCGACCAGGACCUUGGCUAGUCAGUCUUGGUUCCGCCACCGUUUAGAGAACAUAAUUGCUUAAAAAGACCUACUUAAAAUCAACAGGCUCGCGCUUGACUUCGGCAAAAAUUGGUUCACGAGAACAAUCAGAUUCGUUUUUAAAGUAAUUUUGCUGCUGGGUUUAGAAGCGACUGUCGCAUGGCCUGUUAAGUUCAGAAAGUUAUAACAAAAUAAAAUUUGAGAAGUAGCAGAAUACAAUAACCUGUAACAUUUGGUUCCAUCAAGUUGCAUGUGAGUCUGUGACGGCAGGGACGGAAUUCCCGCGGAGAGGGGGGGGAGGGUCCUCCACAAACUAGGGUGGCGGGGGAUGGUCCUCCACAAACUAAUGAUUUUGAUGGUCCUUUCAAAUAUAUAUAGAAAUCUCAUGUAAAUUUAAAUUUUGUACAUACAAAUUCAUGCAUUGUCAAUAAAAUCUAGAUUGUCCAAAUAUAUUUUUUGCAUAGAAAUUUCCACCCCUCUAAUUUUAUUUUUUUGUGGUUUCGUCUAUGUGUGAUGGAUUGAGCAAUUUCUCCCCUUUUCAAUUGUCAUGAACAUGAGUGGUGAUCAGCACUGUAGCUUCUCUACAGCUCAUUCACUGGAAUUUAAAAGAGAUCAUGAAGAGGGUAAUUAGUGUCGUCAUAGUUAGAUAAUUAAGUACUACGUCACCUAGACGUCUUCCCUAUUUUUCUCGGGAGAUACUUCCGUCUUUCGUAUUACAAAUUGUAUUGAAAUAUAGGCCCUGUUUGGAAAAUUGAGCUUUGAAGCAAAAUUAGUGGUUUGAGAUGUUUUAGAAGUUUGAUCACUAAAAUAAGCUAAUAUUAGUGUUUGGUAGUUAGUAGAUUGAAAUAGAAUUUUGGAUCCAAAAAGCUAAUUUUGGAAAAGCUACUUUGAGGAGUUUUUUGGAUUAGCGGUUUUGGUUUGUGUCAGAAAAAACUAAUCAAUCAGCUAUUUACCAAACAGUUUUACGAAAAACAGCUAAUUCGAUCCGCUAGUCAAAACAUUUAAUUCAAUCAGCUAGUCAAAAGUUAACUUGAUCCGCUAACAACUAACCGCUAAUUCCCAAACAGGGCCAUAAUAUUUUCGUGUAUUUAUAAUCUAAAUUAUUAACACAUCCUCAACUCCCCUCCCCCACACAAAUAUAUUAUAGGAUGGACAUCUGGGUGUUGACCACAUAACAAAAACUAAUAUUUUUAUAAUUUAUUAAAUUAAAAUGUAGCAUAAAUAUUUUUAUUUCGAUUUUUUUUUUAAAAAGUAACUAUUUUAGAUAUGUGGUCAAAUCUCCUAAAAAUGCGUGUAAAAAGUCAAAUGACUUAUAUAGCGGAUGAGAAAAAAUAUUUGUUAAGGAAGUAGAAAAGAAUUGAUUAACAUAUAAUUAUGCCUAAAAUUUGUUCGAUUUAAAUAGAAACUAACACUAUUAUUUGAGUCCCGAAUAUACACGACCAGGGCAUGCUUAUAAGACAAUAUCCUGAUAAAACCCUACCAGAAGUUUUUGAGGUGUACUUAAACCCUAGGAAACUCCUGCCAAGAAAAUCUUUGAAUCUUUUCAAUGACGAAUGCGAAUUAUUACAUACCAGAUGAAUUGUGGGAAAAGAUUUUGUUACGGCAGCCAGUGGAGUCACUUAUACGAUGGAAGUGUGUUUGUAAAUCAUGGAAUCGAAUUGUAAAUCAUGGAAUCGAAUCAUCAGCGACAAGUCCUUCAUCAAAUACUAUGGUCUCUAUCAAAAAACAUCCGAAAACACGCGUAAAUAUUUACUACUCGACUACGAUUAUUCCUACUACUUAGCAGCCCUAAUUGAUAGAAAAUCAUAUAAUGUUCUCAGAUAUUACAAUGACAUAUGUGGCAGAGAUCGCAGUAGAUAUUGUUUAGAGGUUUAUGGUAUUUGUGAUGGUUUAUUAUGUUUGGCUCGUCGUCUCUAUAAUUUAUGCAGUAAUUUUCCUAUAUUUUUAUAUAAUCCGUUCAUCAGAAAAGGGAAGAAACUGAUUCCUCCUUGGUAUGCAGAUUACUCCACAUUGUCUGUUUCUUUGUGUUUCGGGUUUCACGAUGAUGAUUACAAACUACUCAGGGUUCAAUCUUUUCAGAAUAUGUACGAGAUUUAUAUUUAUAGUUUGAAUACCGAUAGUUGGAAGUCUGUGAAAGUUGAGGUUAAUAUUGAAGAUAGAGGGAACUUGGGUUAUUCUGAUGUUUUGCCGUACCCUAAGGCCAAAUUAGUAAACGGUGUCGCGUAUUUCAUACAAGGUAACAGAAUUAUAUCAUAUGAUCUGGAUAAUGAGAAAAUCCGAGAAAUGCAAUUGCCUACAGAUAUUGGUUUCGUUCCCAAUGUUAUCAUGGAAGAAUACGGAGAAUCAAUAGCUCUAAUCGGAUCUUCUCCACAAAAUAUCAAUAAUGGCGUGGCUAUUACCUAUGGUGUGGCGAUGUGGGUACUGAAACAGAGUAACAACUCUUAUUUAUGGGAAAAGAAGUUUGAUAUGAAAGUUGAAGGAAAUGUUGAGGCUCGGCGGAUUUUUAAUCCUGCUGUGAAAGCUAUAGGAGGCUUCUUUAAUAACAAUGAACUUGUGAUGAGGAAGUGGAAGAUUGACUGUUAUCAAAAACGACAUCACGAGUAUUUUCUGUUCAACAUAGAAACUGGAUUACAAAAACAAUUUCCAGGACCACGCGGACAAGCAGCAGGAUUUAUACGGAGAAUAAAUAUUUUGACAGAAAGCCUGGUUCUACUCACUUAAUCUACCAUGCCUCAUUUUCCAUCCCUUGAAGUUGGCGGCACUGCUUGGCUGUAAUAACAGCAGAUGAAUGCAUAUCGUUAAUACAAGCUGUGAUUCAUAUAGAUGUUAUUUCAAUAUUCAUAGAUAUGCUUCUUUUAUAAUAAUUUUUUCGGAUCUUGUUAAACGUCUUGCAUUUACCAUGCUUCGUUUUCCUUUCCUUGAAUUCGCAGCGGCGUUGUUGGGCUGUAAUCUAAGUGGCGAUUCAUAUAAAUGUUACUUCAAUCUGCAUAAGCAUCGUAUUUAAUUGUUUCGGAUCUUGCUGGACAACAUGGUACAUUUAUUAGAGUAAUUUAUCUUCCUGCACAACUCUACUCCCUCCAUCCAGCCAAUAAGCCAAUAGUAUACAUUGAGGACGGGGAAUACGGCACGGAUGUUAUAUAUUACUUCAAUAUAAUAUAAUUCUACAACUUAUUUUUAAAAAAAAAUUCUGUAUAAAAAUAUUAUGUUUAUAUUUUCACCAAAAAGGAAAAUUUUAAAGAUAAGUUAUGAAAUCAUAUUUUAUAAGUGUUUUAAAAAACGUGUCGAGCAGCGAAAAACAAACGUAUAGUAUAGAAUUGAACCGAACGGAGGGAGUGUAUGAUUUGAUAAUUGACUUGCACAAAAGUUGGUUCACAACAUAAAUAUUCUGGGAUUUCAUCUCUGAGUGCAGUGGAAGUUUUGUGCCUUAUGCUUUCGAGCUGACUCUGCGCAAAUGUGAAGAGCUACAAGUCUAGAUAGAUUUUUAAAAUUUGAACAAGAAAUUUAUAUUUGAAUGUUGAAGAUCAGUCGGAACUUAAAUAAAAAGAAUUAUAAAAUCAAGAAUAAAAUCUGAUAAUUAUUAAAAAAAUAAUAUUAUUAUAUUUUUAUAUAUAUGUAGCCCGUGUUAAUGGUAGAACAUCCGUUUUUUUAGUUAGAAUACAUUAAAAAGAUAAUGUAUUUUAGUUAAAAAAGUAAUUACUAUCUUCCUCGAUGUUAUUUUAAAUAAUGGAGUUUUUUUAGUUAGAAAGUUUAAAAAAUGAUAACAUAUUUUAGUUAAAAAGAAUAAUUGGUAAACCAAUAGCCGUAUUUUGGCCCAGGUACCGACCGACCAAAAUUUCAAUGUUUCGGUUUUAAUAGUAUAAAUGUGUAUAUAUUUUUCAAGGUUUGAUUUUAGUUUUUGGUAUAAUCAAAUAGGCCUUAUAUCUGUUUUAUGUUUUGAUCUUAUAUUUGUUUUAUAUAUUGAUUUGUUUAUAUUAUGUUUGAAACUCACUAAUUUUUUUUGAAGCCCACUGAUUAUAAAAGUUCGUAUAAAAGCCCGCAUACCGACCGACCAAACUUUUAAUGUUUCGGCUUUAAUAGUAUAGUAUAGUAUUUUUUUUAAGGUUUGACUUUAGUUUUGGUAUAGCCAAACAGGUCUUAUAUUUGUUUUAUAUUUUGAUCGUAUAUUUGUUUGAUGUCUUGAUUUGUUUAUAUAUUAUUUGAAACCCACUAAUUUUGUUUGAAGUCCGCUAAUUUGAAAAAUCCGUCUAAAAGCCCGCGUACCGACCGACCAAAUUUUUAAUAUUUCGGCCUUUGUUUGAAGCCCGGUAAUUUGAAAAGUCCGUCCAAAAGCCCGCGUACCGACCGACCUAACUUUUAAUGCCUUUGUUUGGAGCCCGGUAAUUUGAAAAGUCCGUCCAAAAGCCCGCGUACCGACCGACCUAACUUUUAAUGUUUCGGCUUUAAUAGUACUAGCUUAUAACCCGUGCAACGCACGGGCGGUUAUAAUAUUUGUUUUUUUACUGUAUAUAUUUUAAAAUUUAACUAAUUUUAUUUUGAAAAUAAAAUUAUGAUUGAAUAGUAUGAUUAAAUCAAUUUUUUAUGUAACAGUUGAAUAAAUUCUUAGUAGUUAAGUUUGUCAAAUAGCUAAUUAAAAAAUUACGUCGAACAUAUAUAUUUUAAUGAGUAUGUUAACUUUUUUUUUGUAUGUUAUAAUUUAAGAAGACCUGUAAACCCAGAUAUAUAUCAAUCAAUCAAUCAAUAUUACGUUAUUAAUGAUUAAUAAUAUCAUAUAAAAUAUAUUAUAAGUUAAACAGACGCGUAAAUCCAAAUAUCGACCCAUCAUACUGAUCUAAUUUAUAAUAUUUUAGUCUAAUUGGAAAAUAAAAAAUAAAUUAUAAUAUGUUAUAAAUUAAAAAGGUCCGGGGGUCGAAUACCAACAACCUCGCCAAACUCGACCUACCGACCAACAACUUUUCCUAUUUCGGCUUUAGUGAUAUAAUGAUAUAAGUAUAAUAUAGAUUUAUAAUAUUACUUUUAAAUUGAGAUCAUUAGAGUAUUUAAAUAUAAUGUUAAUGUAUUUUAAUUGAAAAAUAUCACCGGUUAUUUAUUAAUAAUUAUAUAUAAUAAUAUUAUAGUUUUAUGUAUGUGUCGCCCGUGUUAAUCGUAAAGCAUCUGUCUUUUUAAGUUAGAAAAUCUAAAUAAAACAAUGUGUUUUAGUUAGAAAGGAAAUUACUAUGUUGCUCUAUGUUAUUUUAGAAGAUUAAGUUAUUUUAGUUAGAAAAUAUAAAGAAGAUAAUCUUUAUUAAUUAAAAAGAAUAAUUGAUUAAAUAAAUAGGUCGUAUUUCGGGCCAUGUAUCGACUAAUGUUUUACCUUUAAUAAUACGGUUUUUCUAGUUGGCCCAUGGGCACAUGCUAAGCACCAACUCUCAUGAAAAUGGCUUAAUUUGAUUGGUGGAAUUGGUGUGAAUGCAGGGGGGCCAUCAACAUUUAUUAUUCAUCCACCAAUCAAAAGUUAGUAUUCUCAUGGGAGUUAGUGACUAUUGUGUGCCCAUGGGCACACCAUAGAAAAUUCGUUAAUAAUAUAGUGUGGAUAUAUAAUAAUAAUGUAUUUUUUAUACGUAUGUUCCAUGUGUUAUGUUUAGAAAAAACCGUUUUUAGUUAGGAUUGUGAAAAAGAUAAUGUAUUUUAGUUAGAAAGGGUAAUUGCCAUGUUGAACAAUAUUAUUUUUAAAAAAUUGAGUUUUUUUAGUUAGAAAAUAUAAAAAAGAUAAUAGUUUUAGUUAAAAAGGAUGCUUGAUUAUAUGAAUAGGCCCAUAACUCGGCACAAGUACCGACCGAUCAAAUUUUUAAUGUUUCAGUUUUAAUAAUACUGACCGAUCAAAUUUUUAAUGUUUCAGUUUUAAUAAUACUAGCUUAUAGCCCGUGCAAGGCACGGGAGCUUUUUAAUUAUUUAUAAAUUUUUUAAAUAUAUUUUAAAUGGUGUGAAAAAAUUUAAUUUAUAGAUAAUAAAUUAAAAUUGUAUGUAUCAUGUCAAUGUAUUAAAUUCUUUCUAUCAAAUUUUAAAUUAUUUUAAGUAGAAUAUGUGACGCCAACUCCUAUUAGAUUAUAUUUAUAAAUUUAUUUUAUAUUAGAAUUAUUAUAAUGUGAUUUAGAUAAUUUUCUAAAAAAUUUUAUGGUUCGAGAUUAAAAUUGAUAAACACAAUUUGUUUUGAAUUAAGAAGAUGAAUCAUAAACAUGCAAUAAGAUGGUAGAAUUUGCUUUGGAUUAAGAAAAAGUUUUUGUAUUCGUUCCUCACAUAAAUCGGGCUUAUUAAUUUUGAAAUAUAUUAGAUAAAAAUAAUUUUGUGACGGUGCGAUUUAUAUGAUUCUACAAAUAAAAUUGGUAGAAAUUAUUUAUUUUGGAUUAAAAAAAAUCAUAAACACGUGAAGUACAAAAUUUGUUUUGGAUUUAGAAAAGGAAUUAUAAACAUGUAAGUAGAUAUCAGUUGUCUUAUGGAACAGAAGUUAAUUUUGUUAUAAUCUACCGGUGCUUAUUUGUUCAAUAUAGGAUCCGAUGGAUAAAAAUAAUUUUUUGACGGUGUGAUUUAUACGAUUCUAUAAUUAAAAUUUGUAGGAAAUAUUUAUUUUGGAUUAAAAAAACCAAAAACACAUCAUAAUUUGUUUUGGAUUCGGAAAAAGAAUUAUAAACAUGCAAAUAGAUGUCAGUUUCCUUAUAUAACAGAAUUUAAUUUUGUUCUAAUCUAACGGUGUUUAUUUGUUCAAUAUACGAUCCACCGAAUGAUAAGCUUUUGGACCAUAGGACCAUGCGACCAAAUUAUCUCCCUUACGCUUAUUAUAUAUAAGUAUAUAAUAUAAUAUAAUAGUAUAGAUAGAUAGUAUAGAUAGAUAAGUAUAGAUUAAUAUAAUUAUGAGUUAAUUUGCUCAAUUUAAAUAAAAACUAACAGUAUUAUUUGAGUCCCGAGUAUACACGAUCAGGGAAUGCUUAGAAGACGGUAUCCUGAUAAAACCCUACCACUAACUCGGAAUUUUUUGAGAGAAGAAAAUACUUAAACCCCACGAAACUCCUGCCAAGAAAUUUUUCUGAAUCUUUUCGAUGAAGACUGCGAACUAUUACAUACCAGAUGAAUUGUGGGAACAGAUCCUUUUACGGCAGCCAGUGGAGACACUUAUACGAUGGAAGUGUGUUUGUAAAUCAUGGAAUCGAAUCAUUAGCGACAAGUCCUUCGUCAAAGCCUAUGGUCUCCAUCAAAAAACAUCCGAAAACACGCGUAAGUAUUUACUACUCGACUACGAUUAUUCCUACUACUCAGCAGGCCUCAUUGAUAGAAAAUCAUAUAAUGUUCUCGGAUAUUACAAUGACAUAUGUUGCAGAGAUCGCAGUAGAUAUGGUUUAGAGGUUUACGGUAUUUGUGAUGGUUUAUUAUGUUUGGCUGGUCGUUUCUAUGAUAUAUGCAAUGAUUUUCCUAUUUUUUUAUAUAAUCCGUUCAUCAGAAAAGGGAAGAAACUGGUUCCUCCUAGGCGUGCAGCUAACUACUUAUGUCCUGUUUCUUUGUGUUUCGGGUUUCACGAUGAUGAUUACAAACUAGUCAGGGUUCAAUCAUUUUGGAAUCUGUGCGAAAUUUGUAUUUACAGUUUGAAUACCGAUAGUUGGAAGUCUGUGAAAAUUGAGGUUAAUAUUGAAGAUGAAGGUAACUUCAGAUGUAUUGGUAUUUUGCCGUACCCCAAGGCCAGAUUAGUAAACGGUGUCGCGUAUUUCAUACAACAUGACAUACAAGGUGACAGAAUUAUAUCAUAUGAUCUUGAUAAUGAGAAAACCCGAAAAAUGCAAUUGCCUACAGAUAUUGGUUCCGUUGCCCAUGUUAUCAUGGAAGAAUACGGAGAAUCAAUAGCUCUAAUCGGAUCUACUUCUCAAAAUAUCAAUAAUGGCGUGGAUAUUGGAUAUGACGUGGCUAUUGACUAUGGUGUGGCGAUGUGGGUACUGAAACAGAGUGACAACUCUAAUGUUGUGUUUGGUUGGGGUGAAUGAUUCCGGAAGGAAUGGAAUGAAAAAUGAACUAUAUUAUGAACUAUUUUUAAGAAAUUUCAUUCCUUCCUCCAUUCCAUUCUCUACCUCAUGUGCUAGAUAUCACUCCUUCAAUUUGAGAUGGAAUGCUCCAUUCUCUCCUAUCCUCAAUUUCUUCUCAAUUUCAUCAUAACAAUUUUGCACUCUAUCAAAUUUUUUCCAAAACUUUCUUCUUAUCUCUAUUAGUUUCAAGUAUUUUUACUCAUUUCAUUCCAUUCCAUUCCAAUCUCCCCUACCAAACACAACAUAAUUUAUGGGAAAAAAAGUUCGAUGUGAAAGUGGGAGGAAUUAAUGAGCAUCGGGGGAUCCUUUAUCCUACUGUGCCAUUUAUGGGAGGCUUCGUUAAUAACAAUGAACUUGUGAUGAGGAAGUGGAUCAAGAUUAACUGUGAUCAAAAACUACAUCCUGAGUAUUUUCUGUUCAACAUAGAAACUGGAUUUCAAAAACAAUUUCCAAGACCACGCGAACAAGCAAGAGGAGGAUUUUUACAGAGAAUACAUAUUUUGACGGAAAGCCUGGUUCUACUCACUGAAUCUACCAUGCCUCCUUUUCCCGUCCCUUGAAUUUGAAGCAGCACCGCUUGGCUGUAAUAACAGCAGAUGAAUGCAUAUCGGUUAACACAAGCUGUGAUUCAUAUAGAUGUUAUUUCAAUCUUCAUAGAUAUGCUUCUUUUAUAAUUUGUUUCGGAUCUUGUUAAACAUCUUACACUUACCAUGCUUCAUUUUCCUUUCAAUUUGCAAAUAACAGCAUACGAUAUAUUUCUUCUAAUCUAAGUUGCGAUUCAUAUAAAUGUUACUUCAAUCUGCAUAGAUAGAUUAUCUGUAAGCAUCUGAUGUAAUUUUUUCGGAUCUUGUUGGACAUCAUGGUACAUUUAGAUAAGUAAUUUAUCUUCCUUCACUCCUCAGGAUUUCGUUCCAAAAAUUUGUUUAAUUUGUUUGCUCUGUAAAAAGUGCAAUGACACAGUACAUACGAAAAGUUCAUAGGGCGUUUGGUUCGCGCAAAAGAAACAGAAUAGAAAGCGACCUGAAUUGAUUUGCAGUCUGGUGUCUGCCCCGACUGGCAGCGGCUGGGUCUCGCCAUCUCUCCUGUUUGUUUCGAAUCUUGUUGGGAAAAUGGUACAUCUAGAUAAGUUGUAGUUUAUAUUUUGAUGCACGACCUUGUGACUGUUUGGUCCAAUCAAACUAGAGAAUCAACUUACAACUCUACUCCCUCCGUCCCUGCCAAUAGUAUACGUGUCGAGCAGUGAAAAAUAAACAUAUAGAAUUGAAUGGGACGGAGGGAGUAUAUGAUUUGAUAAUUGACUUGCACAAAAGUUGGUUCACAACAUAAAUAUUCUGGGAUUAUCUCUGAAUGUGAGAGUGCAGUGGAAGUUUUGUGCCUUAUGUUUGAGCUGACUCUGCGCAAAUGUGAAGAGCUACAAGUUUAGAUAUAUUUUUAAAUUUUGAACAAGAAAUUUAUAUUUGAAUGUUCAAGAUCAGUGGGAACUUAAAUAUAUAAAAGAAUUAUAAAAUCUGAUUAUUAUUAAGAAAAUAAUUAAAUUUUUAACUUAACAAGGGUUUAGUUUUAAUUAGUUUUUUCCUACAUCUGCGAAUUCAUAGAAAAUAAUGAAUUUUGGAAACAAAAUUAUUUGAUCUGCGUAAAGAUUUCUUUGUGAGCAAUUUACAUAUUUAAUCUGCGUAAGGAUGUAGUAUAUAUAUAAGUAGGCUCAUAAUUCGGUCUAAGUACCAACCGACCAAACUUUUAAUAUUUCGGUUUUAAUCAACACGACAGUAAGUAUAGACAAAUAUAAUUAUGAGUAAAAUUUGGUGAAUUUAAAUAAAAACUAACACUAUUAUUUGAGUCCCGAGUAUACACGAUCAGGGCAUGCUUAGAGCAUCUCCAACGGUGUUGGCUAUAAUCGUUGGCUAAAUUGGACCUGUAAGAAAUUAUGUAAAAUUUGCUGAACCUGUAAGAUAUUUUGCUUCAAUGGUAUUAGCUAUACUGGUUGGCUAUAAUUUAAAAAUAGUAUGUUAUUAAUAUUUUAGAUUGUUAAAAUAGAAUAUAUCAGUUUAAUACGGUAAUAAAUGAUGUGUAAUCUUCCUACAGAUUUCUUACAGACCUGUAGAGGUUCGACAAAUAUAGUCAUCCAUAGGAGGUUGGCUAAAAUUAUAGACAACAGAUUAGUGUGGUUGGAGUGCUAUUUUUUCAGGACGUUGGCUAUAUUUUUUAAAUUUGGAAUGCCAACUCAUUUUUUAGCCAAAGGUUUUGCAUGGUUGGAGAUGCUCUUAUAAGACGGUAUCCUGAUAAAACCCUACCAAUAACUAAGAAUUUUUUGAGAGAAGAAAAUACUUAAACCCUACGAAGCUCCUGCCAAGAAAUUUUUCUGAAUCUUUUCAAUGAAGACUGCGAACUAUUACAUACCAGAUGAAUUGUGGGAACAGAUCCUUUUACGGCAGCCAGUGGAGACACUUAUACGAUGCAAGUGUGUUUGCAAAUCAUGGAAUCGAAUCAUCAGCAACAAGUCCUUCAUCAAAGCCUAUGGUCUCCAUCAAAAAACAUCCCAAAACACACGUAAAUAUUUACUACUCGACUACGAUUAUUCCUACUACUCAGCAGCCCUAAUUGAUAGAAAAUCAUAUAAUGUUCUCAGAUAUUACAAUGACAUAUGUGGCAGAGAUCGCAGUACAUAUGGUUUAGAGGUUUACGGUAUUUGUGAUGGUUUAUUAUGUUUGGCUGUUCGUCCCAAUAAUUUAUGCUAUGAUUUUCCUGUUUUUUUAUAUAAUCCGUUCAUCAGAAAAGGGAAGAAACUGAUUCCUCCUUGGUGUGCAGAUUACUCCACAUUGUCUGUUUCUUUGUGUUUCGGGUUUCACGAUGAUGAUUACAAACUACUCAGGGUUCAAUCUUUUUGGAAUAUGUACGACAUUUAUAUUUAUAGUUUGAAUACCGAUAGUUGGAAGUCUGUGAAAGCUGAGAUUAAUAUUGAAGAUAGAGGGAACUUCAGAUGUUUUGAUAUUUUGCCGUACCCUAAGGCCAGAUUAGUAAAGGGGGUCGCGUAUUUCAUAGAAGGUGACAGAAUUAUAUCAUAUGAUCUGGAUAAUGAGAAAAUCCGAAAAAUGCAAUUCCCUGCAGAUAUUUUUGUCACCCGUGUUAUCAUGGAAGAAUACGGAUCAGAAUCACUAGCUCUAAUCGGAUAUACUUCUCAAAAUAUCAAUAAUGGUGUGGCUAAUGGAUAUAAUGUGGCUAUUUACCAUGGUGUGGCAAUGUGGGUACUGAAACAGAGUGACAACUCUAAUAUAUGGGAAAAGAAGUUCGAUAUCAAAGGGGGAGGGAAUAUUGAGGAUUGGCGGUUUUCUAAUUCUGCUGUUCAAGCUGUGGGAGGCUUCGUUAAUAACAAUGAACUUGUGAUGAGGAAGUGGAAGAUUAACUGUGAUAAAAAACGACAUCAUGAGUAUUUUCUGUUAAACAUAGAAACUGGAUUACAAAAACAAUUUCCAAGACCACGCGAACAGGCAGGAGGAGAAUUUUUAAAGAGAAUAAAUAUUUUGACGGAAAGCCUGGUUCUACUCACUGAAUCUACCAUGCCUCAUUUUCAGUCCCUUGAAUUUGAAACUGUUAGGCUGUAAUAACAGCAGGUGAAUGCAUAUUGGUUAACACAAGCUGUGAUUCAUAUAGAUGUUAUUUUAACCUUCAUAGAUAUGCUUCUUUUAUAAUUUUUUCGGAUCUUGUUAAACGUCUUACAUUUACCAAGCUUCGUUUUCCUUUCCUUGAAUUUGCAGCGGCGUUGUUGGGCUGUAAUAACAGCAUACGACAUAUUUCUUCUAAUCUAAGUUGCGAAGUUACUUCAAUCUGCAUAGAUAUCUAUUUGUAAGCAUUUGAUGUAAUUUUUUCGGAUCUUGUUGGACAUCAUGGUACAUUUAGAUAAUUAAUUUAUCUUCCUGCACAAACUGUAGAAUUUUGUUCCAAAAAUUCGUUUAAUUUGUUUGCUCUGUAAGAAGUGCAAUGACACAGUACAUACAACUCAGGAGGUUCAUACUUCUCACUCCUAAUACAUAGCGAUGUCAAUAUGUGAUGACACGGUACAUACAUUACAACUCAGAAGUUCAUAGGGCGUUUGGUUCGCGCAAAAGAAACAGAAUAAAGAGCAAAAUGAGCAGAGAGGAAAUGAAUGACUCUGAAUGAUUUACCUGUUUGGUUUUGUUUCAGAAAUGUGUUGAACACGAACAAUUGUGUGAUCCUUUUUGACUGUGUAGUUUGAAUUCAGCCGGGACCAUGACCUUGGCUAGCUGGUCUUGGUUCCCCCUUUACAAAAGGUAAUUUUUUUCUAAAGACCUGCUUAAAUCAACAGGCCCUUUAGUUUGACAAAGAGCACUCGACUUUGACAAAAAUUGGUUCACAGGAACAUAAAAAUCCUGCUUUCUUCCUGAAUAUGAAUGUGCAGCAGUGAUAAAGAAACGCCAUACUGCCAUACAUGAUCGGGGGCGGAUCUAAAAAUGUUUUUUUAGGAGGGUACCAAGCAAAUUUUUGAAAAAUAUCUAUAUAUUUUCAAAUAUUUAGAGAGGCAUUUAUAUAAAUUUGUAAAAUUUAGAAUGAUGAAAAAAUGUUAAAAAGAUAAUUCUCUCAUAUAUUUGUAAUUUAAUAUUUUCUCAUAAACUUAUCUUAAAAUAAAACAUAACUUCUAAUGAGUGCAUUAGUCUACAAGUUUUAAUUUUCUUUUUCCCUUCUAAUAUAUUGAUGAAUUAAUAAAUUAUAAAUAUACGAGUUAGAUGAAAAACGAACAUGACUAUUCAUGUCAUCAUCUAUCUAGGUCUCUCAAUAAUUAAAAAAAUAUUAUAAUUAUAAUACAUGUAAUUAUAGAAUAUAAAUGUGGAUCAAAAUUUGGUUAAUUGGGCCGAGUAAAAUAAAAAUAUUAGGCUCAUGUUUAUAUAAGACAAUAUCCUGGUAAAACCCUACCAUACACCAUCAGGCUCAUGCUUAUAUAAGACGAUGUCCCGGUAAAACCCUACCAAGAACCCCACAAUUUGAUCAAUGACAGGUAGAAGUUAUUUGAUACCAGAUGAAUUGUGGGAGAAGGUUUUUUUACCGCAACCAGUCAAGUCACUGAUCCAAUGGAAGUCUGUUUGUAAAUCAUGGAAUCGAAUCAUUACCAGCAAGUCCUUCAUCAAAGCCUACGGUGCCCAUCAAAAAAUAUCCGAAAACACGCGCAGAUAUCUUCUACUCAAUCACUGUGAUCACUAUUUAGAUUUAGGCCGUUCGAACCCAUUUAAUUAUAAAAAUUUCUUUCAAUGCCAUGACUUUGGAAUGGGGCACUAUGAUUCCUACUAUUCAGUAGGUCUCAUUGAUAGAAAUUCAUAUAAUGUUCUCGAAUAUUACGAUGACAUAUGUUGCAGAGAUCGGAAUGGAUGUUGUUUAGAGGUUUACGGUAUCUGUGAUGGUUUACUAUGUCUCUCAGUUCAUGACGAUUUUUUAUAUUUAAAUUAUCCGGUAUUUUUAUAUAAUCCGUUUAUCAGAAAAGGGAAGAAGCUGACUUCUCCUAGGCUUGGAUACGAGAACGAUUAUGGUAAACGGUGUGUUUCUUUGUGUUUCGGGUAUCACGAUGAUGAUUAUAAAGUAAUUAAGGUUCGUGCUUUUCCCGAUUUCUAUGAGAUUUAUAUUUAUAGUUUGAGCACCGAUACUUGGAAGUUUAUAAAAGUUGAGCCUACUUUUGAAGGUACGAGUACUGAAAGUUUUAAUAUUUGGCCGUACCCUAAGGCCAGAUUAGUUAACGGUGUGGCAUAUUUCAUUCAACGUAAUGAAAUGAUAUUGUUUGAUUUGGGCCGUGAGAAAUUCCAAAAAAAGCAAUUGCCUGAAGAUAUGAGUUCAGCUGCCCAUGUCAUCAUGGAAGAAUACGAAGAAUCAAUAGCUCUAAUCGGAUCCACUUCUCACAGUGUCAGGACUGUCUAUAAUGGUGUGGCUAUCGGAUGUGGUGUGGCGAUGUGGGUACUGAGACAGAGUGACAAGUCUUAUAUUUGGGAAAAAAAGUUCGAUGUGAAAAGGGAGGAAAAUGAUGAGAUGAUCACGUAUUUGCCCCCGGUCGUUUAUCCUUCUGUGCAAGCUAUGGGAGGCUUCGUUAAAAAAAAUGAAAUUGUGAUGAGGAGGUGGAACACUUUCAAGCUGGGUAAUUUUAUAGAUCGUGAUUAUUUUCUGUACAACAUAGAAACUGGAAUUGAAAAACAAUUUCAAAGACCACAUGAACGCGCAAGAGGAGGGUUUUUACAGAGAAUAAAUAUUUUGACGGAAAGCCUGGUUCUCCUCACUGAAACUACCAUGCCUCCUUUUCAGUCCCUUGAAGCUCCAGUGGCGCUGAUGGGCUGUAAUAACAACGUACGAAUGCAUAUCAGUUAAUCCAAGCUGCGAUUCAUAUAAAGGUUAUUUCAGUCUGCAUAAAUCUCUCUCUGAAAGCAUCUUAUAUAAUUUUAGAACAUUGUUCCUAAUAAAGCUUGUUUAGUUUGUUCCUCUCUUGUUUGUUUCAAAUCUUGUUUGAUGCACGAACUUAGAAUCUGUUUUCUAAAACUUGUUUAGUUUGUUUGCUCUGGACAAGUGAAUUGAUUUUCAUGUUUGGCUUUGUUCCAGAAACAUAAUGAACAGUUGUGAUUACCUUUGUGACUGCUUAGUUCGAUCAAACGAGAGAAUCAACUUACUACUCUAUGAUUUGAUGCUUGAUUUGUUCAAAUAUUGGUUCACAACAGCAUAAAAAUUCUGGGAUUUUAUCACUGAUGAAUAUGAAAGUGCAGUUAAAGUAUGUGAUUUUGUGCAUUACACUUUCGAGCUGACACUACGCAAAUGUGAAGAGAUACAAGUUUGAAUAAAUUUUUAAAAUUUGAAUUUAUAUUUGAAUGUUCAGGAUCAGUUGGGACUUAAAUAAAAAAAGUUAUUAAUUCAGGAUUAAAAUCUGAUUAAAACUAAAAAAGUCACUAAUAUUUUUGACUUAACCAUAUUUCCGUUUGGAUUAGUUUCCUCCUAGUUUCGCCGAUUCAUUGAAACAAUGUCAUUAAAGGACAACAUAAACUAUAUUAAAAAAAAAACUUAAAUAGAUUGUGACGGCGAUACAUGAAAUCACUAGGACAUUGUUGGAUAACUCUGUUUAUUAGAUAUCUAGUAUACACAUCAUAUAAGACAUAUUUUGGAUUUGCACUAAUAAUAUAGACAAUUAGGAAUAGUAAAAUUUUCUCAUAAUUUCUAAAAAUAUCGUUUAAAUAUCAGACAAAUGCCAUUUUGAUAAUUUUAGUUAAAGAUGACUACAUGAUGCUAAGAGUGCAUUAUCACAAGUAUUUAACACGAUUUUGAUACCCUGCAGGAAAUGCUCUUGCUUCUGGAUUUUCUCAGCAACUUAAGCAUCAUUCAACGAAUUAAAAUCCAAAAAAUGGUCGGCACUAAUUUUACCUCAAAAACAAAGGAGAGAUUUUGCCUCACUGGUACUGCAAAACUGAACAAUUUGUACUUCGGUGGUAUAUGAAGGAUGUCUACUUCUUUGUAUUGUUGAGUUCGUCUUUUUACGUAAAAAAAGAAUCUGUAAUUUUCAUGAAAAAUACAAAUAUUAACGAACAACAAGAACCUUCAGGAUUUUCAGAUUUUGGCCAUGAAAGCAGUCGUUUGAUAAACUUGUAAUAAUUAAUAUUUCAUAAAAAUAUUUUUUUAAGAUUAAUUAGACCUUUGGUUAGAAUUUAAAAACAAGCCGACAAAUGAUUGUUAGAAUUUAGAAGAGUUUAGAGAUUGUAAUUGACAUUUGAUUAUUAAGACUGGGUUGCUUAUAUAUUCAGUCUGUCGUCUGUACACAGGCUAGUCAUAUACUCCCUCUGUCCCGGUCAAUUCCAUAUGUUUCUUUUUCACUGCUCGACACGCACUUUAAGGUUCUUAUAAAACAUAGUUCUGUAAUUUAUUUUUUUAAUUUUUUUCUGUAUAAAAUUAUAAAUGUUGUAUUUUUAUAAAAAAAAAAAUCUUAAAAAUAAGUUGUAGAACUAUGUUUUAUUAAAACAUUAAAGUUCGUGCCGCGACCCCGUCCCCCAAUGUAUAUUUUUGACCGGGACGGAGGGAGUACUCCGUUUUAAAACGGUGAUUGUUUGACUUUUUGGCACAAUCUUCAAAGUUUUUUGACCGUAUAACUAAAAUUUUUAUUUUUAAAUUUUUAUUUUGAAUUCUAAUAUUAAUCAUAUAUUUUUGUCUAAUUUUUUUUUAAAAAUAAUGAUUUUAACUACGCCGUCAAAAUAUUUAGAAGUGUGUGCCAAAAGGUCAAACGAUUUAUAUUUCAAAAUAGACAGAGUAUGAAAGACUUCGGGCUCACCAAAAAUUAAAAGAGCAUUUAUUUUCAAAAAAAAAAUUUUAACAGAGCAUUUAAUUAAUUUACUGAGUCAUAAAUUUUUUAUUGAAAAAAUAAAAAAAUUAUUUUAAAACUCGUUUAACUUCCGAAAUUCAACCGUCUGUUAUUUUAGUCCAAAUUUGUAAAUUCUAAUUAUUUCUCUGCAUAAUAGAUAAUGCAAUUACCUACGUGGAUCAGAAAAGUGAUCAUACUCCAUGUAUCCGUGAUGAGUUAUAUAUAUACAUUUGAGAUAGAGAAUUUGAUACAUAGUCUUAAAUUUCUUUUUCCUCUGAAUGAAAAUUUUUAAUGUUCAAAAUUUUAAAAUUUUAAAAAAAAUUAUUAUAAAGUUGUAUUUUAUACAAUUUUUAUAAUACAAGCUAAAUAAUGAAAUAAAUUAUAUAAAAUAGAUGGGAGGAAGAGAAUAAGAUAUAUAAUAUCCUGGUCAAAAGCUCGGCAGCAUUUUUGUCAUGUAAUACAUGGUUCUAGUGCAAGUGUAUAGCAGAUUGGGAUUUUGCAUGUCAAUUCUCAAAUUCUGCUGAGACUGGGCAGAAUCAACUGUAGAGAGACUAGGGGAGUAUAAUAUAGUCCUAAUUAUGCGUGUUAAAUGGAUGAAUGUGUAUAAAUAUAUGAGCAAGAUAGUUGGCAAAGAAAAUAAAAUGAAGAAAGAAAACGAGUUAAAAUUUAAAAACCAGUCCAGUGAGAAUAUUUCAGCGUACGGCAGAAUUUCACACACAUUACUUGAUAUUAUUAUGUUUAAUUUUGUUGACGGGAAUGAGAUUUCUAUUCGAAGGUUACCGGUAUUCAUAUAAUCAUGUCGUCGUAUAAUGGGUCACAAUUCAUUUAUGAGAAAAUAUUAUGCGAAAUUAUGUAAGGUUUUCAUACAUUACUAUUUACAUUGGUAACUGUAGAAGAAUUAUUAUUAGCUUUAAUUUUAUACAAAAUUUAAUUUUUCUUCUAGAUUUGACAGAUUUCAAACAUCACACAAAUAUAAAUUCAAAUAUUAUUAUUUAUAAACCUUACAUAUAUAGCUUCCACAAAGAGUUGGCAAAUUCUUUGACAUAAUUUGAUCAAUAUGCUUUGCUCCUCGUUCUCUGAGCAACCUAAGCAUCAUUCAAAGAAUCAAAAUCCAUAAAAUGGUCGGCUCUAGACUCUAGUUCUACCUAAAAACAAAGAAGAGAUUUUGCUCACUAGUGCUGCAAAAACUGAGUUUCUAGUUUCUAACUAUAAUAUAUAAUUAUUAAGCUACUUGUACUUUGUAGUAUAUGAUUAUAUGAAGGAUGCUUACUCCUUUGUACUGUUGAGUUCGUCUUUUUACGUAAAAAAAAGAAUCCGUAAUUUUCAUGAAAAAUACAAAUAUUAACGAACAACAAGAACCUUCAGGAUUUUCCAAAUUUUGGCCAUGAAAGCAGUUUUUUCAUUAAACUGACAUAAUUUAAUAUUUCAGAACUCCUCCCAGGAGUCAAUAUAUUCAUAAAAUGAUAUGCUUUUUUUAGAUUAAUUAGACCUUCGGUUAGAAUUUGAAAACAAGCCGACAAAUAAUUACUAUUUGGAAGAGUUUAGAAAUGGUACUAAUAGACAUGUGAUGACUAAGACUGGGUUAAUUAUCUUUCAUCCUCUUAACAGUGAAAAUUGACUGUUGUUUUUUUAUUACAUGCACAAGGUUAUGAGAAAUGAUAAGAGGAAAAAUGUUGGAGACUAUCGGCCUAUUGGGUAUAAAUUUUGUAUUUUAAAUUUAAUAUAUAUAUAUAUAUAUAUAUAUAAUAAAUUAAAUCGCAUCAUUUAAUAUUAAAAUGAAUUUAAAAAUCACUUCAAAAACUUCCAUAAACUUUUUUAGGAAAAAACCUUACAAUAAACUUGAAAUGUAGUAUAUAAACUUUUUUAUAGUGGAUUAAGAUAUUAACUUUAAUACAUAUAUUGGGCCUGUUUGUAUCGAAGAAGCUUCUGCUUUUCUGCUUCUUUUUCAAACAAUUUAUUAACUUAUUUAUUUCUCACUUCUAACCCACUUCUAUACUUUAAGCAAAUAAUCAUUUUUUAAAAUUUGCCCAAACGGCCCCAUUGUAACAGCCCGAGAUUGGUUCAGUUUAUAAGUAUAAAUAUUAUUAUCAAUUGCACCAACAAAUCAUAAUUUUCUGGGACUGUUGUUGUUUUUGAGCUAGUGUAUUUCAGCUUAUUUUCGGAUUGGGAGUUCGGAUAUUGACCCAGUUUUCAAAAAAAAUUGAAAUUUGACCCGAAAUAUCACAUAUAUAUAUCGAUAAAAAUAUAUGUAAUAUAAUAUUAUAGAGUACAUAAUUAGUCCUAAACCCGUGGACAACACGGUCACGGAUGACGAGAUUAUAAUUCAAAAUUUCAUGUUUAUGAUUCAAAUUUUAACGUUGUUCAUGUUCAUAUUUUUAAUAUGAGGAAUUCUAUAUUAAUAUGUUGAAUUUUAAUUAAAUAUUAUUUAUCAAAUAAUUAUAUUUUUAAAAAAAAUAUAUUUUAUAAUAAUUCUUAUAUGAUAUGAAUGGAUAUUAAAAAUAAAUUAUAUAUUUUUUACACAUAUCAAUAAAUAUUUUUAAUAUUAGUAUAUAUUAUUGAUAAUAUACAAGUUGAAUUGGGUCAGCUAAUAGAAAUAUUAGUUUGACAUAUUCAUUUGUCAAAAAUUAACAGAAAAUAUGUGACUUAAAUUUCAAACUAUAUAUCUAAACAUCAAUCCAUCCAUUAUAUAUUGUCACUUUCUUUUAAUAUAUCGAAACCGAACGUUUCGCACAGAUUUAAAUAUUUUCAGGGUAUAUUCCAAGUCUCUCACUCUCAGGUUGCGCCAGCUUAUAGCUGAAUUAGUAGGCUGCAGAACUAAGAGAUUUCUAGAGACACAAGGAAUGUGACUAUUUCUUAUAAUCGAGUCAAAUGAAUUAUUUGAUUAAUCAAAAUUUCAUAUUCUCGUUUUGGAUUCUUCCCAUUAAUUUAACACAGGCGCCAACUGUGUUUAAAAAUAUACUGUACGAUAUACCAUUCUACACACUUGCUCAACUCAACUGCCGGCUUCAUUCUCCUUCCAUGCACCUCCCUCUCUUCUCUUCUCUGUGUACGUUGAAUUGUCGUGACAAUUUUCGAGUUCCGUAUAGUAUUUUAUAAAUAUUUUUAUUUUUUACGUUAUAUAAAAAUUAUGAUGAAAUGUGAUAUAUUAACACAAAGGGACAAUUUAAUCGUUAAUAAGUUUAAGUUUUAUUUCACUGUCAUAAAUAAAAUUAUGAUAAAAGAAUACAUAAACAUAAAAUAAAAAGAUGGGUUUUGACCCUAUUAUCACAAUACCAAUCAUUAAUGCUUAGAAUAUCAUAAUCCGAAAAACUGAUCCCAAAAUACCAAUUAUUAACAUUACAUCGUCUUGCGUUUUGGAUAUUAUUAAGGGUUAAAGAACAGAAAACUAUUUCGUGUAGCAUUUUGUUGGAGUUAAAAAGAACAAUACAAUACAUGGUAUGAGGUUUUGUUGAGGUAAAAGAACAAAACAGUACACCUAAUGUUUUUUUCCAAAAUUGAAAAUACUAGAUUAUUCGACGUGAAUAAAUGAUAUUUAGGAUUUUUUUUCAAAUCUUAUUACUUUGGACAUUAUUUAUGUAGAUCUUGGACCUUUUCUCGAUAAAUUUAACUUCUACAAUAUAUUUGAAUUUUAACAGCGUAAAAUAACACCGUAGAUUGGAUUCAAAUUGUAGGGUCGUUGUCAGCCAUAAGGCAGGAGUGUGUUAUAUAUACUUUCAUUGCUGGCUAGAGAAGCUACAAGCAUAUUACAGUCUGGACUUGAAACUUCAUGGCUACAAGCAAACGUUUCAGACUCAAAUUAUCUCUUCCAACAUUUCAAUUCUGUCGCACCAAAGUAACCCCUUCUCUCCCAAAGCUACCUUCAGAGUCCACUACAUUAUUCUCUCCGAUAAAUCCUAAAUCGUUAGAAAUAUCUUAUCCCUCCUUCUCCAAUCCAUCCAAUCCCCCUCCAACCCCGGCUCAUCCGCUCAAGAUCAUGCCGGUUAGCUUUAACACUCAGCAUUGUCCAUCACCAUCACAGAAGAUUUAUAACUCGCCAGUGGCAUUUGGUUCCGAUGACAGCUUUGCAUGGCCAAUUACACCACCUCCAAAAGGUGGAAACAGUAAGCCACAGAGGAUAAACAACAAGAAUAAAUCAAAAGUUAGCAGUGUUUCAUCAGGAGAGAGUGGCUGGUUUAGCAGCGAUGAAGAUGGGAAGGAGAGCUUGGUUUCGUCGUCUGAGAAUUUUGACACGUCUUGUGAUUUUGGCAAUGUUUCUAUUUCUAGUAAAUUUGGCACAAGCAAGAAAAAGAAUAAUGACAGAAAUGGUGGUAAUGAGUCUGUAGUGAAGAAGUCUUCGACAUCAGUGUUCAAGAGGUUGAUGACUAGUUGUGCAGUGAAUGAUGAGAGUUUUGCAGUGGUGAAGAAUUCUCAGAACCCAUACGAAGAUUUCAAGAGCUCGAUGAUGGAGAUGAUAAUGGAGAAACAGAUGUAUGAGGCUAAGGAUUUGGAGCAGCUGUUGCAGUGUUUUCUGUCACUUAAUUCUAGGCACCACCAUGGAGCCAUUAUUCAGGCCUUUUCUGAGAUUUGGCACCUCUUGUUUAUGUAAAUCUUAUGCCGGCAGAUAGAAUUACACAGAUUCUGUCUCUAAAAUACUCUAUGUGUUCAUUCCUUUGUUUAUGUCCAUAAAAAUUGUUAUAAAUAUUAUUGAUCCUGAACCCCUUACUAAAUAUUCCCAAACUUUCAUCCUAUUUCUACCCUCUUCCACCUCUUCUGCACCGAAUGAACAUUAAGGUACCGCAUUCAUCAAGCCUUCUAUGAUGUCCUAGAAGCAAUAGUUCUUGUUUAAGCACUAAUAUUUACAGUAUCAACUAAACAACACUAAAUACAGGACAAACAAUGUUAACUUAAUGAAAAGGGGUGAAACCGGAAUUUCAAAGAAAUUAAAUCCAACAAAGUUAUACAUAAAGAAAACUGAUUAUUUGUAUAAUUUAUGAAGAGAACCAGCUUAUCAGGACAAAGGAUGCAAUCAUAGUCCAAACUGACUAAUCUACUGGGGUACAAACUAAAUCUUCAUGACAUUACCGCAAUGAAAUGAACUUUAGUACAACAUUCACCGGACAACAGCAGAUUGAAAAAUUAUUGUAACAAUAAUUUAUCACCUUCUAAACCAUACGGGAGAUUCCUAUGAAGAGCAUACCUUCUUUAUCAUCCUCAUCAGCUUAAAAUUGCAAAUAAUGAAUUGUACAAGAAGCAAGUGCUUCAGAGUUCAGCAUUCCUUUAGCUUGCGAGAUUUGUAUUGUUUUCACCAUAUUCAAAAUAUUUCACAUGGCAUAGCACCCCACCAGCUUCAUCUGCAAAUGAUAUUUUCUUUUUCUCCCUAUGCAUCAUGGUUUCUUUAGCAGCAGAGGCAUCCAGGGUCGAUUUCUGUGGUUGAGACUUCAGAGAUUGAAAACAAAACAAAGUAGGAAGUGAGGAAAAUACUACAAUCUUCUCAACAGUAUUUAUAACUUGCUAAAUUGUUAUUACUUUAGUUCAGAUAUAUAUUUACUAUAUAGAAAAGUUAAAGACUGAGACGCAAACCAUAAUUUUACAGAAACGGUUGCAAUCUCUUGCCAUCAUAGACAGCCACUUUUUUGUUGUUUCCUCGACUUUAGUUGCACUCUUGAUAGCUGAUUUCACCUGUUAAGAGAGAUUUCAACAGGUUAAGAAAAUAAAUCAUUGCACGUGAACAAACACCAUAUACGUCUGAGCACAAACACAUAUGAGAAGCUGUGAGAAUAUAUUGAUGACAUAAAAAUUACAGUGUGUACUACUAAUGACAUCCGCAUAACACACAAGAGUUGACAGAAAGGAGGGGACAGUAAGAACCUCAUAAUACAGGCUAUGGGCUAUUAAAUCACUAUAGAGUCAUCAUGACAGCCCAAAAUAAGUACAAGGUUCAUUGACUAGAGCAUAGCACAAUCAUGUUCACAGAUAACUAUUAAAAGAAGCAUCCAGCAGGCAGAAAUCAUUUAGAUGAAACAGCUAAAGAUUACUAAGCAGCAGAGAUGUUUCUAGCCUUAUAUACCUCAUCAGCAUCAUUUUUCAUAGAUGUACUGCGGUAUGCUUCAUAGAGCAAUUUUUCUUCUACCAUGUCUUUCAUUGACUUCAACUCUGUCAUAAGCUUCGCCGCUACAGACUCUAUGUCCUGCAUCUGUCGCUGGGAAAAUGAAAUUGCCCUUUCAUGACAAGCUUCAAUAGAGCUUCUUCCUUUGUACAUACCAGGAAGCAAACGAGUAGGUUGUGAACCUACAAGACGGCCUAUAGGUGAACAUUUUUCAGGCAAGGAACCUUUCUUAUUGUGCUUUGAUUUCUUGAGGAUUUUCUUGGGGGAUAAAAUUGCUUUUCUGAGAAUCCUCUGUUCAGUCAAUUCACCUUUCGCGCAUGAUUCUACACCUGUAGUGUCGGAUACCUCUGAUAAAGCAUUGUCCUCAGUUUGGUUACCAACGAAACGCUUUCCCUUGCAUUCUAAAACGCAAAUAGAAAGGAGAAGUCAAUUACAGAAAGAAAAGGCCUCUUGACAUUUCUUCAACCUAUAAAAUAAUAAAAUGAAUCUACUAAUACUUAUAAGGGAUGCAAUAAAAAUUUCAAAUUCACCCUUUUGCAGUAUAUCGUAUGUGUGUGUGCAGGGUAAGUGAGAGAGCGAUGCAGAAGCAUAUCAGUAUAUGCCUAAACCAUUUAUACAGUAGUAAAGACACAAUUGAAUCUGCAACAAUUCCAGGACUUUACUCAGCCAUCUCAAAUUGCUGUAAAGGUUUAUGCAGAACAAUCUAAAUGAAGAUGGCCUGAUUACUAUUAAAAGUUUUUGAGAGAAUGUUACAUUAUAUCUUGUUUACAUUCUUCUAAACAGGUUAUGUGUUGCAAAGGAUUUAGUAUCUGAAUCCUUGUAAAAUAUCUGCUAUAAACAACUUACUAUGAUCCCCAAUGUCGUCGGUCAGCUCCCUGUAGUUCGUUGUCAGACACACCUUCUCCUGGAAAGUUGGAGAAAUAACCUGAGAGUAUAUAAAAUGACAAUCAGCAACUUUCAAGAAUCGAAAGGAAAAAAGUCUGGCUUGUAAUUUUUAAGACAAAAAGUAAAGUCAACUUCAUAUGACAUAGAAUACCUUUUUCGUCGAGGGAAAUCUCUCAGGAGGUUGCCACAGCACUAUAUCACCCUGAUUGCAAGUCUCUGGACUUGAAAGCUCGUUAUCAUCACAGCCGGAGAGACUAAUUUCGGCAUCAGUGUUUAUAGGUAAUAGCAACUGUUUCUCAUUUGCAAAGGCAGCAUCCUCCAAGUCAGUAGGAUAAAUAUUAGGCUCUACACAAUAUCCUGAUGUGUUUGAAUUGUAGGUUGUCAAAGACCAGUCAUUCUCAAUUGUCCGUGAGUAUAUUUCCUCGGCGACCAAAUCACUGUCGGAAGCUGAGCAUGGAUAAAAAUUCCAAGGUGAAAUAUAAUAAGAGAAUGGACUUCUCGGGGAAACAUUUGGCAGGUGAUGUGGCAAAUUAGUUUCAUUGACAUCAUCAAAAAUUGAUAAUGUAAUACCUCGACCACUUUUAAUGAGACAAAGACCAUCACUGGUUGCCACAUUAGAAUCUCUAUAUUCAGACUCAUUCCAAAGAAUCUCUGGCAUAUUCAAACAACUCUGGGGAGCACUUAACAUAUCUAACCGAUUCCUGGCAUCAUCCUCAAAAACGCACAACUCACUGCCAUUUACAAAAUUGGUAGAAGAAAUACCGUUAUCAAGAGGCAUCUCAGAAACUUCAUCUUUAGUUUUGUGGAUAACUAAACUUUUAUCAUUGAUGUUUUUAUCUGUCAGCAGAAAGCUUUGACUAGAUGGCGACUGCAAAAUAUCAGACUCUUUGUGCAAUUCUGAUGCACGGGAAGCAGGAUGUCGACACGACUCCUGAGUACCUGAUCCCACAGUCUUCUCACUAGGUGGAGGAAUAAAAGACAGAGGCAUAUAAUCAACCUCUGGUUGACUGAGAGAAAAUGUGUUAACACGUGCUUCACAUUGUCCUGCUGAUGAUAUGGUUUCCUUGUUUUCUAGGAAACCAGAUAUGUUAACACAUGUUUCCUGUUGUCCUGCUAAUGAUAUGGUUUCCUUGUUCUCUAGGAUAGUAUCAGAAGUCUGGAGGAUCUGAGAGGAGUCCAUGUCAUAUACGCUAACUUGCUCACCAGAACUGGAGGGACCAUCAGUUGUUUCAGCAGCAAAAUUCAGAGCCUGGAGUUCAGAGAGGCAAAAUGUAGAAGCCUCAAUUUUUAUGGUCAUAGGCACAAAAUUAGCAUUGCUUGAUUGUUGAGGAUAUGUACAAUCAUGAGCUAAAAUUGCAGAGGCACUUCUCCUGGCAUGCUUCUUUGUGGACUUUGCAAUUUUUGAAAGUGUUGUAUUCCAACUGCUGAGUGGUAUCAUGAGAUCACAAUCAUCUCCAUCUUCCUGAAAUUCAGGACUUGAACAAACAGAAUCUGACAUCUUCCUUUUCUUUAAUUUGCACGUCUUCCUUAGUUCCUUCAACGUCAUUUCCCCGAAUGAAAGAUCGUCUGAUUCACUUGCCAUUUCUUCAUAGUCACUGCAUUCAAAAUCAGUGGAUACUUGAUCUCUUUCCAUUGUUAUUCUUUCUGCCUUCGGCAGGCAUAAAUUCUUAGUUAUAUCCUUAACUUCCCCAUUUUCACAACCAUUUUGUGAUUCAGCUUCUGAUGGCUCAUUAAGAUGUCUCGGAUGUUUAUCCUCAUAAAUUUCUUCCAAACUCUUAAACACGAGAGCUGGUUUUCGACGAGAAUUUACAUUUAAAACCUUACUUACUGAAUCACCCUUGAUAGCAUUAAUGUAAUGCAAAGCACUACAAUGUUGCAACCUCAUUAUCUUGAUUUGAACUUGUAUACCUCUGUGUAUAUCUCCAGCGGCUUACUGUGACAAAAGAAGUGCACCACAUAUGUCAAGGUUAUUUCUUUUAGAAUAUAGUUAGCUAAGUAUACAAUUAAUUUUAGCAUAAUGUUACUAAACUGCAGCAUAAACCAAUAUCAUCGAGUACAGCAAAUAGACUAUAAGCACAAAAUAAAUCUGUCAUCUUCUACCGUUUAAUAUUUGUUAUAAACAUAGCAUUAUGCAUUAUUGACUUCUGCUUUUGUAAAACCAACUAAUACAGGAUAGAAUACCAACGAACAGCAUAACGAAAUGCUUGCUACCCUUAGCUUACUGGAGCGAGAAAACAUCUCCCAACUAUGUAUGCAUAAAAAAGCCUUCAAGGCAGGUAAGCUUAAUUGGGGGAGAAAACAGAAACUAAUCUAGACCAUGAUUCUGACUCCGACAAGCAUAAUCCACUUCAGGGGAGUUUCAAAGCAAUCUAAUCAAAUCAAAUUUUGCUCAAGUUUCUAGCUACAACUCCACAAUUGAUACUAAUUUACUAACAAUCAAUACAUUCACCAAGAUAAUUUGUGCUUAAGAUUGCCAUUACAUUUCCACCCCAGAUACAGUAACUAAAUAAGCUUCUCCAUAGCACGCCCUCGAAAUUAUAAAUCAACAAAAACCCGAGCCACAUCAACCACAACAAAACCAAAUGCAAGCUCCAAACCCCAAUCAAUAUAAUCAGAACUACAAUUAAUGUCUAUAAACUUUCCAUCCAUUCACACUCUCAAACACACAAAUUAAAAUUAACAAAAAAAAAAAACUCGAUGAAAUCCCCCAAAAUCAUGAACAACAAAACCCAAACCGCAACCCCCAAAUCGAAUAAUAAACAACCAAAUCCCCCCUCCAACCCCAAAUUAACACAAUCAGAGCUACAUUUAACUGAAUUUCAAAACAUACAUACUCGCAUAGAAGCAAUUCAGAUGUACAACACUUACCCUAAACCCUAAAUCCAGCUAAUCUGAUACAUCAAUUGCUUCAAUUUCAAAACAACAAUUACAUACAUACACGUGUGUGGUGUGUGUGUGUGUGUGUGUGUGUGUGUGUGUGUGUGUGUGUGUGUGUGUGUGUGUGUGUGAAGUUGAAUUGAAAUAGUACUAACCUCUUGUGAAGCUCUGGAUCUGCUUGCUAGAAAGUACAGAGAAGAAAUGUAUAGUAUAUGAGAGUGUGUGUAUAAAAAGCUAAAUUUUCGCGGCUCGCGCGCAAUUCAGGUUGGCGGGAACUAGGGUUUAGUAUUUUAAUAUUUCGUGCGACGAAAUUAUGAGUUUUUUCUUUUUAAAAGUAACUAGCUUCUUAACCCGUGCAAAGCACGGGUUGCUUUAAAUCACUUUCUUCAAUAUAUGUUAUAUCUCGUUAUUUAUCUUUUUUUUUAUAUUUAUUUGUAUUUUAAAUCAUAAUAUGUUGAUGUCUGUAUAUACACAUAUCCUCACUUUUAUGAUAUUUAUUAAAAAUAUAAAUACAAAAAAUAUAUUAAAAUUCGGUUAAAUCGAUGACUAAUUGGUCGAAAAUUGGAUUAAUAGGGUCGAAAAUCGGGUAGAAUAUUAAAAAUUUACAAAAAUUUUGGGGAAAAUUUAAAAUUUUAAAAAUGAUUAUAUAUAUAUAUAUAUAUAUAUUAUUUUUACACAUAUAAUAUUAAAUUAAUUCUGAAUAAUGAUCCUAUUAAUCAUUCUGAUUAAUCGUUGAUUUUCUGAUUCCCGCUUUUUACAACACUAAAUAUUUAUUUAUUUAUUAUUAAAUCAUAAUAUAUUAUUUUUACAUAUAUAAUAUUAAAUUAAUUCUGAAUAAUGAUCCUAUUAAUCAUUCUGAUUAAUCGUUGAUUUUCUGAUUCCCGCUUUUUACAACACUAAAUAUUUAUUUAUUUAUUAUUAAAUCAUAAUUUUAUAUGUUAUAUCCAAAAAAUUAUAAAAUAUACAUUUUUAUAAAAACAAAUAAACAUUAAGGCUUAACUUUCGUAGCCAAACAUAGCCCCAUAGAUACUUAAUUCCUACAUUAUACAUCAAGCCAGUCCAUUGACUGCAAUAUCAAAAUACAUAUUUUUAUAUAUAGAGAGGUCAUUAUUGACUUUUAAAACUAACGUAUUUUAUUAGACAUUAAUGUCCAAUCAUUAAUAUACAUUAAUUAUAACAUGAUUUUGGAAUUAAUUUAAUAUUAUACAUAUAAAUAAUAUAUAUCUAAUCAUUUUUAAAAUUUUUUAUUUUCCCAAUCUUUUCUUUUUUUAAUAGACGUACGUUCAAAUUUUGUGAAUGAAAAAUAUCUUCUUUUUUUUUAAACAAAAGUGUUAAUCUAAUAAUAGAAAGCCAUACGGCAUCUACACCAAUGAUCGAGUCGAACAAACUGAAUGUAUUUUGAGUAAAGGAUAGUUUAGUCAUUUUGGAUUAAAUUGAUCAAGAUUCGAUUUUAGUGCUACAAGUAUGUGUCAGAUACUUAGAUAUAUAGAAUAAAAAAAAAUAGUUACUGGCUAAUUAUUGUUUCAGACUUCUGGUCAUUAGCCUCUGUACCGGGAUGCUUGGCCAAACUGCUUCUUUUAUCAUCAACUACGGUAUAUAUUACAUGAUGUUUAAACACAAUUAGAAAUAUAACAUCUCAUUAUGUCAGCAGCCAAACUGCUUCUUUUAUCAUCAACUACAGUAUAUAUACAUGAUGUUUAAACACAAUUGGAAAUAUAACAUCUCAUUAUGUCAGCAGCCAAACUGCUUCUUUUAUCAUCAACUACAGUAUAUAUUACAUGAUGUUUAAACACAAUUGGAAAUAUAACAUCUCAUUAUGUCAGCAGCCGCGCAGCAAUCGUCAGCUUAGAGUUUUGACUAUGACAAAAGAGUAUACCUUCAUCUACGAUCGAACAUUAAACUGCUCAGAAAGAAUACCAUCAUUUUGACUCUGUUUUACAUGAUUUAAGGGUCUAUUUUAUGUAACUUUUCGCAAGUAUUUCAAAUAUACAAUUUGUUUUAAGUUUGUAAUCAAUAGAGCGUAAAUAAAAAGUACACGAGUGUACCAUAGAGAGUAAAUUAAAAGUACGAACGUACCAUCGGUAGAAGUCAAAAAUGCGAUGGUACCAUUGAAAAAAACCACUUCUACGAGGGUACCAUCAAGAAUUUCCCUAUAUAUAAUUUAAAUUUAUAUUUACUUGUAUUUUAAUUCUUAUUAUCUUGAUGUCUAAAUGUACAUAUAUCCUUACUAUGAUGAUAUUUAUUAAAAUGUAAAUAUAAAAAAUAUACACUAUUUAAAAUUUUAUUCUAUAAUUAAAUUAUCAUUCACCUAAAAUUAUUGAAAAUUUGAUAAAAACAAAUAAGAUUCUUGUCGAAUCAGAGUCUUUGUCGUAUAGUUAAAAAAUCAUAUAUAUGAUUUUAUUAAAUCAUAUAUAUAAUUUUAUUAAAUCACAAUAAUUAAAUAUUCUAAAAAUCGGCCGAUUAACCGAAUAAUCGAUAACAGACGAAUUUUUAAUACGAUUUGGUAAAAUUCGAUUAAAUCGAUGAUUAAUUGGUCAAAAUUGGAUUAAUCAGUCAAAAAUCAGGUAGAAUAUUAAAAUUUACAAAAUUUGUGGAGAAAAUUUAAAAUUUUAAAAAUGAUUAGAUAUAUAUUAUUUAUAUGUAUAAUAUUAAAAUAAUUUCAAAUAAUGAUCAUGUUAUAAUUAAUGUGUAUAAUAAAUACAUUGCUUAGACAUUAAUGUAUAAUAAAUGCGUUAGAAUUAAAAGUCAAUAAUAACUUUUAUAUAUAUUAAAAUAUGUGUAUUAAGAGAAGAGUAUAUUAGUCAUAUCGAAUUAAUUUACAAUGAUUAGACAUUAAUAUCUAAUAAAUACAUUAGUGUUAAAAGUCAAUAAUAACCUUUAUAUAUAUAAAUAUUGUAUAAUGAGCAAAGGGUAAAUUGGUCGUUUUGAAUUAAAUUAAUGUAUCUCAUAUUUUUUUUUUUUCAUCUUUUUUAAGUUGAGAUUAUUUGUAAAUUUAAUUUCAAUUUAAUAUUUAUUUGUAUUUUAAGUCAUAUUAUGUGUAUAUCUGUCCUUGCUUCUGGCUUUUUUUUCUAAAAUAGUCGCAUAUGUUUUUUUUGACCUGUUUGUGUAAAAAGUCACAAGCACGCAUAGGAACUUGAAAUUCUAACUUUUUUUUAGGACUUCAAUUUUUUUUCAAACACUUUAAUCACUUAUAAGUAUUGACUCACUUCUCACAAAUAGUCCACUUUUUUUAUUUUAAGAAGGAAGUCACUUUUCAUAAGAUUUACCCAAAUACACUCUAUAUUGAUGUAUAUAUGUACACAUAUCCUCACUAUUAUGAUAUUUAUUAAAAUAUAAAUACAAAAAAUAUAGUACACUAUAUAAAAUUAUAUAAUUAAAUUACCACUCACCUAAAAUUAUUGAAAAUUUAAUACGAAAAAUGAGAUUCUUGCCGAAUUAGAGUUUUGUCAUAUAGUUAUAUAUAUUAUUUAUAGUUAUUCUAAUACAUAUGUAUAUAUUUUUAUUAAAUAAUAACAAUUAAACAUUCUAAAAAUUGGCCGAGUUAACCUAUUAAUCAAUAGUCGGAAGGAUUUUAAUCCGAUUUGGUAAAAUCCGUUUAAUCGAUGUCUAAUUGGUCAGAAAUUUGAAUAAUGGGUCGAAAAUCAUGCAAAAUAUAAAAAUUUACAAAAUUUGUGAAGAGAAAUUAAAAUUUUAAAAAUGAUUAUAUAUAUUAUUUUUACAUAUAUAAUAUUAAAUUAAUCAAAUAAUGACCAUGUUAACCAUUUCGAUUAAUCGUCGAUAUUUUUAUUCUCGCUUUUUAUAAUACUGGAUAUUUAUUUAUUUAUUAAAUCAUAACUAUAAAUGUUAUAUACUUAUAUGUAUUAGAGUUUUAAUUAUAAAGUAAUUAAUGCAUAUUAAUGAAGAGACAUUAAUGUCUAAUAAAUAGGUUGGUAUUAAAAGUAAAUAUUAAUAGUGAGUAAGGGUAGUCUGGUCUUUUUGAAUUAAAUUAUGUAUAAUGAGCAAGGGUAGUUUAGUCAUUUUGAUUUAAAUUACUCAUAGUUGGUCUAUUAGAUAUAUAAUAGAUGUGAGGGUAUUUUUAGAGGAAAAGCGGUGUUUGAAUGAUUUUUUAUAUAUAUUUAAAUGAAUUAAGACAAAUGAUGAUAUGUUUUUAUUCUUAUUUUUAUUAAUUAUAAAUAUAAGAGGGUACAUAUUAUAAAAUAUUAUAAAUAUAUGUGGAUUAUUUAUUUAUACCCAAAUGUUGAUCAGAUUUUUGAAAAAAUGUAAACAUUGGAAAAAUCUAUAAUCUUUUUACGAGAAUCUCGAACACAUUUAUUUUCAAAAACUUCAUUGAUGAUAUUCUAAUAGUUGAUAGAAGCAUAAAUUUUCAAAAAUUUCAUUUAUUUUGAGCAAAAACCAAAAAUAUAAGAUAAAUAUAAAAAAAUAAAGUCGAAGUUAAGGUUAUACUGAUCUAAAAUGUUUCAUUUUCUCGUAAUAAAGUCACUUAAAGUCAGUGUUCUAAAAAUCGGCAAUUAAUUGAGAUUAAUUGAUGUUCGGUCAGCCACCGUCUUAAUUAAGCGUUAAUUGGUGGAAAAAGCGUUUUUCCUCGAAAAUCGGUCAAAGACGGGAUUAAUCGGGUUUAAUCGAUCAAAAGAUGGUAUAAUCGGCAAAAAUCUAGUAAAUUUAAAAAAAUUAAAAAUCAUGAUAAAAAAAUUUAAAAUUUAAAAUUUAAUUCUAAGACACAUUGUACUAUGGCCGUAUGGGAUGAAUUGACCUAAAUAUCUAGAAAAUAGAUAUUUUGUGAACAAAAUCAUUAAUUUUUUAAUUUAUAAAAUUAUAUGAUUAUAAAUCUAUCGUAAAUAUAAAUAUAUUUAUACUUAUAUUUAUCUAGUUUAAAAAUAAUAUUAAAUUGAUUCCGAUUAAUGAUCCGAUUAAUCCCCGAUUAUUCGAUUAAUCGCUGGACGAUGCCUUUACCGAUUGAGUCCGAUUCCCGCUUUUUACAAUAUUGACUAAAAUACGUAAUAGAUUGACAAAAGCACCUGUUACGUAUUAUAUGCACCUAAACAGAUUUAUAAAAUAUGGAAUUUUGAUAAUUCAAAUUUUAUGAUUACUUUUCGUGAAUCGAUAGGUCUGAAAUCAUAACUAUAACACAAUUACUUCAAAAAAAAAAAACUAUAACACAAUUAAUAUAUGAAUUACAUAGUAUAAAAUCACACACCCAUAUAUUUGUCGAAUAAAUUUGUUAUUUUUUUUUUUUUUUUUUUUUUUUUUUUUUGACGAAAAGCUAAGAAUUUAAUAAAUAACUAAAAACCAGCCGAGACAAAUCCUCGAACUGUCAAUUACAACCUGAUUAAGAAACAAAAAACGAGUCCAAAACCCAAUUACAAGAUUUCAGACGGAUCACACUUCCGAGCCCAAGGCCCGGAGAAAUUCGCGGCCGUCACCAAAACCCAAAAUCUCUCCCGCCCAAACUCCCCGCGCUCCAUCUAAAUCAAAAACACACAUACAUAACCCCAGAUCUCAUCCCCUCAUUUCCCUAACCAAUCCCCCAAUCUCACCAAUGGAAAGCGACGACGAUUAUCAAUCAUUUUCACCCCCCUCUAAUUCCCCCUCACACAUCCCCAAAUUCAAACGCCUCAAAAAGAAAUCACUCGCUUCCUCACCUAACUCGAAACCGAAACCGACUCGUUCGCGUAACGAGUCGGUUUCGGUUAGUAGUAAACAGGUUCUGUUUACGAAUGUCGAUUUCGCGGAAAUAGAAGCCCUGGAGGCUUCUGAACGCGUCGAGUUAGGUGAGGAGGCGAAACCGAUUGCAGAAUCGGUUUUGUUUACGAAUGUUGAUUUUGCGGAAAUAGAAGCGCUGGAAGGAUCUAGAAGCGUGGGGUUAGAUGAGAAGGCGAAGGCGAAGGUGAAACCGAUUAGGAAUGUUGAUUUUGUGGAAAUAGAAGGUUUAGAGGGUUUUAGAAAAAGAGAGGUAGAUGAGAGGGCGAAAUUUUCGGAGAAGGAUGAAGUGGAUUUGUUUAAUUCGGUUGAUUUUAAGAGAUUAGAAGAUUUAGAGGAUUCGAGAAGUGAGGAGUUAGAUGAUUCGGAGGAUGUGUUGGUUCGAGAUCCGCUUACUUCGGUUGAUUUUAAGAAAUUAGAGGCUUUGGAAGGUUCUCAGAGUGUUGAUUUCGAUGAUUCGGAGGAUUUGUCAGUGUCACAGUCUUCGUAUCGGGAUGAGAAGGAUGGUGAGGAUUUGGGGGCAAAGAUUGCGGAGUUUAAGAGUGAGGUGAGGAGGAAGAAGCGGAGUGCUAGAGGUGGAUCGAGGGAGAAGAAGAGGAAAAUUGAUAGUGUUUUGUCGUUGCCUCGUGUUGAUUUUGCGAAAUUGGAGGAGUUGGAAGCUUCGAAAGGUGUAUCUUCUGAUGAUAAGUCGCGUGAGAGUUUUGAUAGUAUAGAGGAAAGGAGUAAUGUGGAUGGAGAAGUGAGGAAAGUGACCAAAAGAAUUUUAGAUUUUGAUGAAAUUGGGGGAGAUGCAGAGAAGAGAGAUGGAAAGGAGGAGAAGAUGAAGGUUAGGAAGGCGGAGUAGAAGCGGACUAGUGAAGGAGAAGGUAGUGAGAAGAAAGAGAAGAAGAAGAGAGUUAAGGGUACUUCCGAGGAAAUGAAGUUAAAGGAAAAGGCUUCAAACAAGCGGAAGGAAGAGAAGGUAUUAUUUGAUGUCGAUUUGUUUAGUUAUUAGUUAAAUUGACUGAUCUGGUUUAGUUUGUUGAUUAUUACUGUUUUUAAUUGUAGGAGAGGAAAGCUCAUCUAGAGCAACUCCAUGCUGAAUCUCAAAGACUCCUGCGAGGUUCUUAUUUAUUCAGUGUACUUGACAAUAUUGUGUGUGUUUCGGUAGGUUGCAUAACAUGUACUGAUAAUUUGAGUAUGAAAAGAGGCUAAUGUAGUUUUGAAUUCCUGAUCUCUGUUCAUGAGGGUAUACAGAAGGGGUGGUAAGUCAGUGACAUUGUCAUAAUAAUGUCAUUAGGCUAUCAGCUAAAGCUUGAUAUUUUAUGUUUGGUAAAUAAUAGUUGAUGUCUUGCUAUCAGAGUAUUGUCAUUUUGGGUACAUGUCUUAAACUGGCGAAGUCUAUACAUAAUUUUGUAUGAUUACUGUGUUUCAGCAUAUUAGAUAUUUAUGUUAACUGGGACGGAUAAAGGAGCCUUGUCACUAAUAUUAGUGUAUCUUUGAUUGGUUAUGACAGAAACCAGUGGGGCUGGAUUUAAACCUGUUCCUGUUGUGCAAAAACCCAUAUCUUCACUUUUAGAGAAGAUUAGACAAAGGAAGCUUGAGGUUUCAAAGAAGUAAGUUCUGUUUUUCUGCUGUUUAUCUUUGUAUACUGGCUUGGGAUUGUUGUAUGAUUGUUAUAUUGUUCUGGGAUGCAGAAUGUCUCUUUUAAACAAUAGUGGUUAUGCUACUGAAAAUGUUGAUUCCUUAGUGGAGACUGUGGAUGUUGCUGAUAUGGAUACGGUUUCUACUAGAGGUGGAGGGGAAGAUAACUUAUCAGCCAAGGUCGAAGUGGAGGCCAAAAUAGAUGCAACUUCUGGAAAUAUAAAGAGUAGUUUAGACACUUCUUUAACGGAUGAUAUUAACAGAUUAAGGACAAACUCGAGUCCUGAAAAUGAGAAGUCGCCAGUGGUAAAUAAAUUUUAAUAUCUGGUCUUUAAUACGUGGAUAUACAAUCCCUUGGAUGCAUUUUGGAAAUCUUAUAUACUUAUUGUUAAAUUUGUGUUUAUAUAGAAUGUUAGUUAUAACUUUAUUUUCUAUGCAAUUAUAUAGAAAUGUUACUUGAGUAUUUUAAUUUUCAUAUUGUCACUUGAACUUGAUGUCUUUAGUCAGCAUGAAGUGAUUUUCAAUCUUAAUGUAGGCUGUAGCGGAAGAGCCUACCCCUACAUUUCGAGCUCCAGUUGAUGAUACCCAGGUUACUUUUUAAAUUUGCAGGAAGACGGUUGGUAUUUACAUUUUGUUCUAUUGCUACAAGUUCUCAUACUUAAAUGCAAAUGAUAGGAUCUUUUUGGCGAUUCUGAAACUAGUGGCAAUAAAGAUGAUCAGCUAGACAAUCAGCAAAGUAGUCCAAUAGAAGAAGUUCUAGCUCCAUCGUUACUUACAAUGAAUUUAAAGAUUGACUCUGUGCCUCUUGAUGAUGACAUGUAAGUCCAUUAUAAAGAAUCUUGAUUCGUCUCCAAAACAUGAGUUCUUUAGGUGGAGAAGUUGAGUUCAUGUCUCAUAAUAUAUCUCUUAUGUUUGUUCGGAAUAUCUAUGAAAGUGUUGACAACUAAAGUUGUAGCUGUAGUGCUUAAUACUGCCAGAAAUUAUCCCAUAUUAAAGAGUGUCAUACAAUUAGUUGCUGUUUUGUUUAUGUAGUUCUUCUGAUGAAGAGGAUGAUGAUAAGGAGAAUCUUGAACCAAUUAUCUUCAAACCUGGUAAUGCAUGCUCUUCUCCUAAAGGAGAUCCAGUAAAGGCUUUUGUUGAUGAUGAAGCUGAGGAAGAGGAUGACAGUGACCAUGACAUCCGCUUCCAAGAAAAUGAUGAAGAUGAUGCUAAUGAAGAUUUUGGUGAACUAAAUGAUCUUAUAGUCACUGGGUACGAAGAAAAGUCAAUUGAUAAAGAAAGGCGCAAUGAACUUCAUCAAAAGUGGCUUGAGCAACAAGAUGCUGCUGGAACAGACAAUCUUAUGCAGAGGCUGGGAUGUGGUCCAAAAGUGAAGGAGAACACACUUUUUGAUGUUGAAGUAGAAAGUGAUGAGGAUGAUGAAGGGUCUAGCGAUGAGGAAGAGGACAUUGGACCAGCUAAAACUGCUCGAAUAAAUGCAAGAAAAGCAAAACAAAUGAUCCCGCAGAUGUUUGCUGAUAAAGAAGAUCCUUUUGUAUCAUCUGAUGAUGAGGAGACUGAAAAGAUGCUUGUCAAACAGCGAGUGCUUGAAAAAGUUGUGAGUUUGCUUCUUCAUACUGGAUCUGUUCUAAUUUCUGGUUAUCUGUUAUGCUUAGUUAGAAAGUGCUACUGUAUUUGUAUAAGUUGAUCUGCACUUGUCUCCACAAUUUAAAUCUUCUUGUCGUGAUUGUCUUAUUGUUGUAUUCCCAGGAAGAUCAGGCAACCUUAAUUUCACCAGCUGAGGAUGAGAAUUCCAGAGAGGUUUUUGGUCUUAUAAAGCAGAUCAAUAAUGCCCCCAUAGCCAAAAAGAAGCAACAAGUGCCAUGUAAGACUUUUUUGACGUUCUUUAAGUCAUUUUUAUUCUGAAGUCAUGCUUUUAUCAUAUUUAACAUUUUCAUGUUUUACAGCAUUCUUUGAGACCCUCAUUACUGGAGGAAGUAGCAGCAGCAGCAGCAGCUCCUCAAAGGUGAGUUAUUACUUGAUAAUAGCCAAAAAAGUCCAUUUGUUUUGCUAUCUGGAUCCAGUCUAAGUGUCUAAUAGUCUUUGAUUUUUUUUAUGUAUGCAUGUAUAUCAAUGGUCAUAGAACCAUCUGAAGUAAGCAUCUUGCUUUUUCUUUAGCUGUGCAGAUUUUUAUUAUGUUUCGCUUGUCUCCUAGAGUCAUGGUAGCCUGUUCUAGUCUACCCGCAGCCCUUGCUACCAUCCCGAGGCGCCUCUCCUAGUUUAGUAUUAAAUCUCCCACUACUGUCAUCUUGGUAAAGUAACUAGUCUAAAUUGCGAGCUAAGUACAAGGUCACAUGCAUUAUCACUGUUUCUUUCUCUCAACGUAAGCUCAUAAGAGGUUCUGUACCAUUAAUGGCCAGGAAUUCCAAGCCUGGCUGUCCCACACAAAUUGCCCUUUUCAUUUCAUUGGAAAAAUAAAAAAAACUUGAGCUACAGAAUACCCACCAACUUUUGCUUUAAUUUUCCUUAAUUUCCAAUUCCCAAGUUUACAUGUUAAUCAAUGCCAUUAUACGUACAGAAUUGACCUCUAAUUAUUGUGUGGCAACCUGCAAGUUACAGAGUCAUGCUUGCAUUUAGGUAUUAAAUUAUCUAAAAUUUGUCAAUUUAAAAUUGCAGUCAUCUUUCCUUGGACGGGUAUCUAGUCAUUCUCUUCCAUCCAAGAAAAGAAGCAGCACAGCCAAAUCAUUUAUUUUUGGACGAGAUGACAGUAAUAGUCGGAGUUCCAUUUUGAUAUUGGAAGACUCUUCUGACGCAGUAAGUUAUAUCAGUACUUAGUUCAGAUUAAAGUGUUGCUUUCUAUGUUUCCUGCUUUACAGUCUGCUGCUAUCACCCUUUUACUGUGCAUUGAAAUUUAUUGCAAUUUUUUGGUUGCUGCACUAUUACUAGCCAGGCUCUUAUCAGUAUUUAUCUCAAAUGUAGGUUGCAAAAGAAAUUAGACCAACACAAAAGUCUACAGCCAAAUUCACUAGCUCACAAGCCAAGUCUGUUACUCGAAGUUCCCAGAUUGUUGCUGAAACAAAUUCCGGAACUUCACUAAUUGAGAUACUGAAGCGAUCAACAAUGCAGUCUACUUCCUGUAACCAGGAUAAUAUGGUUGGCAUGACUCAGACUAUAUUUUCUGCAUUCAAAAUCCCUAAAAAACCAGUAAAAGUAGAAGGAAGAGCCAAAUAUUAGUGUACCAAUUAAUAUUGGUUGAUAUUGAGGUGGUAUCAAUCGGCUGGACAUUCAACGAUGAGCUGCAACAGAGGCCACAACAUCUGCAAUUCUGCAUGACUCCAAACUUGCAAAGAUACCGAGAAUUUUCUGGAAAAAUCUGUAAUCUUUUUCCUUUAAGCUUCUGUUCUACUUUUUAAGUUAAAUAAAUCUGCCAAUGCUGUUAAAUUUGUGUAAGUGUGCUAUUGUACCAUAGAAAUUAAACUGCCAUUGGAAAGAUCAGGACUGAGGCUGAUACAUCUCAUGUAUGAUGAGGCAAGCCUUCAAGUCAAAAAACUUGCCAUGCAAUGCCAUGAAGAAAGAUGGUACAAGAAAAUUUCCUAAUUCAUGUUAGCUGGAUCCUAUAAGUUUGGUCCAGUCCAAAUGUCCAAUCCAAUAAGAAUGCCCAAAAUAAGUUUGGGCUUUAAAAGAAACUAGUAUUCUUGCCCGCUACGCUUGGCAAUUUUUAUUUUUAUAUAAUAAAAUGUUUGAAGACAUAACAUUAUUGUUAAAUAUUUUAUGUAGGAUGAAGGUGAUAUAAAAUUAUUGUUCCUUUCUUUUUCUCCCAAAAUAUACAAACAUGGCAUAAUAUACGUCGCUCGACUUUUUUGCAUAUUAAAAAAAUUUUUAAUAUGAGUAUCUAAGAUUUCAUAUUAAAAAAAUUUUGUUUACAAAAAUUGAUCGGGACGGAGCUCACGCUUAUCUCCCUUGGAGCAAGUCCGUGCGCGUUUCUCAAUCCUGUUUGACCUAUCUUAAUUUUUUUUAAAAAUAAAUAUGUCUUUUUACUGAAUUUAAGAUAAAUAACACCCUCCUAAUAUCUAUUUUCAAAAAUCUAUAUGAUAGUAUGUAUUUUAUUUUGACCAAUAAACAUAAGCCUGACAAACUUAUUUGGUUAAGUAAACACCCUUUUUCAGUUUUGUUAUGUUGUGUUUGGUUAGAAUAUAAUAAUUUCAUUCGUUCUACUAUUCCAUUCUUAUUGGAGCUCAAAACCUUCAUUUGUGAAGAAAUGGUUUAUUUUUUAUUAUAUCUAUUUUCUAUCCAAAUUUUUUUAUACAAAAUUUGCUUUCAUUCAUCUUUUUUCAAAGUUUUCCCACUUAUACUCUAUUAUUAUCUUCUCAAUAUUUACUUAUUUUAUUCAAUUUCAUUCACCGCAACCAAACACAACAUUGUAAAAUUGAAGAUCAAGAAGGUAGGCUUGAAUUUGAGAUGAAACCGUAAAACUGAACAAUUUAAAAAUGGUAUACUAAUCUGAAUUGCAGCUCUUGACAAAAAUUGUUAGUAUUAAAUUUACCAAAUACUUUUUACUUGAGAAAAAAGCUGGUCUUUCUCUUUGCCAAAUCAAACACGAAUGUAUAUUAAAUUUGUGAGUACGAUGUUUGAGUAGAAAAUCUCAGCAAGUCAGUUAGGUGCGUAUAAAAAUAUGAAAGACCUGUUCUUCAUGAUUCAUGAAUAUAAAAUCGGACUGAUUUAUUAGUUCGGUUGAAUAUAGUUUGAUUUUCAAUUAAAUAUAUUCGGUGCCUGUGUCUGGAGUCUUUGGACUGGGGAGUUGGGGGAGAGCACGAAAAGUAGAGGACAACCAGAGCAAGAGCCAAGAUGCAACUUCGUAACACCUCCUGUUUUUUAUUUGAUGUUUUCAGUUUAUUUUCAAUUUUGAUUUAUUAUAGUUAAAUAGUAAAUAUUAUUAUCAUGGGUAAUUUUUUUUUUUUGAGAACCAAUCAUGGGUUAUUUUUGGAAACUAAAAAGUUACUGUGACGACCCGAAUUUUCUGAAAUUAUUUUAUUAUUUUAUUCCUCAUUUUUCAUGAAAUUAUUUUAUUAUUUUAUUCCUCAUUUUUCAUGAAAAAUCAUGAAAAAUGAGGAAUAAAAUAAUAAAAUAAUUUCGGAAAAUUCGGAUCGUCAAAUUACUCUGUUUAUAUAUUCCUUUUCCAUUUUUAUAGAAAAAUUAUUGUGAAAACACAUUAUUUUUAUUCUUUCCAGCGUAAAAACUGAAGGAAGGUUAAAAUGAAAUACUACGAUCUAGAUUAUGGUAGUAAUAAAAUCAUUAAUUAACGUUGAUAAUCAAAGUGGUGAUAAUUAUUGGCAAUUCUUUUUUUUUUUUUUUAUUUAAAUUUUAUUAUUGGCAAUUCUUCUACAACUCCUCCGUAUCUUUUUCUUGACAUAUACUGUAGUAGUACUACAUCCACCUCCAUCCAGCUGUCUGCCUUUUUAGCUCUACGGUCGUUUCUUGUUUGACUCUUCCGGAAUAAAUCAUUAUUCUACUUUUUAUGAGUACCACUAAUUACACAAUUAUCUAUUGCACAAUCAUACUUUUCCAUGAAAAAGUAAUUAUUAACAUCCGUGACAUUUUUCCCACUAUUCAAAAUUUAUCUUUAAUUUGAUUUAGUUAAAUAAAUUAAUAAUUUCUAAGUUUACUCUUCGACAAAUUAUCAACUUAAAUUUUAGUUAAACUUUUAGAAAUAUAGGAGUGACAAAAUUAUCAAUUUAUCAUAGUUAUCGUAUUUGACAUUAUUAUUGAUUUUUUUUGGAAAUGAAUAUAAUAAGAAUCAGACGGAAACUGUGCUAUGGGGCCCUUUUAAAAAAAGUGCUUCUUGCUUAAAGGAGUGGAUUAUAAGUGAGAAGUAAAUUAAGACUAAGGGAUUGUAUUCGAUUGGGAUUUUAAAUGAUUUUUUUCACUAAUGAAAUUUGAGAAUAUUCAAUUGUGAUUGUUUAAAAACCAUUAAAUCCUGGGUGUUCAAUUGAGAUUUUAAAUUAUGCUACAAUUUUUGGUGAUAUUUAAUUGAAAUUGUUUAAAAUCCAUCAAAAUAUGAUGGUACUCAAAUGAUGGAUUUUUUUUGGAAUUUUAUAAAAUUAUGAAUUUAUGGGAUUUCUCAGUUUAUUCUAAUUUUUUUUUUGAAAUCCCACCAAAAUCGAUGAGAUUUUGAAACAUUGUGUUUAAAUCUGAAAGAAUUAUCAACUCUACGACAUUUUAUCAAGAAUUCGCGCAAAUCAAAAUCACAUACAAUUCAUUAAAAUUCAUAAUCGAAUACAACCCCAAGAUUUAUGAGUGAUUAUACUAUUUAGGAAAAAAAAUAGAAGUUUUGAAACGAAAUCUAAUAUUCCAAAUUUUUUAUAAAUGUUUUUUGUUAUUUACAUAAACGGGUAAAAGAAAUUGAAAUAAAAAUCAGAAACUCUUUUUGUCAAACAGGCGCAAUAUUUCACGUCGAUUCCAAAACUAAAAAUUUCUGGAUGUAAAUAGUAAACAUGUUUUUAACUUUACAUCGAAAGUUUAAAAACACACAUGUUUAUAGUAUUUUAUAUAUUCUGUACACACAUAAAAUCUAGAGUUCUCAGAUCCGGAGACUUUGACUUCAUAUAUUGGAAAUUAAACACAAUUUCUACACCGUCUGGCUGGUUUCAGCUGGUUCCCACGUGCUCUGAUGCGUUGUACAAGUAUGUGAGUAUGUGGUUUCAUGGAAUUAUAUUUAUAGAGACACUGGCGUGUCGGAUAGUUAAAAAAAAAUUAUAUAAAAUUAAAUGAGAUUAAGAGAUCUCUUAUCAUGCAAAAUAUAUACACAGCUCAUAUUUAUUAAUUUUUUUAGAUAUUUGAAUUUUUAUUGAAUAUUAAUAAGUAAAUUUCGUAUCAAAUUUGUUCAUAGCUCGUUAGUGAUUCAAAUCUAUUUAAGAUAACUAAAUAUCAAUUUUGAAUAAAAAAUCUAUCUAAAAUAUUAGUAAAUGUAUGCAGACUUCCGCAAUUAAAUAUCUGAACCAUGAUUUUAAACUUAACAAAUUAUUUUAUAUAUUUGAAAAUUAAAAAUAUACGCAGUAUAUUGUUGACUUUUGACAAACCGAAAUUCUCAAGUUAUGUUCAACCCGUGCUUUCUAGUUUCUAAUACGGUAACUUUGACGUGGCAAAAAAAAUAUACAGUAACUUGAUUGGAAUUUAUUUUCUUAAUAUUGGGUGCUUUCUAGUAAUUUGUUUUAAAAUUAAUUUCUUAACAAAACAGGGAGCCCAACAUUUUUAAGAAUGUAUAUACUGAGAAAAGUAAAACCCUAAUUUUCUCUCUGACCUUGAGAUAGCCGCCGUCUCUUUUAUCUGAGGGGCUUCCACCGGUGAAAAUUCACCGGUGGAAUCUUGUCUUCUUUUAUUACUAUUAGUUAAUCUUUUGUUUUCUUCAACAAGUUCCCAAUUUAUUUGGGUUUUGUUUGGUCUCUCCUUCUGUGAGAGUUUGGUUUUUGUUUGGGUUUUGUGUGUUCAUCAUGUCCGGGAUUACAGAUGUGCGGGUUUUUGAUGGUGUUGAUUCAGUGAUAAAGGUUUGUAUGGUGAUGUAUUUAUGGUCGAUUGCUCAAAACAAUAUUGGGAGUAUUACAGCAUGUACAUAUCUUUUCAAAAAAUCGAUUGGUUGCCUACCGAAGAAGGAAGGAUUCAACGACGACAUGAUUAUGCGUUUGUUCAAUUUCGAUUAUAUCUGUAGAUGCCGUAGGGCUUUUCAUUAUUGAAUUAUUUUCCUUUUCAAAAAAAAAUUAAUUUCUUAACAACAUUUUUAUUCCAAUCCGGGUCGAGAUAUAAAUUAAUUGGGUGAAGAACCCCAACGCAAAUUAAUUUGUCCCAACUGAUUUAUUUAUUUUUACCAAAAUAAGAAUGUGAUUUACACUUCUUCAACACAACUAAAAAACGAAAGUGUGCUCAACAAGAUUUGUACUCAUCCAAGUAAACGCCACCAAACGACACCGCACCGCGCCUUCAGACAUACCACACCCCAAAAACCAACACGUGUACGGCAGAUCUUCUGUAAUAACUCCCCUUAUCCUCAAACCUCAUCAACAGUAAAUAACUAACCAUAGUUAACUCCUCUUCACUGUAAUAACACAAACCAUAGUUUAACUGCCGCCGCAUUUCAACAUUAUUUUAUUCAUCAUCAACUUCUCAUCUUCAACUCCUCCUCCUCUCUCUCCUUUUUCUCGCUCCGAACAGCCCACCGUCGCUGACCCGACCCGCUUUCCGUUGUUUCAAGUUUCAACUCCCCGUUCACAUUUGCUCCCUCGCAGUUUCUUAUCUAAAUUAUAAAAAUAAAUAUUUAAAAGUUUGAUGUUGUUUAUUUGAUCUUAGAAAAAUGGAGAACUCGGUUUCAGCUGAAGCUAGUGUGUGUUCUUCACCUACUCAGACGCCAGUUCCGGCCGUUAAGAAAAAACGCAAUCUCCCCGGAAUGCCAGGUAAUAUAUCGUAUUUUAACGAAUAUAUACAUAUUCGUUAAGAUACAUAUUCGUUAAGAUACGAGCAAGUUUUUUGUAUUUGAAUGAAUAUAUAAAGUUAUUAUAUAUUCAUUCAAAUACAAGCUACAAACAGUUCAGGUUUUGUGAAUCGUUUGUAGCUGUUAAUAUAACUAUUUGUAGUAUGUACUAAGUGAUUGAAGCUGUUAAUAUCACUAUUUGUAGUAUGUAAUAAGUUAUUGAUAAGUUAUUGAGGAUAUGAACUUUUUGAUGUUAUUGUAGAUCCAGAAGCAGAAGUGAUAGCGUUAUCGCCGAAAACAUUACAAGCGACAAACAGAUUUAUUUGCGAGAUUUGUAAUAAAGGAUUUCAGAGAGAUCAAAAUCUGCAGCUCCAUAGGCGAGGUCAUAACUUGCCAUGGAAGCUAAAGCAGAGAACAAGCAAGGAGAUUAAGAAGCGAGUUUAUGUUUGUCCGGAGUUGAAUUGUGUGCAUCACGAUCCGGCUCGAGCUCUAGGAGAUCUUACUGGAAUUAAGAAGCAUUUUAGCCGAAAACACGGGGAGAAGAAAUGGAAGUGUGAGAGGUGUUCGAAGAAUUACGCUGUGCAGUCCGAUUGGAAGGCGCAUAGUAAGACUUGUGGUACUCGGGAGUAUAGAUGUGAUUGCGGAACUUUGUUUUCUAGGUUUGUUUUACAUUUCUUAUGUUUUGGUAUUGUUGCGAUAUCAAUAUUGAUGCAAUCAUAGAACUUUAAUUUUUGGAGCCUCUUUCAUAUUGCUACUUAAUAAUAUGCGCUGGCUUGGAAUUGUAGAUUGAUCAGGAUUAGAAUUUGAUGAUUAGAUCAAUACGGGUAUACAAGUCUGAGACUAUGUUACUCUUCUGUUUGGAGGAUGACUUGAUAGUUAUAAUACAUAUCUUAAUUGAUUGUUAAAUAGUAUUUGAAAAAAAAAAUUGAGUUCAGUUUGCAUGAAUUGAUUUGUAGGAGAGACAGCUUCAUCACACAUAGAGCAUUUUGCGAUGCUUUAGCUCAGGAAACUGCAAAAGCUCAGCCAUCAGUAAUUGAUGAAGAUGCUACUGCCGUCAAAGCUGAGGAGGUUCCUCCACCACCUCCGCUGCAGUCUAGUCCUCAGCCACCUCAUACUCCGUCUACCUCAGUACUAUCUCCAGUUCUUUCGAUUCAGAGCUCAGGUAAUAAAACACGAUAAUCCUCUUAAGUUGUCCACAUUGUAGAUGUUGAACUUUUGGAAGCUAUCUAUGGUUUUGUUUUGUUUAGUUCAGUUGCAAGUGUUAUUUUAUUGUUAUGAUUUGUCUAUAUGCCAUGCUAGUUUGGUUCUCAUGUGAAAAAAGAUAUUCAUUUUAGUGGUUCUUUGUUUAUUGGCAACUUUCUGAGAGGAGUAAUUUACGAGUUAAAUAGAGCAAAAGGAACAAAAAAGCAAUUAAGAAAGGGGGAUUUUGAGUGUUGGGAGAGAGAAAAGGAAGCCAUAAUAGCCUGAAAGCUUUUUAACUCCAAUUCAAUAAGUUCAAACUUUUUAAAAGGGAACACCAUAUUAUUUUUUCGAUUUUGCUGAAUCUGAUCUUCAGUUCAUCAUUGUUUAUUUACCAGAGAUACAUGAGAAUCCAAGCGGGUUUUUGCAACCAGCACAGUCCCCUGCCACCACAAGUGCAAGUGGUUCCUCCACCUCUAGAAGUGGCAAAGUAAGUAACAGUGUUGACAAAGUAAGUGAUACCAGUGCUGUAUUUGCGAGUAUAUUUGCAUCAUCAUCGGCAGCUCCACCUGUAGUCUCACAACCACCUUCUUCGUACUUGUGUGACGUGUCUUGCUCUGACCGAACUCCUAUAGAACCCAUGUCAUUGUCGCUCUCAUCAUCCUUAUAUUAUUCAAGCACCCCCUCAUCUUUAUUCCCAGCUUCAGACCAGUGUCAGUACAAGGCGUCAUCACAGGCAGCACUAUCAGCAACUGCGUUGCUACAAAAGGCAGCUCAAAUGGGCCCAACUUCUUCGGGUUCUUUCCUCCGUGGCCUUGGCUUAUCAAUGUCAUCAGGUCCAACUGAUCCUCGCGAUGACGUGACGACCUCACCUACAAUGCAAUGGAAGGGAGGCAACACAUCGAAUAAGAGCAACAAUCAUCCAAUGGCAGCUGACCUUGGACUCGGAUUUUCUAACGAUGCCAGAGGAUCACACUUGACAAAUCUGAUGUUGAGUGGCUCACCAUCUUUGUAUGGAAACAGACCCACAACUCUUGAUCUACUCGGGCUUGGACUUGGAGGAGGUGGUGCAGCUUCCUCGAACAGGUACUCAGCAUUUCUCGGCUCGAUUGGAGGUGGGCUUGACGCUGCGUAUGGUGGUGUAAACUCUACCAGAGAAACUUGGGAUGAUCCUGCAGAAAGAAAGCCAACACUCAUGUAAAAUGUACAAGGACUCUACUCCUUGCUUUUCUAUGCUUCCUUUUCGAUGGUAAAGACAUUUUCUUAGAUCUUAAGCUUUUCUCUACCAGUAAAUUUUUAAGCAUGUGAAUUAUAGAAUAGUUAAAAAUCUAAAAAUUACCGAGAAUAUUAUUUCGACCGUUCGUUACACCUCAAUUUGCCAGUAUCAUUAUAAUCUAACAGUAACAGAUAUGCAGUGAAAAUUAUUCUUCAAAUGUUUGUUUGUUUGUUGUUUGGUACACAAAAAUGAAAUAUUUAACCCAAUUUUAGAUACUAUCUUUAUCUUAAUCUACAAGUUAAAAGGCAAACAUGCCCUUUGGAUGGUGACCAUGAUUUAUUGAUUUGAUAGAAAGAGAAUAUGUGUGUGUGUAAAGAGGAAAAUGAUGGUGCUCAGGACCUUAAAACUCAGCAAUAUCUAGUUGAAGCCAAGGAAGUCUAAAGUCGACUGUUGAGGAAUCAUUUAGUUGCCAAUUUGGUAUGGACCAUGUCUUGCACUUUCCACCAUAGAUAUCAAACUACAUCAUUAUCCCAAACAGUCACUCUUUGAUGAUGAAGAAGAUAGAAUUUUUCUCUCAUUUGGUAUAAUAUCGAUUAAUAAGUUUAUUAGUUUCCGUCUCGAGCUAGGUUAAUAUAUUUGAUCAAUUUAUCGGUUGCACUUCGUUCGAUUUGACAAAAAUUCCUGAUCUAUUGAAAAAAUCUUUGAUAAAUUCUGAAUCGGUAAAUGAAUCGAUUAGGUCAGAUUCUUGAUUUUGACUAUAAAUUACUCAUCUAAAAUGAUUGUCGAACUUUGGAAAAUAUUUAAUAUCAGAUAAAUUAUUCAUCAGAAAUGAAUCCCGAACUUUGGGAAAUAUUUGUUUCAAAGUAUUUCACUCACGUCUCACUAACUUGUUACAAAUCGGGUUAAGAAUAUCCUAGAGGACACACAAAUAUGGGAUGAAUUUGUGGCGUGUGGAGUUUUAUGUGUACUGCUCUUCUGCUAUGUUCAGCUUGUUAGCCCACAACUAGCAAUGACAAUGAAUCAGUGCUACACAUGUUGUCAUAGAGCAGCACUAGUCAAAGUAAGUACACAAGUCCAAAUCUACCUACCGCUACCAGUGUGGCAGUUUCCUCAUGGCCUCAUUUAUUGUUGCUCUUAAAUCUUACUCUAAUUAAAGCCAAAUUUGUUGCUUGUUUCUUUAGGAUAUCGUAUGCUAUUUGAUUUAAUUUAUUGACUGAAAUUUUUGAAAUUGCUUAUUUGAAUAUUUACGAGUCGAACUCUAAGUUGAUCUAAAAAUAUCUUAAUUAUGUCACGUGUAUAUUAUUAUCUAAAUAAUAGAUUUCUUGUGAAUGAAGUGAAAAAGUGCACUUCUGAGUUUUUGUGACAAGUUGGAACCUAAUAUUUCUUAUGUUAAUAUAUAAUUUGAAAAUUAUUUGAUCGAACUCGAGCUCAAACAAAAAUUUAAAAUUACUUAAUCAAGUUUAAACUUGAAUUUGAUACUAUUUAACCUGAAUGGUUUACAUUUAUAAUAAACAUUUUCUAUUUUGAAUUUUAAAUAAGAAUCUCCAAGAUUUAGUCGAUCUGUAGUCAAGUUUAUGAGUUGGAUGAUUUCACAGAGAACCUAAUCCAUUAGACAGACAUGCACAUUUAUAAAGGAGGCAGAUUGAAGUUGGCUCCUUCAAAUUUCUGACCACCCACAACACAUUCUUUACAAAACUAACCACCUUUUUUUUCACUUCACAAAACUAACCACCCUAAUUCGUUUACACCAAGGGCGAACACCACAGAAAGUUAAUUUGCUGCAGGCCCCCACCAGGGGCGAACAACAAAAAUGAGAACAUAUAUGUUCGCCCCCCACAGGGGCGAACAUAGAAGGGGAAUUUGACUUCUGCAAUCUUCACUUCACUUCAGUUCAAUUCGAGGGAAAUUGUGAUAUAUUAUUUAUAUUAUUAUAUUUUAUAAUAUUAUAUUAUAUAUUACAAAAUUAUUUUAUAUAAAAAUGUAAUAUUAUUGUAUAUUGUAGUAUUUUAAUACUUAAGGUCAUAUUUAAGCUCAUAAAAGAUAAAUAAUAUUAUUAUUGUUUUGUUUUUGUUAAUCCGAAAACGUCCUGUAAUAUCUUGUCCCGAAUGCAUUUGAUCAAACACAACAAUUUUAUUCAUAGAAGAUAUUAAAACAAACAACGAUAACACAACUUAAAUUGAAAAGCAGAAAACAAAUCACGACGAAACUACAGACCACUUAAUCGUCCUCGGACGACAUUACACUAUCAGAAUAAUAAUCCGGAGUGGUGACCAAUGCAAGGUAUUGUUGUUCCUUAAACCGGUCCCCUUCUUCCCGAAACAUCCUAGCAUCAUCGUAUAGACUCUGACGAUGCAGUCGCAGAUUCAUGCGAUUCUCCUCUUCUCUCGCUCUGAAGAGGGCGGCCUCCAGCUGCUGCGGCGUUUCUCGAGGCAUAGUACGAGCCCUUUGUUUAGGAAUCGGAAUCCCAGCUAGUGCACAACGUUCCAUGCACACUUCAUGCCUACGCACACGCCACUCCCACUCAUUCAACAUGGUGGUAAUCGACUGAGGGGAGUAUCGUAAAUUAGGGUUUAAAGAGUACGUAAAGUCAUCAUCACACCACCAUUUUCUACCCAUGGCAACAAACAGAUCACCUGGUGUGUAACUCAUGAUUUAUGAUGAACUAUAUCUUGUGUGAGGUCUAUGGUUGUGUGUGCAUUGUGCAUAUUGUAUGUGAACCUAUUUAUAGGCAUAGCAUAACAUUGCAACGAAAUAAUGCUGAUAUUCACAUGAUCAACAGUUGUAUCCCAUAAUGCUGAUAUUCACAUGAUCAACAGUAGUAUCUCAUAAUGCAGAGGUUCACAUGAUGAACAGUAUGUCAUAAAGUAAAGGUUCUGCAGAAAGUAAGGCUGCAUUAGACUUAAAGCCAAAGGACUUGUAAAAUCCAAAAUUAUUAUCAGAUCCGGAAAGAUUUUUAGCCACUUGUAAAUGCAUUAUUUUGAAGGGGAAUAACUGCAUCCUUCAAUAACAUAUCAAACUGCAAGGACUUGUCAUAUCAAACUUUAAUUAUGAGUUGUCUACUCACCCCUUUAAAUUGCAGCUACUGUUCUACUGCAUUACAAGUUUGACUCAAAAAGAUACAAGAACUGCAGAGACUUGUCAUUUCAAAUAUUUUAAUUAUUUUAAUCAAAUGUAAUUUUAUUUUCACUUUAUGUAAUGCUUGUGUUUCCUUUAAUUUUAUGUAAUGCUUGUGUUCUUUUAAUUUUAUGUAAUGCUUGUGUUUCCUUUAAAUUACACAUCCCUCAGUUUAUGUAAUGCUUGGAUUAACAAUAAUAAAAAAUAAGCACUAAAAUAUGUGGUUUUUUCGGUAAUAUGAAUAAUUUUGUUUAGGUUAAUAUAAAUAGAUAUUGCUCAUAUCAUUCUGAUUUGCAAAAAUAAAAACUGCAAAUAAAAGUACAUUUGAUAAGUUCGAGGUCUUUAAUAUUCUCAAUCCUGAGUUAUGUCGACAUAAUAGUCGGAAUCAUAAUCUUCAUCAUCAUCUUCAGCAUCAGCGGCCACCGAGGUAUGCUUUUCAUUGCAAUCAUAAAGAAAAUUUGGCACAUCUCCCCAUACUUCCCAAAAUUCAGCUUCUUCACGUGCAUCAAGUUUCUUCUGCAGUGCAUCACAUUCUUUCGUAAUUCCAGCCAUGUAUCGAUUGUAGCGAGCAUCAGAAAAUGGGAUACCCAACCGACGAAGUCUGUCAAAAUAAAGUUGUUGAACUUCAGGAUAACGUUCGGACUCGUCUAAUACCUCCUGAUAUGUCGGCACCCAAUCUUUGCCCUUUCUGAUUCUCCUAGUAGUAAACUUGCGGCAAGAGUUGUUGAAUUUCAUCUGGGCCAGCUCUCGAGCGUGCUCUUCGGCCUGGCGACGUUUCUCCUGUAAGAUCUCCUCUUUAAGGCUCAUUGGAGCCCCCCCUGGAUGCUGAUUCGUCGCCAUCCGUCCCAUUGGUGGGCGACGCUUUUGUUGCACGACCGGUUGUUGGUUGUUCUGGUUGCUGCGCAUUCCUCCCAACAAUAGCUCCGGUUGUCUUCUCUCUUGUUUUUUUAGGCGUUUUUCAUAGCCGGGGGUCAUUGGUGCCUUGCCCUUAUCCAUUUUGGGGUGAUUGAAGUGAUUAAAAGAAGAAGUGUUGCAAUGACAAACAAUAAAAUGAGUGAAGUGUAUGUGUUGAAUGUAUGGGGGAGAACAUAUUUAUAGGACAGCUCCACAUUGAAUUAUUGUUGUAAUAUUAUGUAUAUUCAAAAGUAGUUGCAGUUAUGACAUAAUUCAAAAUUUGUAUUAUGGCAACUCCCUGCACUGCUCUUCUUGCAUGUUUAAAAUUUCGAAAUGACAAGUCUCUGCUGCAUUUUUGUCUAGGGUAUCUUAAAAUUUUCUUCAGCUUUCUUUUGCAGGUACUUUAUACAAAGCAUGCAUAUUACUGUAGAGUUGGAGUGUGUUGUCAAGCUAUCAUGUCAUGCUUAUUGCUGUACACAUGUGAACCAUGUCUUUUUGCAGAACCUCUUGUAUCUUUUUCAGUCAAACUUGUAAUGCAUGCACAGAAGAACAGUAACUGCAAUUUAAAGGGGCGAGUAGACUACUCAUAUUUAAAGUUUGAUAUGACAAGUCCUUGCAGUUUGAUAUGUUAUUGAAGGAUUCAUUGAUUCCCCUUGAAAAUAAUGCAUUACUAGUGAACUGCAGCUUUUCUUUUUGCAGAACCUUUAAUUUAUGCCCUACUGUUGAUCAUGUGAACCUCUGCAUUAUCAGAUACGACUGUUCUCAUUAGAAAAAUUUGUAUCAAAAAUAUUACUCUAUCGUUAGUGGAAAUUUUGAAAAUAUUAUAUAUUGAGUUUCACACAUUUUUUAUGAAUGGUAUUACAUCCAAAUGAAAGAUUCCGAGUCCUACUAUUUUUGCUAAUAUUUUUAGAUUUUUAAAAUUUUAUCAACUAUUUAUUUUUAAUUUUUUGAUUGUUUUAUUUGAUUUAAAUAAAAAUAAAUAGGAGAAGUUUUUAUUCCGUUUAUUUAUCCCGUUUAUUUAUUGCUUUAACACCAUAAGCAAUAAGUUUAUGUAAAUGCUUCUGUUUCGUACUCUAGUGCUUGAAACCCCUUUUAUCAAAGGAGCAAUUAUAACUCCUCCUGCUCAUGCACAGUAUACGUAUAGUCACCUCCUAUGCAUUAUUACACUUGUGAAGCACCAAUUAUUCAACUAGUUAGCCUACUAUUCAUGCACAGUAUGUUUCUCUUUAUAUGUUGCAGCUCUCCAUGCAUAUUGAAUCACAUCUAAACACAGCAAACCCAGUUUGAAACUCUUCAAAAAUUAGAGAAGCACACAAACACCCAAAAACACACAACCACAAAAAUGGCAAGCUACGUAAACGUGAACAUCUUCUGGGGCGGUGAAAUCGUGAAGCAAGAUAACGAUGUUAUCUAUACGGCUGAUCCAAAAGAGAUGAGGUUUAUCGAAUUCGGCACUACAUUGGAAGAGUUACACGAUAUUGUGUAUGAGGUUAUGAACAUAAGUAGGCAUCACUGGAAUUUGAAACUCAGUUUCAAAUAUCCUAGACUUGGUGUCGGUAACCUCGUAACAGGAUAUUUUGUAAAGUCCAUUAGGUCGGACGACGAUGUGAGGAGGAUGCUAAGCAUCCCCGGACGAUUUUUGUAUGGGAUGGGAGACGUAUGGAUGUUUGUUGAAGCUGAGAGUGUUGCUCAGCAAAGCCAACCCUAUGAAGCCCCAUGGACCCAACAAUCUGGGCAGUCGCAUACAUUUCUUGAUAGCCAACAAUAUGAUGGGAACUAUGCAGGAAACUGUGGUGGGGGUUACGGUGGCGACUAUGGAGGAAGCGAGUUGGGGUCUAUGGCCGGAUGGUCAAAUAGCGUAUUCCAAAGUGGCUACAACUACGGGACCGUAGGGCAUACAGAAGUUGCUGAGGAGGACAUACAAUUGUCGCAGCCUCGUCAAACGCGAGACAGAAGUGCAGCUGUGAAUCUUGCACUUCACGGGGACGAAGAAGAUGAAGAAAAUGCCACGGAAAGAGCAUUAACUACAAGUGACGAUUCGGAUUGGAAUCUGUCAGACGAAGAGGUUGAGGAAGAAUCUGAAGACUUUUCAGAAGCCGACUCGGAUGAAGUCCGAGAGGGGAAUACCUCGUUGCAGACGCGCGAUAUGUCUGUUUAUGUACCAAGGGCUGCAUGGUUUGGAUCUCAGCAGUACGAGACUGAGAUAGUGUCCAAUGUGGACACUAUCAUGUCCCACGGGUUCAAUCCAUCCGUUGAUGAGUUAGGCGUCGGAGCCAUGUUUCGUAACAAAGAGGUUCUAAUCUCGGCGGUUAAGGAGGCACAUAUUAAAAUGAAUCGGAACUUUGUUGUGCAAAAAAGCACUACGCAAAAAUACAAAGUCAAGUGUACAGUCUAUGAUUGUAAGUGGAAGUUAAGGGCGGCGAAGAAAAAGCAGCACGGUAUGUUUGAAAUCACAGAAUGUCCUGAGACACACACGUGCUUGUUGGAUAGGCCGACACAGGAUCAUAAGAAGAUUUCAGCAAAAAUGAUAGGGUCAUUGGUUGCUCCACACGUAAGUCGCACAACCUAUUGUCUCUUAUUGACACUGAUUUUUUGUCCUUUUGAUUGUUAAUACUUGUUCGUUUCAACAGAUUUCACAAACCCCAAAUCUUAGGGUAACAAACAUUAUAACAAUGGUGAACGAUGAGUUCCAGCACAUUGUUAGUUACAGCAAAGCGUGGAGGGGGAAGAUGGCUGCAAUGGAGACCCUUUAUGGCAAUUGGCAGACUACCUAUAAUGAGUUACCACGGUUCCUCUCUGUCAUGGCAAGUACAAAUCCAGGGAGCGUAAUGGAGAUUGAUGCGGUUCCACAUCAAACUGAGAUUGGCAAAUCUGUAUUUGUUCGCGCAUUCUGGUGUCUGAAGGCGAUGAUUGAUGGCUGGCAGCACGCUCGCCCAGUCAUUUCAAUUGAUGGUACAUUCCUCAAGGGAAAGUACAAUGGAAAGUUGCUGGUUGCGGUGGGAGUGGACGCUAACAACCACCAAUAUCCAAUUUGUUUUGCCCUCGUGGAUGAGGAGACUACGGAGAACUGGUCCUGGUUCCUACGUCUUCUACGAAUACAUGUAUGCCGAGAGAGACUUGGCGUUUGUAUUAUAUCGGACCGUGCCCCCGGGAUCCUCGCUGCAGUGAAUGACGAGCGCAACGGCUUCACUGAACCUUUUGGUGUUCACAGAUACUGCCUCCACCAUGUGAGAAGCAACUUCUCCAAACAUCACCCGGGAAAUGACUUGAAGAUGUUCAUGUGGCUAGCAGGCCGAACACCACAAAUAAGAAAGCACGAGGCUUACAUGAAACAUAUUGCCCGCAUUUCUCCCCAAGCGGUGACAUAUUUGCGGGAGAUAAAUCCUGCCUUGUGGACCAUCUGUCAUGACACAGGCCACGCUCGUUACGGCCAGGCCACUACCAACGUGACGGAGAGUUUCAAUGGCAACAUUCGACAAGCUCGCUUCCUACCGGUCACCGCAAUGAUGGAAUUCCUCUUUUACAAAACUGUAAGGACGGUGAACAAGGAGAGAAACGCUGCUCUAGAAAGCAUGCAAGAAGGUCAUGAACUCUGCCUGCGAGCUAGGAGAAUGUUGGAAACCAAUACUGAGAGGGCUAACGCCCACCACGUUGAAACAUUUAACCGGCAAAGUGGUUUAUUCUCCGUAAAGACGCGUAGGUACAGGUUGAAAGGUGUGGAAAAGGGCGGAAACACACAAGUCGUGGACAUCAGAAGGGGUACUUGCACGUGCGGGAAAUGGGCCUGUCAUCGCCUUCCAUGUUCUCAUCUGAUUGCUGGGUGUAAUCGUAAUUCCAUAAACUGGAAACAGUGGAUCGGCCCUUACCACUACACUCCCGUUUUGCAAAAUAUGUGGGAGCCUAUGAUAUAUCCGUUACCAGCAACCGGCUAUUGGGAUGUGCAACUCCCAUUAGCAUGGCAAAGGUAUGGAACCGUGGUGCCGAACGAGGCCAUGCGAAAGAGAAGAGCAAAGCGAGGCCAAAGGGGGCAGUCGGUGAGAAUACGGACCGAGAUGGACGGUUCCCGAACGGGACACAAAUGUAGUCGGUGCAAGCAAGAAGGUCAUACGAAGCGGAACAAGAAGUGCCCCAUGUACAAUGCAUAAUACAUUGUACACAUAUUAGAUGUUACUAUGUAUUAUUUUGCCUCAGUGACUUAGUAAGGCAAGAAAAAGUCUUGUAACAUUUCUAGUUGAUUUAAUGAAUUUUCCCGGCUUUAAACAUUUAAAUCGCAUUAUAUUAUAGUUCCCAAUUUUCCAACCAAAUAUGACUUUUAUUACCAGUUUAUGGGUUCGAAAAAUCAUAAUUUGGAGUGCUUUCACCCCCAAUUUUGUUGGUUAACAAAAAUCAACGUAAACAAGUGUAGUUUUGUAAUCAUGUUUUGGAACAUAAUUUGAUCGUUUUUUAAUAGAAUAAGGGCAUUUUUUGAAAUUCUUGAAAAUGCAAAGAACUACCAUUUUCCACGAAUAUAUUGAUUUUUCAGACCACUUUCACGAGUCAAAAAAACAUAUUUUCGGAUACCAUUUCUUCAUGAAAUUUUUUCCUACCAAAGUCUUCACACCCUAUUUUGAUGGGAAGCAAAAAAUUUCAUCAAAAAAUAUAGGGAAGGGAGUUUUGUAAAUGCGUCAAGUGUCUCUAUGUGUAUAAGUUCAGAAUGUGAAAGCAAAUAUAGAGUUCAAAAGCACUGUAGCCAUGUGAAUAUUUUCGGUGCACAGAGAGAUUCGUCCUCUGUAGCCUUUGACUGUAGCCAUGUGAAUAUGUUUGGUGCACAGAGAGUAAAUGACUGUAGCCAUUUGAAUAUGUUUUGGACUUUGCAAUGAUAAAAUGGUGCAGAGAGAUUCGUCCUCUGUAGCCAUGUGAAAUUAUUGUGGCCUUUUGCAAUGAUAUUGUGGCCUUUUGCACUGUAGCCAUGUGAAAUUGUUGUGUUCUGCCCUUUGCACUGUAGCCAUGUUAAUGGUUCAGUACACCCAUGUGAGUAAAGUGGUGGAGGUGUGUGAAAUGCUUCCGGCCAUGUGAAACUGCAUAGAUUCCCUUACUGUAACCAUGAUAAAAGUAAAGUAAAUGGCAUAGUGGGGGGUGCUGUAGCCAUGUGAGGCACUACAUUGGCAGAGAUUCCAUUAUUUUCUUCAGCAAUAAUGCUGAGUGAACAUGUGUAUGAAGGGAGCCUACUUAGGAAAUUGGGGUUAUAAAUAGUGGAAAACUUGUUCACACUUUUUAAACAAAUCUUAAUUACAUGGAGCCAAUAGGUGAGGUUGUUCAAGGGGAUACGUGCUACUGUGAAAGGCUUGCCGUUCAUAGUCAUUAUCGAGGGAAAGGGCCUAAUGCUGGAAGAAUGAUGUCCCGGUGUCCACUAUGGCCAAACGGGUGCGGAUACAUGUUCUGGAUCGAUGACCCACUUGAGCCGCGUGCUAGUGCAGUGCUUACUGAGAUGACUAAGGAGAUGAGUGACAUGAUAUGGGAUCAUUACUUUGCGAAGGAGAGGAUUAGAGAGAGGCAUGAUGAAGAACUUAAAUCUGUGAAGGGGAAAAAAAUGGGGGAGGGUUGUUCAAAAAAGGGAUAAAAGUUGAUGUCCUGGCAACGUGCAUGUACUGUUGUUUUUCUUAUUAUGUUAAUCAAUAAUACAUUGUCCAUGUCCUUUCCUACUUUGCGAACUCAGUCUUAUAUAUUAAGUUAUUUACAUUUUAAUAUUUUAAAGUGACCUCUAUGUAAUUUUCGCCUAUAAAUAAGUUCUCCCUCAUCAUCUCACUUUCAUCACUAGCUCAAACACAUUAUAUCAUUUAUGGAUUCCGCUGCUGUCGAUAAGUGCUACUGUGACAAAGUCCUUGUUAAGAGGGUUUGUCGGGACAACGGUCCCGACGUUGGUAGACGGAUGUUGCAAUGUCCUGACGGCGCAACUGGUUGUGGUUACUUACUAUGGCUAGAUGAUCGACUAGACAACCGUUCAACUGUGGUCAUCAACAAACUUGCUGAGGAAAUAAGUGACCUCAAAUGGUCGCAGGCAGCGGAAGUGGCAGAAAUGGAGACGAAGCAUGCCGAAAGAGUAAGAAGAAUGAGGAAGACCAUGAAAGGUGAUGGAUCUCGAUGGGAUGCUGAGGAUGUGUGAUGUUAUUCAUGUUAUGUGUUUGUCUUCCAAUGCUGUUUAACUUAUGCACAUCUGUCUAUCUAUCUUUAUAACUGUUCCAAUUGUUGUUUGCUCGUGUUACGUUUGUAAGUGCCCACUCGUAUGUUUUAGUGGCAUUUUAAGUGGUAUGUUGAUGCGUACUAUGUUUGUGUGGCUUUGUUAGCAAUGACAAACAAUAAAAUUCAUGUUCGCCCCCCAGUCGGGCGAACAUACAAGGGCUUGCCUCGUAUCACUUGCGUUUACACUCCUCGCUUUUUUAAUUACCACAAACUCAAUUAUCAUACUACUUGACUUGCCCAUUUGGAUCUUGUGACUCACCGUUUUGGAUGUUUAACACGCAACUACCUGUUCUAUACGCUCGAUUAUCUGUUUUUUCUAUCGUGAUUAUUUUGCUAGUAUUUUAAAAAAAAUUGAAUUUUUUUUUCAAAUUUUAUUUAAUUGAAAAUUUUAAUUUAUUAUUUAUAAAUUAAAUUUUUCCACACCAUUUAAAAUAUAUUUAAAAAAUUUCUAAAUAAUUAAAAAGCUCUCGUGCCUUGCACGGCCUAUAAGCUACUAUUUUAAAAAAAGGUGGUUAGUUUUGUAAAGAAGUUGUUUAGUGUGGUUAGAAAUUUGAAGGAGCCUCAUUUAUUAUGUUAUGUCAUUUGUUAUGUUAUCAUGUAAAACGGGAAAGUGCUAAACAUUAUAGAACAAUAUGAGUGAACAAAAAACAUAAACAUAAUAAAAGUACAUAAACCGUUACUACCCGAAUAAAAGUACAUAAAGAUAAACAUAAUGCAUUAUCAAAUGCAUAAUAAAAGUAGCAUACACAUAAACAAAGUAACAUACAGGGGAAGGACCAAAAAGACCUACUUCUUUCGUAUGCCCGAACGAAAGUGACUUCCAGUGUAACAUCUACGACCCUUCCCCCUUCGCAGCUCUAGGUGGCUGCUGUCUCUGCUCAUGCUCGGAUGGCUCCUCAUCGUCAGACUCAUCCUCAACCUCCGACGGCUGUGCUGCUGCUCUCGGUGGACGCACAGGUGCGUACGCCCAGGGGCUACUAUCCCCCGCAAAUGCAGCAAAAGCGGGUAAAGGUGUGGUAAAACCCUGGCCGCUGGUGGANNNNNNNNNNNNNNNNNNNNNNNNNNNNNNNNNNNNNNNNNNNNNNNNNNNNNNNNNNNNNNNNNNNNNNNNNNNNNNNNNNNNNNNNNNNNNNNNNNNNNNNNNNNNNNNNNNNNNNNNNNNNNNNNNNNNNNNNNNNNNNNNNNNNNNNNNNNNNNNNNNNNNNNNNNNNNNNNNNNNNNNNNNNNNNNNNNNNNNNNNNNNNNNNNNNNNNNNNNNNNNNNNNNNNNNNNNNNNNNNNNNNNNNNNNNNNNNNNNNNNNNNNNNNNNNNNNNNNNNNNNNNNNNNNNNNNNNNNNNNNNNNNNNNNNNNNNNNNNNNNNNNNNNNNNNNNNNNNNNNNNNNNNNNNNNNNNNNNNNNNNNNNNNNNNNNNNNNNNNNNNNNNNNNNNNNNNNNNNNNNNNNNNNNNNNNNNNNNNNNNNNNNNNNNNNNNNNNNNNNNNNNNNNNNNNNNNNNNNNNNNNNNNNNNNNNNNNNNNNNNNNNNNNNNNNNNNNNNNNNNNNNNNNNNNNNNNNNNNNNNNNNNNNNNNNNNNNNNNNNNNNNNNNNNNNNNNNNNNNNNNNNNNNNNNNNNNNNNNNNNNNNNNNNNNNNNNNNNNNNNNNNNNNNNNNNNNNNNNNNNNNNNNNNNNNNNNNNNNNNNNNNNNNNNNNNNNNNNNCCCCAGUCGGGCGAACAUACAAGGGCUUGCCUCGUAUCACUUGCGUUUACACUCCUCGCUUUUUUAAUUACCAUAAACUCAAUUAUCAUACUACUUGACUUGCCCAUUUGGAUCUUCUGACUCACCGUUUUGGAUGUUUAACACGCAACUACCUGUUCUAUACGCUCGAUUAUCUGUUUUUUCUAUCGUGAUUAUUUUGCUAGUAUUUUAAAAAAAAUUGAAUUUUUUUUUCAAAUUUUAUUUAAUUGAAAAUUUUAAUUUAUUAUUUAUAAAUUAAAUUUUUCCACACCAUUUAAAAUAUAUUUAAAAAAUUUCUAAAUAAUUAAAAAGCUCUCGUGCCUUGCACGGGCUAUAAGCUAGUAUUUUAAAAAAAGGUGGUUAGUUUUGUAAAGAAGUUGUUUAGGGUGGUUAGAAAUUUGAAGGAGCCUCAUUUAUUAUGUUAUGUCAUUUGUUAUGUUAUCAUGUAAACGGAAAGUGCUAACAUUAUAACAACAAUAUGAGUGAACAAAAUACAUNNNNNNNNNNNNNNNNNNNNNNNNNNNNNNNNNNNNNNNNNNNNNNNNNNNNNNNNNNNNNNNNNNNNNNNNNNNNNNNNNNNNNNNNNNNNNNNNNNNNNNNNNNNNNNNNUGUACUAUAUUUAGGAUUUUUUAUGCAAUAUUUGUUAUUAAAUUCGAAAAUUAUUUUAAUUAAAUCAAAUAAUUAAAACGCUAGUGACGGAAAGCGCUCGUAAAUCCACACCUAGCGGCAAGGUUAGUACAAGUGCACAUGAUGAAUAAAUAAUGCAACAAUAAAGACGAGAAAGAAAGUUGUGGUUGGUUUAGUAUUACCUGUACCAAUGUGGCGUAGCCACAGAAAUCAGUACAGUUAUCCCGGCUAGAAGAACAUAGCUUCUGGUAUAGGAAGCCAAGAACAGCACUACCCCAGCUAUACCGACGCAGCUGGUCCAUGUCCCUCAGUAACCAUAGAAGGUCAAGCUGCACGCGGUUCCCGCUGCUGUGGGGGAACAAUGAUCCAAUAACGCAUAGUAGGUGCGCCCGAAUAUGGUAGGUAAGCUGUACACCAUAACCUAUAUCCUCUGGAUCCAACUGCUCCAACCGCUCACAAGACCCGAAGUUAUCCACAAGCCAUUUGAUCUUUAAACCACCUCGGUUAACAUCGUCCUUGGCUUCUGGUAAUAGCCCAAGAAAUUCGCCUACUAGCACGCGCCUUUCCUCCACGCUGGUACUCGCUCCACGGAGGAUCAGUGGAUCACCCUCAGUGGGUAACCCGAGAAUGUGAUGAACAUCCUCAAGAGUGAUAGUGGCCUCUCCGAACGGCAGGUGGAAGGUGUGCGUCUCUCCACGCCAUCUCUCGAUAAAGGCUGUAAUCAAACCCCUGUCGUGCUUGAACUGUCCCAGCCUAAAUAUGCAAUCAAAUCCUAAAUCCCUGAUUGCAUCCAUGAUCAUCUGAUGCGGUCUGUGGGCUCGAACUGCCUUCCAAUACUCCCCAAAGUUUGUCCUCAAUCUGAAAUCAGGGGGUGGCUGAAAUAAUUGUAGUGCACAAAAUAUUAGUCCCUAUAGGCUACAGACUCAUACAAAUGUAAAAAAAAUUGCACUAAAGAAGGAGUUUACCUCUAUGUUGUCCCACACAACCUGAGACCUGUGCACAGACUGUAAUGUCAACAAACUCCCGUCUAAAGGUCCGGGACCAGAACGACCGACAUCCAUCUGCGAAAUUAAAUUCAAAAUAUUUGUUAUUAAAUUUGAAAUUGUUUCAUUAAAUCCAAUAUUCGAAAUAAUUUUCAUUUUAAUUGUAAUAAUAUAACAUUGUGAUUUUAAUUUUAAUUGUAAUUAUGUCUAACUAAUUUUACAAAUAUGAUUUUUUUAUUUUAUAUUAUAUUUUAUAUUAUAUUUUAUAUUAUAUUUUAUAUUACUUAAUUUUAAAUUCGAAAUAAUUAUCUCUAACUAUUUUUACAAAUCUAAUUUUUUUUAUUUAUUGGAAUAAUAUAACAUUGUAUAAUUUAAAUUAAAAUUUGCACUACCACUACUUAAUUUAAACUACUAAUCUAAACUAAAAUUAGCACUACCACUACUAAUCAACAACUAUCAUCACCAACUACUAAUCUAUUUAAUUUAAUGGUGUCAAGUUUACUUUUAAAUCCGAUUUAAUUUAAUUUCAUUAAAUUCAAUAAAAGCUAAAAUUAAAUUGAUUAUAUUUAAUCUAUUCUUAACGUAAAUAAUACAAUAAUCAUCACCAACUACUAAUCUAAACUAAAAUUAUCACUACCACUACUAAUCAACAACAAUCAUCACCAACUACUAAUCUAAACUAAAAUUAUCACUAACAUAAGCUACUACCAAAUACCAACUAACAAAACCCAUUAUAAAUUAUCAAACAAAUUACUAAUCAAGUCUAAUUUUUAAUUCAUUCAAAAUAUGAGAUCUACACUAAAUUUCGAACUAUUUUUAUUAAUUUUUGUUAUGCAAUAUUUGUUAUUAAAUUCGAAAAUUAUUUUAAUUAAAUCAAAAAUUCAUAAUAAUUCCUAUUUCUAUUAAUAUUUUUAUAAUUCCAAAAUUCGAAAUAAUUCCAAUUUUUAAUUCCAAAAUUCGAAAUAAUUCCGAUUUUUAAUUCCGAAAUUCGAAAUAUUCCAAUUAAAUUCGAAAAUGUCAGAUUGCUUAUUUUUAACGAAAAACACCCAAAUUUAAUCUACUAACCUCAUUUCUAAAUUUAAUCUACUAACCUAAUUUCUAAAAUUCGAAAUUAUCUACUAGUCUACUAACCUAAUUUCUAAAUUUAAUCUACUAGUCUAAUUGGAAAAUAUUGUACUAUAUUUAGGAUUUUUUUUAUUAAUUUUUUUUAUGCAAUAUUUGUUAUUAAAUUCGAAAAUUAUUUUAAUUAAAUCAAAAAUUCAUAAUAAUUCCUAUUUCUAUUAAUAUUUUUUUAAUUCCAAAUUUCGAAAUAAUUCCGAUUUUUAAUUCCAAAAUUCGAAAUAAUUCCAAUUAAAUUCGAAAAUGUGAGAUUGCUUAUUUUUAUUCUAUUUUUUAACGAAAAACCCCCAAAUUUAAUCUACUAACCUAAUUUCUAAAUUUAAUCUACUAACCUAAUUUCUAAAAUUAACAUAAUCUACUAACAAAUACCAACUAACAACAUUCAUUAUAAAUCAUCAUACAAAAUUACUAAUCAAAUCAAGCUUGUCAUAUAAUUUGUAUCUACUAGCAACUAAGAACAAUCAUUAUAAAAUUUAUAAAAAUACAUGCAUGCAAUUUGAUGAGAUUGAGAAUGGUGAAAAAACCUUGAAAAUGGGGUGAAAUUGAUUAAUUGGUCCGGUGAAAGUGGCAAAGCAAGCACCCUUUUUCCGUUUUUCUCUGUCUCGGACCACCCUUUCAGCUAUAAAUCGAAGCUUGCAAAGUAUGUUUAGAACUGUUUUUGGAGGAGUCGGCUGAAGAAGUAGAGAAGAAGGAGGUUGGGGGUGGUUUUGCUGUUGUGGCUGGACACGUGGCCGCCCCUCAAUGGGCCGGACACGUCACAGACGUGUAGUAAUGUUCGCCCGAGCCAGGGGCGAACACUACUGUGCUUCCAUUUGUUGUUCGCCCUCCCAGGGGAUUAAAAGAAAAAAUUGUUUCCAAGUAUGUUCGCCCGAGAUGAAAACGAAUUAGGGUGGUUAGUUUUGUGAAGUGAAAAAAAAGGUGGUUAGUUUUGUAAAGUUUUGUAAAGUUUGUAAAGUUUUUGUGAAUUAGGGUGGUUAGUUUUGUGAAGUGAAAAAAAUUGUUUACAAGAAGGUAGUCGGUUAUAUGUCAGAUUCAGUUGUGUCCAUCUCACUAUUCCUAUGAAUAGGUAUGAAAUAGACCUUCCAAACCUGCUACUACGACAAACAGCGAAACACGCACAUUUAUUUAUUUCAAAAAAUUGAGGAAAUUCUCAACUUCCGCAGAAAUAUCUGUUCCAGUUUCUGGAUGCGCACGGAGGAUCAAAUUUAUUCAGGAACAGGGAAAGAUCAAUAUAAAUUGAAAGGACAUUUUUAUGAUUUAAAAAUUCAAAUUUGGAAUAGUCUUACUCCAAAUCACCUUAAUUUUUUACUAAAAAAAUGAUAUGAAUAAUAAUGGUCGAAAUCUACUAUUUACUGAUCCAUUUUUUUAAUAUUAAAAUUUUGUCACGUUUUAUUAUAUGAUAAUUUUGCUAAUGUAAUUAAAAAUGAAAUAAUUAAAAUUAAAAUAUAAUUAAAACGUUGAUUAAUUAUAAAAUAAAAUUCAGAAUACAUGAAAAUUAAAAAUAUGAAAUUAAGAUAAUACAACAUAGAUAAUUUAAGGAUAAAGAUGCUCUUCUUGAAUUUCGAGAUGUACUUAUUGAAUAUAUGUGAGAUAUAUUUAAUUCUGAUAAAAAUAUUUUUAUAUAUUAUUUCAUUUUUCUAAAAUUUAUUUUUAUGUAUAAUCUUAUCUUUCUUGAAUUAUAUUAUAGUAAUUUAUUUUUAUCUAGUUGUUGAUGUUAUUAUUAUAAUUAAAAAAAAUUACUUAAUCUUUUUAAAAUAUUUGAAAAUAUAUAUAUAAAUAUAAUAAUGUAUAUGAAUUCGAAUUCCAUCCUAAUUUGGAUCAUUGAUGAUCCAAAUUUAAAUUCAUUGAAGACUUACCAGGGAAAAAAAAAAAAUCAUUGAAGACUUUAGUUCAAAUAUCAUGGACUAGAAUAACACCACCGGAUCCUAAAUGAGCCGAUAUUCAGCGCUCACCGAAGUUGCUCCAGAUAGUUAAGAAUCUAUUAGUAUUAACAAACCGCCGGGAAAGAAACUUAUGCUUUUUUGCGAAGUCUAAUAUUAUUUUCUGCAAGUGGCUAGUGGCCACCAUUUUAAGUUUAUUUUUUGUUUUUUGGCAUGAAUUAUGAUCAUACUUAGUUGACCAACUCAACUUUGCGAACUCACAAACAUGAUUCUUCUCGUUUUACUUCUUGUAAUAAUCCUUUCAAAACUCACACACAAACACAUAUGGAUUCCUCUAAGAAUCCAACGCCACUUCAGAAACCAAGGCAUCAAGGGCCCCGCGUAUCGUAUCUUCCUCGGGAACUCUGCGGAGAUCCGACGGCUCAUGAUGGCCGAGGCAGAAUCAACGGCCAUGGCUUUCAACCAUGAUAUUGUGCAGAGAGUGAUGCCACAUUAUUACAACUGGUCUAAAGAGUAUGGCAAGAACUUCUUGUAUUGGUUUGGGCCCAAGCCCAGGCUUGCUGUGGCUGAUCCGGAUCUUAUUAAGGAGGUUUUGUUGGAUUCAAGUGGGUGUUUUGUGAAACCUAAGCUCAAUCCUUCGGCCAAGUUGUUGUUUGGAGAAGGACUUGUUGGGUUGAGUGGGGAGAAAUGGGGUGUUCAUAGAAGGAUCACUGCUCAAGCGUUCAAUAUGGAGAGAGUUAAGGUUAAUCACAUCUCUAUCCCUGUGUACUCCUUCGGUUUUCUAUUUGUUUUUUUAAUAUCUAUCGUUUUGAUUUUUGACACGAAUUUUUACAUAUCAGACUGUAUACUGACACAAAUUUUUACGUAUCUGACUGUAUACAUAAGAUAAUAAAAAUAGGUGCGCGGGUUGUAAUAUGACAUUGACUAGUUAGUGACAUUUAACGGGAGCCACACUUUUAAAAAGCGGAGCCAAAGUUUGGUCAUUUUUCUGAGAAUUUGUAACUCUGGCCAACUUUUUGAAAAUCGGUGUAAACUUUGUCCACAACUCUGAAGUUUACUCUAUUAAUAAUAAAAUGAAAUCUACUGUACACACAUGAAUCAUCCAAUUAAAUUCAGCCAUUUGUUUGUCACGUGAUUUAGAAAAAAAAAAUUGAAACAAGAUUUGGAAUACGUAAUUACUCUUGUCUCUUGUUACUUAUGUGAUAAAUACUUUCUUCUGUUAAGAAUUCCAUUUCAAUGCAAAACUUAUACAUGAUCUGUUGUGGGUUGAAAAAGAUCAUAAAAACAGAAUUCUUUCCUAUUCCUAGUAUGUAAUUUUUCGAAAAAAGACAUUGAUGUUCUGAUUUUGACAGAAUCCUGUUGUCCUCUUUAGAUGAAUGUACAUUGAGGACUAUUGUAGUAGUGUUUGUUUUUGGUUAAAAGAUUGUAGUUACAACACACAUCCUAUAAAAAAUUAAUACAAAAAUUUUACUUAUCUGUCGUGUGAGCACUUCUGGGUAGGAUUGGGUGCCAGAAAUGGUGGCAAGUACUAGGAAAAUGUUGGACAGAUGGGAAGAAGAAAGUGGGGGAAGAGAUAAGUACGAAAUCGAUGUGCACAAAGAACUUCAUAAACUCUCUGCUGAUAUUAUAUCACGAACAGCUUUUGGGAGUAAUUUUGAAGAGGGAAAGCACGUGUUUGAAUUACAGGAUCAACAGACAGGCCUCGUCUUGCAGGCUCUUCGAAGCGUUUAUGUUCCAGGAUUCAAGUAAUACAUUCUUCUUACUAUUUUAUUCACAUAGGUGCUUACUUUUUUAUUUUUUUUGCUCAAGAGUGGCUUUUGUUUUUUCAUCUGUUUCUUCUACUUUAAAUGUUGUUAGAUGCUAUUCUGUGAAGAAAGGCAUUUUGAUCUGUGUUACUCUUGAACAGGUUUUUGCCCACCAAGAAGAACAGAAUGAGGUGGAGGUUGGAAAAGGAAACGCAACAGUCGAUAAGGACAAUACUUGAAAACAAGAAAUCAAGUGACAGUCCGAAAUGUCUACUUACUUUGUUGAUGUCUCCGUAUAAGAAUCAAGAAAAUAAGGAAGAGAAACUGAGCUCUGAAGAAAUCACAGAUGAAUGCAAGACAUUCUACUUUGCGGGUAAGGAAACGACUGCUAAUCAUUUGACUUGGGCACUUCUCCUUCUAGCUCUGCACCAAGAAUGGCAGGAAAAGGCUAGGGAAGAAGUAUCUCGUGUCUGCGGACAGAGUUCAUCUCCAAGUGCUGAUAAUUCAGCCGACUUAAAGAUUGUAAGUCCUCUUUCAGUUAAUACUGCUUUUUUAAAAUUUUAACUUCUAAAUUUAACUAGAAUUAAUAAAUUUCAAUAAAUUUCCUUACAUACCACAAAUUUGGAGAAUGAUAAUUAGUAAUACCCGAGUGGAUAAAAAGCCUGAAUUGUGUGAGUGUUGGCAGAUAAACAUGAUUUUAAAUGAAACACUUCGACUCUACCCACCAGCUGUGAUGCUAAUGAGGGAGACGAAUAGAACUGUAAAGCUAGGCAGCCUCGAAAUUCCAGCUGAAACGCAACUCUAUCUGCCUAUGACUGCUAUUCAUCACGACACUGAGAUAUGGGGAGCAGAUGCAAAAGAGUUUAAUCCUAUGAGAUUUGGGGAGAGCCGGAAGCAUUUAGCUGCAUUUUUUCCGUUCUCCCUGGGCUCAAGAAUUUGUGUUGGUCAAAAUCUAGCCAUGGUCGAAGCAAAGAUUGUACUAGCCAUGGUUAUUCAACGUUAUUAUCUUGAGAUAUCACCAUCGUAUGUCCAUGCUCCAAGGCAGUUGAUGACCAUGCAACCUCAAUUUGGAGCACAGAUUCUUUUUACCAGAAUUCCCUGAGUGAAGCCUGUAAAACAGACCAUACUACUGUUUUCGACUAGUACUUUUGUCUUGUAGAAUAUUACGGCAGGUCAGCUUAUUAUGUACGUAUAACACAAUAUGAGUGACAGAACAAAUCUUCUAAUAAUCAUAUUUCAAGAAUUUUAAAAUGCGAGUUUAAACAGUCUGCUGCCAAACGCAUAGUAUAAACGAACCUAAAAGUGGAUCUUCAUUUAUAUUUUGACCAUGUUAAUGUUGAUCUUAAGAACUUUUUCGGAUCAAGUAUUGUUGGUAUUGAGGUCUAGCAGGGUGGUCAUCACUAAAAUUUACUUUAAAGAAAGAUUUUAAAGAAUUUAUCUGUUCCCCAGUGAACUCUGGGAAACCCCUGGAUCGUGUUAAAUUUGUUGCUGAUAAACAAAUCUUUAUGCUUUCGUCUCAAGAGGGUUUUGCCUGGACGAAGUUAUAUGUUGGUUUUUUUAACGUGAGGGUUGAUUCUUAUACGCUACUCAAGUACUAUCUAACAUUCAACGGUCACUACAACAUAUUUUUCUCUGUAGCCGCUUGUUGUGCGAAUGUAGAAUAACAUCUCUAGAAAUUAAUAACUGUUAAAUUAAAUCCAAACAGAGGGACUUAAGUACUAAUAAAUCCAAAAGCCUCUCCAAUAAUAGAAUGCCUACUCUAGUUCAGAGAGCAAUCGACAAUACUAACAUGUCGUAAUACAAUAUCUAGAACUAAUAUAUCAUGUAUACAAUUUAUAAAUACAUAUAUAUUAAUAUUUUAUGUACCCCAGUCAAAUAUUCAAAAUACCAAGAGUUUUUAAUAUACUAAGUAUUUGUUGCACCAAACUAAAAUUGUCUUGUGUGUCUGUUUUUAUUGAAUACCACCCUUCCAAUUAGGUUCAAUAUAAUUCAUGAUUAUCAUGAUUUUAUGAUAUAAAAUACAAUUUAAAAUAAUUAAAUGUUUGUUGUACCAAACUAAAAUUUGUCAUAUUCAUCUUAUUCUAUGAAAUUAAGUGAAGACUUACUUUUUAUUAAUUAAUCUGCUGUGACAAUCAUUUUAUAUUUUAAUAUUAAAUUUGGGUAUCUGGAUCCUCUCGAGAGCAGGAGUUGAAAAUGUCCGAGCGUAACAACUAACAUGCUUAAGUUAAAUUGUAGCCGCCGUCAUAUAAUAUUGUGGUUAAAUUAAAUUAAUAUAAUGAGAAUUUUGAUAAAAUUAAAUUAAGUUUAAUUAUUCCAUUCUCCUACUAUAAAUAUUGGGUAUGGCUGGAGCAUAUACACCAUCUCAACUUGCAAUCCCUUUCCUUCCCUCUUGUAUUGCAGUUUUCGCAAUUUGAUCAGCUAUCUUGCUUCUCAUUUUACUAUUCCAACAAAAACAAAAAAAGCUGAAAAAAUCAUGACUGAUCCGAUGAGCAUUCCAGUUGUGGGACCAAUUUUGGAGAAAAUAUCCAGUAUGAUCGUAGCAGCGUUGUUUAGCCAUUUAAACUAUGUCUUUUGCUCCAAGUCUCUUGUUGAAGAUCUCAAAUCUGAAAAUGAAAAACUUGAGAUUGUGGAGAAUCGGAUGUCCAGAAAAGCAGAAGAAGAAAGUAACAACGGCAGAAUACUGGAGAAGCAUGUGGUGGACUGGAAAAAAGAAGCCAGAGAAAACCAGGAGAGUGUCAAAAGCUGUUUGGAAAAAUACGAUAACCGUCCUUCUGGGAGGUGCUUCGGGUUUCUCCCAAUUCCUCAUCCCUUGUCCCGUUACAGAUUAGGCAAGGAGGCGGAAAAGAUGGCCAAGAUAACAACUAGCCUCACUACUUCUGGAGAUCGCCACCUGGCCAACCCAAUUGCAUAUCUCCCACUGGAUAUGAAUGCGCCAGAAACUGAAUUUCAUGAAUUCAAAUCUAGAGAAGAGGCUUAUCAAAAGCUGGAAGGGCUGGUCACCGAUGAUAGUUCUUCAAUUCUUGGGAUUAACGGGAUUGCAGGAGCCGGGAAGACUCGAUUAAUGGAGCGAAUCACUACAGAAGCUGGUAAGAAGGGAACCUUUCACAAGUUCGUACGAGCCAAUGUGGGGAACGGCAAGUUGGAUGUGAUAGGCAUACAACAACAGCUUGCAGGGAACCUAGGUUGCGAUUUUAAAUCUACAACUGAUUCAGGACUGCGGGCGAAUCAGCUGAGAUCUAGUUUAAGGCAGGGAGGUAAGGUACUUGUCAUAUUGGAUGACGUAUGGCGUGUGAUUCCCUUAGAGACUAUUGGAAUUUUGUCUGCAGACGGUAUGAGUUCCAUAGGCGGUAAGAUUCUUUUCACUUCACGGAGUGAGGAGGUAUGCAAGCUCAACAAAUGCGAGCAACCAGUCAAACUAAAACCUCUUACAUUUGCCGAAACAUGGGAUAUGUUCAGCAAAACAGUUGGUGCUGAUACAAUCGACUCUCUGCAGAAUAUAUCCGUUGCCAAGGACAUCUGUAAGAGAUGCGGGGGUCUACCACUCGUCAUUCUUGCUCUUGGUAACGCCCUCAAAUAUAAGCCUCUUGAUUCAUGGAAGGAUGCACGCAAUCAACUUAAAAAUUCCAAAAUUGAAGGAGUUUCUGGAAUACGUGAAGACGUGGACGUGUAUGCGUGUUUAAAGUUGAGUUUUGAUCACUUGGAGAAGGAUGCAAAGGCAUGUCUCUUGUUGUCUUCUAUGUACCCUGAAGAUGCUGAUAUUCCUAUUAGGGAGCUGGUUCAGUUAACAAGAGGCUCCGAGCAGCUUGUAGGCUCCCAGCUUAUGAAGGGUGAUGAAAUAAGAACAAGAGUACAUUCAAUGAUAUAUAUACUCAAGUCAGCCUCUUUGUUGCUUCAAGGGUUGAAUAGUGAACAUAUCAAGCUACACGAUAUCAUAAGGGACAUGGCAAGAUCCAUUGCUAUCAAAGACCAUGGAUUCUUAUUCGCAACAACAAGUGGGUCGUUGCCCAAUAACCCAGCUGAGUACUCCGCUCUGAAAGUUCUGCAUAUAGAUGUAGAGGAGACUCAUUCAGGUUUUCCUAGUAAUGUUGCGUGCCCAGACCUGCAUACAUUGUCGCUACGUUCAUCUACAUAUAGAGACCCAACAACAUUGCAGGUAUUCAUAUACUGUUUUACAUAUUCACUCAAUUUAUGAGAACUAUAUAUCUGAUGAUAGAAUAAAAAUAAAUGAUUUGACAAUAGACAUCAAAAUUAAUGUAUUUACAGUUCAUUAAUCAAUGUUAUGGUCUAUUAAUAUUAGCGUUAUUAAUCCUUCAUAAUAUAUUUAUUUACAUUAUGGUUGUUUAGGUGUAAAACUUUCUAUUGUCACUUCAUCCUACUUUAAAUUUUCAAUUUUUUUAAAACAAAUUACAUAUUAUAAUAAGAAUUUAUUUUAGAAUGAAAGGUGGAAUGAAUGAAUUUAUUUUAAUAAAAUCAUUAUGUUGUUAUCUUGGACAUUCUAAAAUAUACAUUCUCAUCAUGUUUUGUUCAAGUGAUGAUACAUUUCAAUAAUAAAAUAAAAUAACAAGUUCGUUUAAUAACUUCAGGGAUGGAUCAGUCAAAUUCAAGUAUUUGCAAACCUCAGGUUCUUGGUGCUUGUGGAGUUUAGUUGGCCGGAGAAGUGCUCUCUGGAAUCCUUGGACAACCUUAAAACCCUUUGGUUCGUCAACUGUAACCUUUUCUGCUUUGGGGAGAGGGAAGCUAAAUUUCUUCCGGAAAAACUAGAAGACCUUUGUUGUUGGGAUUGUGAUAUUCCAAAACAGCUAAAUUUACCCGAACUAAACCAUCUUCGCAAAUUAGAGAUCUAUAUCAAUACGAGAUCUUGGUUGUGGGCACGUGGAAUCAAUGUGGAGCAAAAUACCAUAUCAAGACUGUCCAGUCUAGAAGAAUUGAGUUUGCCAUCUAAAUUCUACAUCAAUAAAGAAGGUGCAAAAGAUGGAUCAUUGCCGAUAUUAGACGAGGUUAGUGAAUUGCCAUGUUUGACAAAUUUACAUAUUCGUUCCCAAGAAUCCAAGUCAAGUAAACUUGCAACUACAUUUCUCAACUUGCGUGAAUUCCAUUUGUUUGUUGGUGAUGAGUUACCGCGUAAAUGGUCCACGAAAGUGUCACCAGUGACCAAGUCAAUUAAGUUGUCCAGCUAUGCUGCCAUAGAAGGCUACCGGACUCUUAUUGACAAGGCUGAAGAGGUGAUAUUGUCUCGUGCUUAUAUCACAGGGAAUAGCAUCUGUAAUAGAAACACCCAAGAAUUUAUCAACUUGAGGUACAUGAAGAUUAAAGCUUGCCAUGCCAUUGAGUAUUUAGCUAGGAUUUCACCAGGCGAUAAGAUCCAGGAAAGUCUUCACCAGUCAAUACCUUUUUCUAACCUUAUCAAAUUGAAAAUCAAAAGUUGUUACAGCCUGAAAUACCUCUUCUGCGAUUCUUUUGGAAGAUGUCUCCACCAACUGAAAGAGCUCGAGAUAGUAAGUUGUCCUGAAAUUGAACAAGUCGUGCUCGGGGAAGGCGCAAGUGAUGGAAAUAUCAUUCACAUGUCCAAAUUAAAAAUAAUGAUCUUAACUGAUUUGCCAAGACUCUUGCAUUUUUACAAGGACGCCCGUCAAAAUCAACCUCUCUUUAAUCAAAUGGUACGCUUACCUAACUCUUAAACACAAUAUAAUUAUUUUCGGGUUAAUUAUCAAGUUGGUCACUGAAGCAUUAAUAAAUCAAGUUGGUCACUGACUCAAAACGAUAUCAAGAUGGUCACUAAAGUCACCAUAAAUAUCAAACAAGUACCUUGAAAUAUGAAUUCAAAUAGUAAAAAUAUUAUUUAUAAAAUUUACACAUUAUUUUUAAAUGUUACUACAACCAACCAAAAGGUUAUGACUUCUAGUAUUUAAAAUAAUAUAUUUAUAUUUUAUAAAGUAUAUUUAUUAUUUAUAUUUUAUUAUAUAGCUAUUUUCGUUGUUUUAAUUAAAAAUAAAUAAUAAAUAAUUUGAUAAAAUCUAAAUAUAUUAUCAUAAAUAUUAUAAGUCAUAACCUUUUACUUGGUUUUGGUAAAAUUCAAAAAUAAUGCGUAAAACUUUAUAAAUAAUAUUUUUACUGCUUGAACUUAUAUUUUAAGGUACCUGUUUGAUAUUUAUAGCCACUUCAGUUACCAUCUUGAUACCGUUUUGAGUUUAGUGACCAAUUUGAUACAUUAAGCCCACUUCAGUGACCAAUUAGAUAAUUAACCCAAUUAUUUUCAGGCGAAAUUAAUAAAUUAUUUUUCAAAUAUUUAAGCCACAUUUUAAUGACUCAUUUUGUUUACUCCAUUAAUACAGUAUAAUUAUUUUGGGGAUUAAAGUUGGGAACUUGUAAUCUUUAAAUUGUCCAUUAAUUAGUUAUUGUCCUAUUUAUAUAGGGGUCGUCUGAGUGAGUUUAAAAUAAGUGAUUUUUGCUUAAAAUAAAAAAGUGGAGUAGAGGUUAGAAGCAAGCUAAGACUUAUAAGUGAUUAACUAAAUUUGAUAAAAUAAAAUGAAUUUAAUUUAUUUUCAGAAAUAAAUUUUCGAAAUAAGAAGCAAAUCAAAUACCCCUUUCUCUCUGAUGGUAUGCUUUGGCCGACUAUUUGAGCAGGUUGAAUUCCCAUCAUUGGAAGAGUUGGUUAUUCGUGGGUUGUCAGAUAUAACUGACAUAUGGGGAGAUAAUAAAAUUUAUGAGAAUACGUCCUCCUUUUCCCAACUGAAGAUCCUGACUGUAAGAGGCUGUAAUAAGCUUAAAAAUGUGAUCCCACCUUCCAUGUUGCGUGGUGCACUCACUUCAGAAGUUGACACUCUUGGAAGCAACACAGAUUCAUUCACUGGCAGAGCUUCCCAAGGACAUGUCAAGGCCAUGCUUUCUCAUAAUCCAAAAAAAAAAUUACAAAUCCUUUUAAAGAAAAUUGUACGUGUGUCGAGAUAUGUAUGCAGGAAGACCCCGACAAUAACAGAAGAAAAUUUGAAUGAUCCCUAUGAUAUUUCGGUUCAAGUUCCGCCACAGAACACAAGGGUUUGUCCACUGGUUCAAAUGACUUUACAGGUGUUGCCUUGUUUGGAAAAGACGGGGUUGAAUUUUGAAGACCAAUCUGGAGCAGUGAGUUUGUACCCCAAUCUUAAGCGGUUAGAUAUAUAUGAAUGUGAUAGAUUGGAGAACGUGUUCAUACCUUUUAAUGACACGCAUUGUAUGAACCUUGAGGAAAUGUCCGUAGCUAAUUGCAUUAAGAUGUGUGAGAUAAUUGGGGCAGGUAAACAAAAAUAUUCCAGUGGCAUUGUGUUCCAUAAGUUACGUUCUCUUACACUAAGAGACUUGCUACGUUUGACCAGUUUUUGGGGAUGCCGGAGUGGGGAAGCUAACCACUACAAGGUACAUUUAUAUUUACUGCCAAAUGAAUACAAUUUGACAUUCAUAACAUGCAGUUUGUGUGUGUGAGAGAGUAUAGGUCUAUUAUCAAUUCAAAAGCUCAAUUUUCUUAUGUAUGGCUGCUAAAACACUGAUAUUCAUGACCUGAUUCCCAUGUAUAUACACUUAAAUCCUCCAUCAAUUAGAGCUUCUAGAAUCAUCAUGUCCGUUGUUAUAGUUCCUUUUUCCAAGUGAGAUAAUGGUUAAAAUGUUAUAGUUGCGCUCAGGGUGUGUGCUUCAGUUGUCCGGUUAAUUAAGAAACGUUGCACAAAAAAAAAAUUGAUCAAAAUUCAAAAUAGUAGUAUUUCAUUAUGUAUUAGUUAUUUGCAACUUUAGUACUCUGCCUAUAUUUCUUAUGUAAAGAUGUCAAAAGUGAGGAAGGCGCAUUCACAGAGUCAGGUUGACAUAAUGAAUGGGAUUGUUUUUCGUAGGUUGAAUUCCCAAACUUGAAGACGCUUCACCUCCAUUGUGGAGAAAAUCCUAGCUUACUGGAAAUGAUAGAGUCAGGUAGAGAUGAUUCUACUUUUCAGCUGGAGAACUUAGCAAUAAGUUGUGGUAAGGAGAUAAAAAUUCCUAAGCAAUGGCUACUUCAAUUAGAUAAUCUGGAAAGCUUGUCACUGCAUCGCUGUUGGUCAGAUGAGCUGAAAUCUCUACGUUUCCAGAGAUUGAAGAAACUCACACUUGGUCAACUUAGUUGCUUCACUGUUUUCUCAUUCCCAGACUUUGAAAGACUUCAACAGCUCAGAGAAUUACGAAUAGCACAUUGUGAUUCAUUGGAACAUAUCGUGGAGGUUGUUAAUGGUGAAGAAGCUUCUGGCAUGGAUACGGAGACUGCUGCACUAGUUCAGCUGGUAAAAGUCUAUCUUGAGGGUUUGCCAAAACUCAGAAGUUUUACACACACAAAGUCUAAGAAUCUUAUGGCCAGUUUAGAGCAGGUGGAAGUGGAGCCCUCGAUUCUUUUCAGGUGCCCUGUCGUUGGAAAUCUCCAACAGCUCAGAUGGUUAGACGUGACUGAUUGCAGAUUGUUGGAAGGCAUUGUGGAGGUUGCAAGAGGCUAUCAGACUUCUCACAGGAAUGACCACAUUAUCACAUUCCCUCAGCUCUAUUCCAUUAAACUUAGAAAUUUGCCCAACCUCCAAAAUUUCAGUCCCACUAAAAGCUAUAGUUUCAAGAUGCCCAAAUUAACAGGUUUCGGUCUGUUCUAUUGUCCCCGGAUGGAGAAUAAACCCUUCAUGCAAAUAAUCGCAGAAAGGGUACAUUUUUCUUCCGAGGAGCGUCGACGACUGAUAAUAGUUGAAAACCUCAAGGACUACACACUUAGAAAAAUAAACAAGCUCGAAAGCGUGGGGGAAUCAAGUAACAGCAAUCAGGAUGUGGAAACAGAAACAAUGAGAGUUGAACAAGCGGAAGCCAUAGUUGUUCAACAACGGGAAGAGGGAGUUGGUGCAGAAGAAGACGACUUUUUCUUCUUAAGAAAGUCUCAGACUUCAUUGUUUUUCAUUUUGUUUUUGUUUUUGGUUUUGGUUUUGUGUUUGAAGGAGGUCUGAGCGUCUGACACUGAAUUGUAAGUUGUGAAAAGCGACAACUGAGGAUGCGGGCUGAUUGGAGGCCCAGUUCCAGUAAUACAAUUUCAGGUCCAAUAUCUAUGGCCUGCAUAAUUUUUAAGAGUUAAGUUCCAUGUAGUAUAUUUAUGUAGUACUGUAGGCCACGUAUAUUCUGCAACUAUAAAAUGACAUAAAAACAUUGCAAAAUAUAUGAAACUUGUUAUUUUGUGAAAUACAUUCUAUAAAUAUCACUAUUUCAUGAAAAAUAUUGAAAAUCAUUUAUGUUCGACAAGUAUAACACAUAUGUUCAGUAAUAUGUAAAUAUGUUCUGCAAACCUAACAUGUGUUGCAGAAUAAUGUGUUUUUCACUAUUUAACUUGUGGAAUGUUUAAGAUUGUCAAAAAUUUUAACAAAAUAAUGAUAUUUAUAGAACAUGAUUUGCAAAAUAACACAGUUUGCAAUGUUUUUAUGUCAUUUUAUAGUUGCAGAACAUACGUGGUCUACGGUACUACAGUAAAUAUGUGGAUUACAUGGAACUUUGUUCUAAUUUUUAAUGUAUAUAUUAAUUUCAAAGCACUUCAUCCAAAUUAUGUAUACACACAAUAUAUAUUACAUUUUAUUAUUUAUUUUAUUGAUCUGUUAAUUAGAACCUAUAACCUAGACUGCAAUCGUCAACCUUCAAUUUUGAUUAUUUUUCUGCCAAAAAAAUAAAUUUUAUCAAGUUCAAAAUUUGUCAACUUUUAUCAUGGCGAUACUAAAUACUCCCUCCGUCCCAAAUUAAUUGUCCAGUUUGACUUUUUGAUGGUCAAUUUGACCCAACUUUGAUUGGAAAUUAAAAAUUAUCCUUUUACAAUUUUACAAAACUGAAAAAUAUAUUCAAAAAUAGAUUUGAUAAUCUUUUCAAUGAUAUAUAUUUCAUAAUUUUAUUCAAUUAUUUAAUAUACAUAUUUUUCAGUCAAAGUUGAGUCAAAUUGACCAUCGAAAAGUCAAACUGGACAGUUAAUUUGGGACGGAGGGAGUAGAUAUUAAGCAGUUUCUUGAUUUGAUUAUGCCUAUAAAUUAUUUGUUUUUUCAUUUAAUGAUUCCUUCCGUUAAUUAGAGGCUUUAAUUUAGAAUGUAUUAUUAAAUUUUUAUUUCUCAAAUAUUUCUUAAAUAAACAAUUGAAUAAUGUUUUUUUUGAGAGAAUUGAAUAAUGUUAUGUAUCCCAAAUUUUAUUCUCAAAAUUUUUAUCAAGUGGAGAAGAACCAAUCAAACAGAAUUUGGAAACACUUUUUCAAAUACCUAAUAUUUUCCAGUUUCAAAAAAAAUACCUAAUAUUUCCUAAAUAAUUUAUGGGCCAAUAUACCUCUUUUUAACAUUUUUAUUGCAAUAAUACAAUUUUCUCCCAAAAAUUGCAUAUUUACUUUUUUUUUUUAAAAAAGCUACAAAGUAUUUGCAUAUAUACGACUAUGACUAUGAACUGCUUCCUGGAGUAAGUGAGAGAGAGAAACAAGCGAACCCGUUCUUUGUUCUUGCCUCACCCUUCCUCCUCUGUGGCUCAUUUUGAUCUGUCUCUCUCUUUAAUUCCCUCUCUCUUCUGCCUCCAUCUCUCCUCGCUCUCUCUAUCUUUUUCUUCGAUCCAUUGAUUAUGUCAGCCGUACAUUCUCCGAUCACGAAGCCCUAGGUACUCAUAGGGAGUACAAUCUUAGUGGUGUUCUUGAUGAUUGUUGGAUCGGUGAUUAUAGCGGAUACACACAAGAUGACUUUAAAAGAAGGGAGAAACGUCGAAGUAGAAACUCCUAAACAUGGCUGCUGAUGUUGAUUUUAUGUGAAUAUAUUUUUGUUUUUUGUUAUGCUUCAUCUCUGUAGAAGUUUUGGUUAGCGCUGGUUACUUGUGGUUGCAAAACUUGUUGAUUCUUUUGGCCCCGCAGGGGCAUUUAUUUUUCUGUCUUUGCAACUAGUUGCAACUUAUUAUGCAACCUAAUAUAAUUUUAGCAUUUUUUAAAAAAAAAGUUACAUAUGUAGUUGAAAGUAUGGUUGCUCGCAGUUGCAGAUUUGGUUACAUAUGCAAAAUCGUAUUUUUGCAAAAAAAAAUUGAAUGAUAGAGUUUUUUUUAUUUUAAAAAAUGAUAGUAUUUUUGCAAAAUUUCUUUUUGACUUGGGUAUUUAUUAAAAAAACCCAUAAUUUAUUCCUAUAAAUAAAGAAUGUCAAACACAUAAAUAUUUAAUUCUCAGGUAGCAAAGAAAGGUUACUCGCAAUUAUUUAGGAGCCCAAACUAAACCAAGGCACAAUUGACAAUACCAAACAGCAAAGAACACGCUCCCAAACAUAAAAGCGCAAAGGAGCAAAUAGCAAUUCAAGAUCAUAUUGUACUCCAACCAUUGACUAGCUAGUCAGACAAAAACUAUCUAAACUUCAACCAAUAUACAGUAUACUUGGGACAUAAACAUCCACUUAACAAGAUCAAAAAGGUCCUGGUUGAUAUUACUCCUCUUUCUCGACUCUCGAGGAAGUUGGGGUUCGAGUUAGGGUGAUUCCAUGUUUCCAUUGUUGUUACUCCAUUAACCAUUGAUGCAAAGCUGAAGCUGUGGUAUUGCUGAAUUUAUUACAUUAAAUACUAGUCAGUAUUUACUGUAUGCCUUAACAUGGCUUGAUGCAAUCAAAUAAACGAAAUCCUUGCAACACAAACGAAUUCAGUGAUACAAAACCAUAGCUACUAAUAUAUGGGCAAGGCAGACAAAAAUAGAUGCUACAAACAGUUGGAAUACGUCGGUUCUUUAUGAACUACCUAAACCAAUGACUAAUUGUGCAGUCGCAUAAAAACUGAAACCGCGUCAUUCAAACACAACUGGUGCCAACUCCUACCAGAGAUAAAACAUGAUAUAUCUAUAUUAAUGAGCUCAUGAUGCAACUAUUUAGUAGUUCCCGAGCUAUAUUGUUUUGAGAUGCACAAUAUUAUUGUAAGAGCUUAGCUGGAUUUCAUAAAGAUCUGCACGUUGAGCCACAGUACAACUUACCAAGCUCUCAAUUUCUUCGUGCAAUGCUGAUUAGCCCAAGGAUGUUCUUUCAAAUUUUUUAAACCAUCUAGUUUCACUGAUGAAUGAUGAUAGAAUAUGGAAACAACUUCUUGUAUUGGUUUGGGCCGAAGCCCAGGAUCGCUGUACCUGAUCCAGAUCUUAUUAGAGAGGUUUUGAUGAAUUCCUUAGGCCGAGUUGUUGCUUGGAGAUGGACUUGUUGGAUAUAUUGACCGGUGAGAAAUGGCCUGUUCUGUAUUCUUUUUUAAGAUUGCAUAGUGGCUUGUUUUUAUGGUGUGUGUGUGUGUGAGAAGUGUGUGUUCUGUUUUAAUGUCAACACUCCUAAAGUACCAGAGCCCAGGUUAGAAUUCAGUACUUAGUUCAGGGAGAUGGAUUUCCAGACUCUGGAGCUAAAUGACAAUCAGCUAGGCAGUUUCUGAAACAGUUUCCUGUAGUUCUAAUCUAGUUAUGUGGCAUAGAGGGCAACUAUUGCCUGUGAUCUCACUUGAUCACAAGUCUAUUUUAAGAAGGGGAGCUAUGUUAUAUUUUCAUUUAUAUUUUAUGUAUGUCAUGUCAACUCUUACAAUUUUGCUGGAUAAUUAAUUAAGUACUCCCUCCGUCCUUUUUUACAUGUCCAUUUUGAUUUUUGACCAGUCAAAUUAACUAUAUUUUGACUGAACUUUACACGUAUUAGAUAAUUGGAAAAAUUAAUAAAAAUUAUAUUACUAGAAAGUAUAUUUAAUCUAUUUUAAUAUGCAACUUUCAGAUUAUAAAAAUAACGAGUAGAUAAUUUGUAAUGUUUAGUCAAAAAUUGGUGAAUUUGGCUUCUCGAAAAGCAAAAUAGACAUGUAAAAGGGGACGGAGGGAGUAUUUAUUUGCAUCUCGGUUUAGUUGGAUCGCCAUCAAUAGAAUUUAUUUUAUACUUCUUCCGUUUCAAAGUAAGUGCCGUUUUAAUUUUUGUCACGUGACUUGAGGUGGAAUAUUUAUUUCGUUUACCAAAGACUUUGACCUUUCACCCAUGCAUACCGGGUAGUUGUUGUUGACCGUUCUUAUAAAAAAUAAAAUAUCAACAUUGUCACCUCUAUUUUUGAUUUUUUUAUUUAUUUCUGACCUAUGAUCGGUAUCUUAGUAUUUUAAAUUUCACGUGUAUCAUUGUAUCUUAUUUGCAAUUUAAAUAAAUAAAUUAGUUAAUUAUUGAAACCUCAUUUUUUUUUGCACUUUGGACAUCUAUAAUGAUUUACUACUUAAAAGUUGCAAUCAUAAACUAUUUGAAUAAAUUGAAUUUUAAAAAUCCAGAAAGUAUUUUAAAGAAUAUUCUUCAUUAUACUUUGUACUAUCAAUUUUUUUAGUAAACUUUUUAUGUGAUAUCCUUACCAUUGAAGUAUGACUAAUAUUAAUUAGUAUAUUAAAUUUGAAAUACAAUAAUAUCACCGAAAAAUUUAAUGAAUAAAAAAUGAUAAGAAAGUCAGAGGCAGAAGGAGUUUUCUUUAAGAAAAUUUAAUCCUCUUGUGCAUGACUUUAAAUCUUCAUAUAUCACGUAAAUUCGACAUGUUUGAGCGACACAAAUAACAUGCAUCGAGCACGAUUGGAUAGCUCAAGUGGUGGGUUUAUCCUCUGUUGUCCCGGAGACCCGAGUUCGACUCUGCCUCAUCCGAACAGUAUUAGAACGGAUACUCAUUUGUAAGGCAUAUAAGAUUCUAUUAUCAAAAAAAGUAAAAAAUAAAAAAAAUUAACAUGCAUCAUUGCCAGUCGCCCUGAGUGAGGGAUGCGGUUGUUAUUCUUUGUGAAUCAUAUACGUAAGCUUUUAGUUUCUUCUUUGUCAAAUUGAUUUCAGUUUUUCUUAAUGUUAUUGAUUUUCUUUUUAUUGUUUUGAUUUUUUCAAUAUGUUAAAUGAGUUCUCUACUUCUCUUGCCUUUUUAUCAUGUUAAAAUGAUUUUUUCAAUAUAUUAAAAUGAGUUCUCUUGUGCACUUUAGCGUCGGUUAGAAAAACCGACGCAAUAGAGACUACUCUAUAGCGUCGGGUUCAUAUACUGCGCUGGACUGCCGACGCUAAAGGUCUUAUUUGACUUAGGCAUUUUUGUACUAGUGUAAAAUAAUAAAAAGUAAAAUGAUUAUUCUACUUUCCUCAGCUUUCCACAAAUGGGGACAUUUUUUUAGUAAUACGAAAAACUCAUUUCCAAAUAUAUAUAUUUCAAAUGGACAUAAUAUCGGUUGUCAUUUUAAAUUUUCUAACUUAUUCAAACAAUAUAAUAUUCGUGAAAAUAGUAUACUAGCAUUUGGAUUGUCAUUUGAGAUUUUAAAUUAAGAUUAAAUUCCUCAUUUCUUACCUAACAUAUCAUGCAUCUGGCUAAAUAUAUAAUUUGGAACAAACUGUAAUUUCCAAAUAAGUACUAGAAUUUCUUUCUUUAUUUUCUUUCCAAACUUUUAUCGAUGAUUUUGUCUGCCCUCUCCGUCAAAUUGAUUUCUUUCUUUCCUUUUAUCUCAGGUUAAAGAUUGACCUUCUCAUGUGAAAUACUUACAGUAUGUUACUAUGUUAGUAUUGAACUGAUUUCGUAACAAGUGAAAUUUCUUUUUGUGUUUACAAUAAUAUUUGAUAAUUUAGCACUGAGAAAAUGUUUUAUCACAUGUGGUGAUAGGACUCGUAUUAAAAUAUUAAAUUAAAUAUCUGAAAGUAACUUGUCCAAAAGUCAAUCUUUCUAUAGGCCAAUCAAAUACAAACAAGUGACACCGACUAUAUGUGCUUGUUGGUGACAGUCUUUCUGUGAUAAUUACACCUUUCCUACUACCAUUAGUCACAUUGACGACUAUAUAUGAAGGUAUCAGAGAUGACUGUUGAAUGGAGGUUGUUUUUUUUUCAUAGCAAAAGACGUUAGAGCAAAUCCAAUGCAAGAUGUAAAAUAGUUAUAGAUAUUGUUAUAAAUUAGUAUUAAAAAGUGUUUUUCAUUGUUGAAAUAGAACUUCAACUCCAAUGCUAGAUGCAUUUUGCAUCCAAAUAAUUCCAAAUUUAAGUAACUUUAGUCCCUCUCUCUUAAAUUUUAUUUAAAGUUCACCAUUAUAUAUACCAAUUAUAGUUAAUUGAUGAUGUGUCAUGGAUGCAUAAAUGCAUAUUUGGUUUCAAAUUUAGAAUUAAAAAGUGUUUUUCAUUGUUGAAAUAGAACUUCAACUCCAAUGCUAGAUGCAUUUUGCAUCCAAAUAAUUCCAAAUUUAAGUAACUUUAGUCCCUCUCUCUUAAAUUUUAUUUAAAGUUCACCAUUAUAUAUACCAAUUAUAGUUAAUUGAUGAUGUGUCAUGGAUGCAUAAAUGCAUAUUUGGUUUCAAAUUUAGAACCAAAGAUGCAUAAAUACAUAUUUGGUACGAGUAAAGGCCGUUUGACGUGAUUUAAAAAUAAUGUUUAUUACUUAUAAAUGAGAAGUUAAUUAUAAGUAAAAAGUAACUUUUAUCUUAUGAGUUGGGAUAUAUUUUUUGGUGUUUAUAAUUAAGUGGGUAUAAAAAUUAUUAAUAUAAUAAUAAAUUAUCUUUUAAAAUGAUCUUGUACAUAUUUGUAAAAUCAAGUAAAAAAAAUAAAAUAAAAUUAUCAAAAAAAGUUGAGAUUUCCAACUUCUCAGAUUAUGACUUAUAAGUUGGAAAUGAACUUAUAAAUUCGUCAUACAAAUAAUAGGAACAAAUAAAUUCAAAAACUGGGUUUAUAAGUGGAGUCAAACACAACCUAAGUCGCUUGUGAUUUAUAAGUCAAAAAACUGACUUUUAAAAUACAGUUAAACUGCCUCUACUAUUCAAAUUAGGUUUAAAAUAAUCCAUUGACCUAAUAUAAAUACUAAGUUUCCCUAAUAUAAUUGAAAUUAGCUGUACUAAGCUGAAAUAUGUCAAAUUCAUUCUAUUUUACUAAAGAGCAUGACGUUUCUCCAAUGCAUAAUUGUUUGAAUAACUUAUCUUUUAAUAUUAUAAAGAAAUAAUCCUUUGUACGCGUGAGUUACUUCUUCAAAUAGUUUUUGAUAUUUUUGCACCCCGGGCCUGGGAUCGUCUCAGACUCCUCAAGGGGCGGCUAGCAUCUGAGGGUUUUCAGUAGAUGUUCCCUUUUGCUGUUUUUAUAUCCUUGAUGUCUAAAUACUAAGUACUAAGUAGCAAGCUUUUGUUUUCCUAGGUUUGUCUACAUGCUUGCAUAGUUGCAUGACUUUCUUGGAGUCUCUUUCAUUUCUAUGUAGUUUGGUGCUCUAUGACUGGUUCUAUGCUUUUUUGUAUUGGCUUUGCUAAGUCAAUAUGUAAGAUGUUCCGAGAUUGAUUUAUAAACAGAUGUAUGGCUGGCUUUAUGCUUUUUUGGGUUUUUUUACAAUCGGAAAAUAUUUUUGUAAAAUUUUUGUAAUUUUUGAAGAAAAUUUGCAAAAAUAUAAUUUUACAAAUAAAAAUUGAAACGAUACUAAUUUCUGAAUUCAAUUUUGCAGAAAUACGGAAGUUUCAUUUGAUAAAAAAAAAGAGUUUGUUGACAUGAUUUCAAAUGAAACUUUCGUAUUUCUACAGAAUUGUUAUAUACACAAUCGUAAAUACAUAGAAAUUUAUAUUUGCAAUUGAUUGGAAAAAAGGAAAAAUGAGUGUACAAGGUCAAUGCUCAUAUCACAUAAAAAAUCACAAAAUCAAACAGCAGUUGUUGAACUCACAGUUUGUUAAGCUAACAUGGAGAGAGAGAACAGAAAAGUAAAACUUGUAUUCAACUAACUGAGUCUUACAGAGUGGCUUCACUACAAUAUAUACAAGCAAGCUAACUAAUUCUCUAACAAACUAUAUGCUGUUGACAGGCUGUAUGUACACGUGUAGUAUAGAGAAUAAAUAUUAAUCAUGUAAUGCCAACACCCCCCCGCAAGUUGGAGGGGAGCACACCCAACUUGGACAUAAUGUUCUGAUGUUUAACACCAUUCAGGGCUUUGGUGAACACAUCCGCAAGCUGUAAUGUAGUAGGAGUGUAGGAAAGUGAAAUAAGACCAGAACUUAGUUUUUCACGAACGAAAUGGCAGUCCAAAUCAAUGUGUUUCGUUCGCUCGUGGAAAACUGGGUUCUUAGCUAUGUAUAUUGCAGAUUGACUAUCACACUUCACUGGAAUAGGUGUCACAUCUGGAACAGAAAGUUCAUUUAGAAGACGAGAUAGCCAAGCAAGUUCAACAGUAAUGCGGCGGAUAGAACGGUAUUCAGCUUCUGCUGAAGAUAAGGAAACAGUGUGCUGCUUCUUUGAUUUCCAGGAAAUAAUGCUGUCACCUAGCAUAACAACAAAACCACUCACAGAUUUUCGAGUAUGUGGGCAAGCAGCCCAGUCUGCAUCGCAAUAGGCAGUAAGAUUGUAUACUGGAUUUGAGUUGUAAAAUAAACCUUGACUGGGAGUAAGCUUAAGGUAUCUGAGAACAUGUAAAGCUGCUUCCCAAUGUGGAACUCGAGGAGAACUCAUGAAUUGACUAAGGUGUUGGACAGCAAAAGAUAUAUCAGGACGUGUGUUAGUGAGAAAAUUCAGUUUGCCAACCAACUUUCUGUAUGAAGAGAAGUCAGAAACAGGAUCGCCUUGAUCAUGGAUAAGUUUAAUAGUAGGAUCGAGGGGACUGACUGCAGGUGGAGCAUCGAGACAAUCAAAUUCUUUGAGUAAAUCUUGAGUAAAUUUGGUUUGAGACACAACCAUACCAGAUGAAACAUUCUGAAAUUCAAGGCCUAAGAAAUAACUCAGAUUUCCCAAGUCUUUGAUUUUGAAGGUGUCGUUGAGAAAGGCUUUUACAGCAGUAAUCUCAGUUAAGUCAUCCCCAACCAGUAAGAUAUCGUCAACAUAGACAGCUAGAAAAACAGUAGAAGAUCCUGUUUUCUUGUAGAAAAGUGAGUAGUCAUUCUUGGAAUAAGAAUAUCCCCGUGACAAGAGAGCACAACAAAGUUUGUAAUUCCAAUUUCUGGAUGCUUGACGAAGUCCGUAAAGGGAUUUAAUGAGUUUGCAAACUAAUGUGGAAUCACUAACUUCAAGACCUGGAGGUAAUUGCAUAUAAACAUCUUCAAAUAAAUCGCCAUGUAAGAAGGCGUUGUUCACGUCUAGCUGGUACAUGUGCCAUUGUUUCUUAACUGCAGUAGCAACAAGAGUUCGAAUAGUUGUCAUCUUAACAACUGGAGAAAAAGUUUCAGUAAAAUCAAUACCAGCCUUUUGAGUGAACCCUUUAACAACUAGUCGAGCUUUGUAACGCUCGAUGGAACCAUCAGCAUUAUGUUUUACUUUGAAAACCCAACGACAGGAGAUUGCCUUUUUACCAGGAGGCAAGGGGACUAACUUCCAGGUAUUAUUGGCUUCUAAUGCAGAAAACUCAGCAGCCACAGCCUGCUGCCAUUCUGGGUAGAUCAUUGCUUCUGCAAAAGAUUUAGGCUCUGCAACUGGUAUUUGGAGAGGAAGUGGUGUGGGAAUAGCACAGCAAACAGAUUGAGGAGAAAGCAAUGAAUUAAGAGGAAUACAAUUUGAGGUAAUGGUGCAUGAACACAAAGAAUCUGAACAAGCAUUAUGUACAGAAUGAACAUAAUCUGUUAGAUAGUUUGGCAGUUUUGAAGUUCUGGUUGAUUUUCUGAGAGGUGGUGGCUGUGGUGAAUCUGAGACAGAACUUUCAGAUUGUUGAAAUGAAGAGGAGGACUGUAUAGGUGUAUGAGAGACUGUAGGAGUAGAAGAGUGUAUGGGAGACUGUGUAGAAAGUUGUGAAGGGAUAGACUGUGAUGAUGACUGUGAUGGUGACUCAACAGUAGGAGUAGAUUGAUCAGGAAUAGGAAAGUCAGGGACAGGUAAGGGAAAGAAUGUAGAGGAGUUAACAUCUACAUAUGGAAAAUGGUUUUCAUAGAAAACAGCAUCUCUGGAAAUUAAAAUUUGCUUUGUUUCCAGACUGUAAAAUUUAUAGGCUUUCUUGCCCUGUGGAUAACCAAGAAAGACACAAGUGAUUGCUCUGGGGGUGAAUUUAUCCCUGACAGCAUCUCUGGAGAUUAAAAUUUGCUUUGUUUCCAGACUGUAAAAUUUAUAGGCUUUCUUGCCCUGUGGAUAACCAAGAAAGACACAAGUGAUUGCUCUGGGGGUGAAUUUAUCCCUAUGAGGUUUUGGAGUAGUCACCAGGCUUAAACAACCAAAAGGUUUUAAGUGAUCAAAACUGGGUUUUUCCUUGAGUAAUACUUCAUAAGGGGAAAGAUUAUUUAAAACUCUGGAAGGAAAGAGAUUAAUAAGGUGAGUGGCUGUAAGGAUGCAAUCACCCCAGAACUUAACAGGAAGCUGUGAUUGGAAGAGAAGAGCUCUGGCUGUCUCUAGUAAAUGCUUGUGUUUUCUCUCCACAACUCCAUUUUGUUGUGGAGUAAAAGCACAAGAAGUCUGAUGUUGAAUGCCUUUAGAUUUAAAGAAAUCUUUAGCAGCAUGACUGAGACCAAUUUCUAAAGCAUUAUCAGACCUUACUGAUUGUACAGGUAAUUUGAAUUGUUUCUCAGCUAAGAUAAUGAAUGAUUUAAGGAAGUCAAACGCAGAGCUUUUGUUAGCAAGCAAAUAGGUCCAAGUAGCUCUAGAAAAAUCAUCUACUAUGGUAAGAAAAUAUCUGAAUUUGUUGUAAGUGGGAACCUUGUAUGGGCCCCAAACAUCAACAUGAAUUAAUUGAAAAGGACUUUUACUGUGAAUAUGACUGACAGGAAAUGGCAACCUUUGUUGUCUUGCCUUAGCACAAACAAUACAAGGUACAUCAAGCAUAGAGUCAACAUUACAAAUAUGUAAUGAUUUAAGUUUGUCAAAAGGUAAAUGACCUAAUCUGGUAUGCCACAUCAUGCAUUCUUUAUUAUUACUAGCAAAAGUCUUACUAGUAUUAGCAAUAGAAGCAGAAAUGACAUUUGGAAAGGUGACAGAAGUGUCUGAUGAAGAUGAUGAAGGUGCAGAGCUGGAAUAUGAAAGAAGAUACAAGCCUUUAAAUGCUUUACCAAUUUCCAGUUGUCUCUUCUGUGAAGAGUCCUGCAAAUAACAAAAGUCAUUAGUGAAUUGUAAGGUACAAUUCAGCUGACUUGUUAAUUUGCUCACAGAAAGAAGAUUGAACUGGAACAGUGGAACAUAUAAGACAUUGGCAAGAGUGAUAUCAUGUGAUAUUGGAACAGUGCCAAUGGAAGUGAUGUGUAAAAUGUGACCAUUAGGCAGAGAUAUGGUUAGAGGUGUGUUUAAGAUGGUAAGUGAACUGAAUAAAUGUUUCUGUGAACACAUAUGAUCAUUAGCCCCACUAUCUAUGAUCCAAGUAGUAGAGUCAGAUUGUGACAUACAAGCAACUAUAGAGUCUGAACAGAGAGAGUUACCAGCAAAGUUUGCAUAAGAAGUAUCUUGAUCUGGUGGCUUAGUAGUUUUGAGAAGCUGGAGCAAUUGAGAGUACAAUUCUGGAGUCAUAGCUGGAGCAGAAUUAUUUGAUGAAGUUGUAGAAUCUGCAACUGUGUCAGGAGUAGAAUCAUGUUGGAGGACAUCAGCAUUUGCAGCAAACCUUUUAGUAGACUUUGUGAACUUGAAAUCAGAUGGGAAGCCAUGAACUCUGUAACAUUUGUCAAUAGUGUGCCCUGUCUUCUUGCAGUAUUUGCAAGUAAGAUUAGAUUUCUUGAAUUGACCCUGAGAAGCCUGAGAAGUCUGAGAAGAAAAUGGCUUGGAAUUGACAUGAAGUGAUGUAGAAUCUGUUAUCAGAUUGUGAGAAGAAUGAAUUUCUCGUUGAGCUUCUUCCUGUAGAAGAAGAUUGUACACUUGACUGAUGGAUGGCAGAGGAUUGGACAUCAGAAUAGAACCUCUCAUCACAUUGUAAGAUUCAUUUAGACCCAUAAGGAAUUUGACAACUCGUUGAUUCUGACGCAAAACAGCAUUCUUAGGUGCUGCUUCACAGGUGCAAACAGGAGUGAGGCAAAGAGAAUCAACAUCAUCCCACAAGACUUUCAAUCUAGUGAAGUAAUCAGCAACAGUGCUAUUUCCUUGACGUAUUUCACAAAGAUCCUUUUGCAAAGCAAACAGUUGUGUUCCAUUAGAGACAUUAUAGCGCUCAUCAAGUUCUUUCCACAUUUGAUAAGCCGAAUCAGCACGACUAACACUACGAGCAAUGGUCUUGUCCAAGGCACCAAGAAUCCAUGAAAUUACCAUGUCAUUACAACGAGACCAGCUGGUAAACGAAGGAGAAGAAGGAUCUGGUUCUGGAAUCCUUCCAUCAACAAACCCUAACUUGUUGCGAGCAGAUAAGGCAAUUCUCAUUGAUCUUUUCCAACUACUAAAUCCAGUUCCAUCAAAACAAUCACUCACAAGUUUCAUUCCUGGACUGUCUGAUGAUUGCAAAUGCAGUGGAUUAUCUUGAAGAGUGGUAGAAUUGUGAUCGAAAACAUGAUUGUUUGAAGAACUCAUGAUGUUACAACUCAAAACAAUCAAUCAAUUAAGAAGGGAAGACUAAAUCUCUGAAUUAAUCGCUAUGGUAACGAACAAUCACCAGAGUAAAACGAGCAAGAUUGAACAAUCACGAAUCAACAAAACAAUCUAAAGAUGUUUACAAACAAAUAUGUACAGUAACAGAGAGGAAUAACGAAGUAAAGUGAGAAACGAAAUCACCGGAGAAAUCACCGGAGAUGAACAAGCAGCGGAGAUGAAGGAACAAGCAGCGGAGUUACAGCGGAGAUGAACGGAGAUGAGUAGAUCGGUGUCGCUCUGAUACCAUGUUGAACUCACAGUUUGUUAAGCUAACAUGGAGAGAGAGAACAGAAAAGUAAAACUUGUAUUCAACUAACUGAGUCUUACAGAGUGGCUUCACUACAAUAUAUACAAGCAAGCUAACUAAUUCUCUAACAAACUAUAUGCUGUUGACAGGCUGUAUGUACACGUGUAGUAUAGAGAAUAAAUAUUAAUCAUGUAAUGCCAACAGCAGUAAAUCAGAUCUUCAAAUCUGAGAUUAUAUUUUUGUUAUUUAUACAAAUAUUUGAGAUAUAAUCAAAAAGAAAAUUUGAUAUAUUUUAAUAAUAAAACUUGUUAAACUUGAAAACUAGCGCUUGAUUUCUCUGAAUUUUAAUAAAUUUAUAAUAAUCAAAAAGAAGUUUUAAUAAAUUCUAAAUUUGUCAAACAGAGUUUUAUCGUCUACCUAAACUAUUAAAAGAAUUUAACCAUUUCAUUCUCGUACUAUAAAUAGUAUUCUGCAGGAGCAAAUAAUUCACCAUCUCGACUUUGCAAUUCCACUCAUUGUAUUCUCAAACUCUUCCCUUUUCUUUUUACUAUUCAUAACAUAUAUACAAAAACAGAAGUUGAAAAAAUCAUUAUGGAUCCAACUAGCAUUCCCGUUGUGGGAAAAAUUGUGGAGAAAAUAUCCGAUAUAAUCGUGGCAGCUUUGUUUAGCCAUCUAAACUAUAUGUUUUGCUCCAAGUCUCUUGUUGAAGAUCUCAAAUCUGAGAAUGAAAAACUUGAGAUCGUGGAGAAUGUGAUGUCCAGAAAAGCUGAUGAAGAAAGUAACAACAGCAGAAUAAUGGAGAAGCAUGUGGUGGACUGGAAAAAAGCUGCCAGACAAAACCAGGAGAGUGUUAAAAGCUGUUUGGAAAAAUACGAUAACCGUCCUUCAGGGAGGUGCUUCCGGGGCUCCUUCAAAUUACUAACCACCCGGAACAAAAUCUUUACAAAACUAACCACCUUUUUUUUCACUUCACAAAACUAACCACCCUAAUUCAUAAUCAUCCAGAGGCGAACACCACACAAAAUAUUUUUGCAGGAGGCCCUUCCCAGGGGCGAACAACAAAGAAUUUUCCUUAUAUGUUCGCCCCCCCCCCACGGGCGAACAUAGUAGGGAAAUUUUUUGUUCGUUUGCUCAAAAAUUCUUCACUUUUCAGUUCGUUUAUUUAAUUUAUAAAAAAUUCAAAAAAAGGGAAAAUUGUGAUAAUUUAUAUUAUUAUAUUUUAUAAUAUUAUAUUAUAUAAUGAUAUAAUAUUACAAAAUUAUUUUAUAUUAAAAUAUAAUAUUUUAAUAUUUAAGUUCAUAUUUAAGCUCAUAAAAGAUAAAUAAUAUUGUUAUUGUUUUAUUUUUGUUAAUCCGAAAACGUCAUGUAAUAUCUUGUCCCGAAUGCAUUUGAUCAAACACAGCACUUUUAUUCAUAGAAGAUAUUAAAACAACGAUAACACGACUUAAAUUGAAAAGCAGAAAACAAUCACGACGAAACUACAGACCACUUAAUCGUCCUCGGACGACAUUACACUAUCAGAAUAAUAAUCCGGAGUGGUGACCAAUGCAAGGUAUUGUUGUUCCUUAAACCGGUCCCCUUCUUCCCGAAACAUCCUAGCAUCAUCGUAUAGACUAUGACGAUGCAGUCGCAGAUUCAUGCGAUUCUCCUCUUCUCUCGCUCUGAGAGGGCGGCCGUCCACGCUGCUGCGGCNNNNNNNNNNNNNNNNNNNNNNNNNNNNNNNNNNNNNNNNNNNNNNNNNNNNNNNNNNNNNNNNNNNNNNNNNNNNNNNNNNNNNNNNNNNNNNNNNNNNNNNNNNNNNNNNNNNNNNNNNNNNNNNNNNNNNNNNNNNNNNNNNNNNNNNNNNNNNNNNNNNNNNNNNNNNUCCCGAAAGGACGGGUCCUGGGUGAAGUGGGGGAGGUGUGUGAUCCUCUAAGAAUGACAUGUCAGGACGAUAUACAUAUGACUCUGACAAGUGAUCCUGUGACGGACCCUCAUCGUCCUGUGCCUCAUCAUCCCCUAAUCUGCUCCUUUGGGGCCAUGGAACCCCCUCAGAUGUAGAAGGCUGAAUGAAUGGAGACCAACCACCAGCCUCAAAAGUACCUGCUCCAUCAUGACCUGCAGAAUGUGAGGUGCCUGCAAGGUGUGAGCUACCCACAUGGGUGUAGUAAGUGCCCUCUUCGGGCACUACCGGUGUGACUGGUGGUCGUCCCCUACGCCCUGCAGGAGCCCGUGCCCUAGGUCUGGCAGGGGCCUGUUCCGUAGGUCGACGCUGUACACGAGUAACCAUAUCCUGUAAAAUAUGGUUUGCCAGACCCAAAUCAGGAGCAUAAGGGUCAAUGGCACGCUGCAUAGCGGAUAACUGCUCCUCCUGUUUACAAACAUGUAUAUUUAAGUCAGAACAGUGUACAAAACAAGCUGAGAACAUGUAUAUUUAAGCAUGUAUAUUUAAGCAUGUAUAUUUAAACAUGUAUAUUUAAGCUGUAUAUUUACCAGUUCCGGUGUCGAGAGCUGUGUUCCCUGGAAGGCACCCUCCUGCUGUGGCCAGUGUAAGGGGUUAAUGAUGAUUCGACGUGUGACCCUGUGGAACCAUGGCAGGUAUGAGGCAGUGCAACCCUCGCCAUGCAUAAGUGGAGGAGAUGCGAGGGCACGCUCCAUGCGCGAAUCCCAAAGAUCAACAAAUGGCUCCCUCGCGUACAUCCAAUCAACCUGCUCGUUGUAGUGGUCGUGCGAUUUGCAAAAAUAAAAACUGCAAAUAAAAGUACAUUUGAUAAGUUCGAGGUCUUUAAUAUUCUCAAUCCUGAGUUAUGUCGACAUAAUAGUCGGAAUCAUAAUCUUCAUCAUCAUCUUCAGCAUCAGCGGCCACCGAGGUAUGCUUUUCAUAGGUAAAUCAGCAUAUGGCCUCCAUCGAAACUGUCGGGGUGUCAACGCAUCCAACUCAUAUUGUGUCAUGCGGCUCUGCGCAUGCGGCACCUGACAACGCCUAAGUGGCGCCUUCCACCUACAGUGGAAGUUGGCAUAAGUGCUCAGAGGUUAUACAUGCAACAAAUAUGAAUUGAAGUUAAUCAACAAAAGGAGUGACAACAUACCUCAGCGCCAGCGGGUACUCGAACAAGGGUUGACCCCUGUGCCUAGGCGCUAGUGACGGAAAGCGCUCGUAAAUCCACACCUAGCGGCAAGGUUAGUACAAGUGCACAUGAUGAAUAAAUAAUACAACAAUAAAGACGAGAAAUAAAUAUUACUUAAUUUUAAAUUCGAAAUAAUUAUCUCUAACUAUUUUUACAAAUCUGAUUUUUUUAAUUUAAACUAGUAAUCUAAACUAAAAUUAGCACUACCACUACUAAUCAACAACAAUCAUCACCAACUACUAAUCUAUUUAAUUUAAUGGUGUCAAGUUUACUUUUAAAUUCGAUUUAAUUUAAUUUCAUUAAAUUCAAUAAAAGCUAAAAUUAAAUUGAUUACUGAUGAUUAGGGUAGGGAGAGGAAUAUGGUACACCCUGCAUAAAACCAAACUGCCUCGUCACCCUGUCCGUGUAGCACCACUCGACGUAGGACAUGUACAUCAUGGGGGCGGGAGCCGUCCAACGCAAGUACACAGUGGCCUCCGGGUGAUGCUCUGCAGGUAAAUCAGCAUAUGGCCUCCAUCGAAACUGUCGGGGUGUCAACGCAUCCAACUCAUAUUGUGUCAUGCGGCUCUGCGCAUGCGGCACCUGACAACGCCUAAGUGGCGCCUUCCACCUACAGUGGAAGUUGGCAUAAGUGCUCAGAGGUUAUACAUGCAACAAAUAUGAAUUGAAGUUAAUCAACAAAAGGAGUGACAACAUACCUCAGCGCCAGCGGGUACUCGAACAAGGGUUGACCCCUGUGCCUAGGCGCUAGUGACGGAAAGCGCUCAUAAAUCCACACCUAGCGGCAAGGUUAGUACAAGUGCACAUGAUGAAUAAAUAAUACAACAAUAAAGACGAGAAAUAAAUAUUACUUAAUUUUAAAUUCGAAAUAAUUAUCUCUAACUAUUUUUACAAAUCUGAUUUUUUUAAUUUAAACUAGUAAUCUAAACUAAAAUUAGCACUACCACUACUAAUCAACAACAAUCAUCACCAACUACUAAUCUAUUUAAUUUAAUGGUGUCAAGUUUACUUUUAAAUUCGAUUUAAUUUAAUUUCAUUAAAUUCAAUAAAAGCUAAAAUUAAAUUGAUUAUAUUUAAUCUACUCUUAACGUAAAUAAUACAACAAUCAUCACCAACUACUAAUCUAUUUAAUUUAAUGGUGUCAAGUUUACUUUUAAAUUCGAUUUAAUUUAAUUUCAUUAAAUUCAAUAAAAGCUAAAAUUAAAUUGAUUAUAUUUAAUCUACUCUUAACGUAAAUAAUACAAUAAUCAUCACCAACUACUAAUCUAAACUAAAAUUAUCACUACCACUACUAAUCAACAACAAUCAUCACCAACUACUAAUCUAAACUAAAAUUAUCACUAACAUAAGCUACUACCAAAUACCAACUAACAAAACCCAUUAUAAAUUAUCAAACAAAUUACUAAUCAAGUCUAAUUUUUAAUUCAUUCAAAAUAUGAGAUCUACACUAAUUUUCCCAAUUUUAUAAUUCGAAAAAAUUGUACUAUAUUUAGGAUUUUUUUAUGCAAUAUUUGUUAUUAAAUUCGAAAAUUAUUUUAAUUAAAUCAAAUAAUUAAAACGCUAGUGACGGAAAGCGCUCGUAAAUCCACACCUAGCGGCAAGGUUAGUACAAGUGCAAAUGAUGAAUAAAUAAUGCAACAAUAAAGACGAGAAAGAAAGUUGUGGUUGGUUUAGUAUUACCUGUACCAAUGUGGCGUAGCCACAGAAAUCAGUACAGUUAGCCCUGCUAGAAGAACAUAGCUUCUGGUAUAGGAAGCCAAGAACAGCACUACCCCAGCUAUACCGACGCAGCUGGUCCAUGUCCCUCAUUAACCAUAGAAGGUCAAGCUGCACGCGGUUCCCGCUGCUGUGGGGGAACAAUGAUCCAAUAACGCAUAGUAGGUGCGCCCGAAUAUGGUAGGUAACCUGUACACCAUAACCUAUAUCCUCUGGAUCCAACUGCUCCAACCGCUCACAAGACCCGAAGUUAUCCACAAGCCAUUUGAUCUUUAAACCACCUCGGUUAACAUCGUCCUUGGCUUCUGGUAAUAGCCCAAGAAAUUCGCCUACUAGCACGCGCCUUUCCUCCACGCUGGUACUCGCUCCACGGAGGAUCAGUGGAUCCACCCUCAGGUACGGGUNNNNNNNNNNNNNNNNNNNNNNNNNNNNNNNNNNNNNNNNNNNNNNNNNNNNNNNNNNNNNNNNNNNNNNNNNNNNNNNNNNNNNNNNNNNNNNNNNNNNNNNNNNNNNNNNNNNNNNNNNNNNNNNNNNNNNNNNNNNNNNNNNNNNNNNNNNNNNNNNNNNNNNNNNNNNNNNNNNNNNNNNNNNNNNNNNNNNNNNNNNNNNNNNNNNNNNNNNNNNNNNNNNNNNNNNNNNNNNNNNNNNNNNNNNNNNNNNNNNNNNNNNNNNNNNNNNNNNNNNNNNNNNNNNNNNNNNNNNNNNNNNNNNNNNNNNNNNNNNNNNNNNNNNNNNNNNNNNNNNNNNNNNNNNNNNNNNNNNNNNNNNNNNNNNNNNNNNNNNNNNNNNNNNNNNNNNNNNNNNNNNNNNNNNNNNNNNNNNNNNNNNNNNNNNNNNNNNNNNNNNNNNNNNNNNNNNNNNNNNNNNNNNNNNNNNNNNNNNNNNNNNNNNNNNNNNNNNNNNNNNNNNNNNNNNNNNNNNNNNNNNNNNNNNNNNNNNNNNNNNNNNNNNNNNNNNNNNNNNNNNNNNNNNNNNNNNNNNNNNNNNNNNNNNNNNNNNNNNNNNNNNNNNNNNNNNNNNNNNNNNNNNNNNNNNNNNNNNNNNNNNNNNNNNNNNNNNNNNNNNNNNNNNNNNNNNNNNNNNNNNNNNNNNNNNNNNNNNNNNNNNNNNNNNNNNNNNNNNNNNNNNNNNNNNNNNNNNNNNNNNNNNNNNNNNNNNNNNNNNNNNNNNNNNNNNNNNNNNNNNNNNNNNNNNNNNNNNNNNNNNNNNNNNNNNNNNNNNNNNNNNNNNNNNNNNNNNNNNNNNNNNNNNNNNNNNNNNNNNNNNNNNNNNNNNNNNNNNNNNNNNNNNNNNNNNNNNNNNNNNNNNNNNNNNNNNNNNNNNNNNNNNNNNNNNNNNNNNNNNNNNNNNNNNNNNNNNNNNNNNNNNNNNNNNNNNNNNNNNNNNNNNNNNNNNNNNNNNNNNNNNNNNNNNNNNNNNNNNNNNNNNNNNNNNNNNNNNNNNNNNNNNNNNNNNNNNNNNNNNNNNNNNNNNNNNNNNNNNNNNNNNNNNNNNNNNNNNNNNNNNNNNNNNNNNNNNNNNNNNNNNNNNNNNNNNNNNNNNNNNNNNNNNNNNNNNNNNNNNNNNNNNNNNNNNNNNNNNNNNNNNNNNNNNNNNNNNNNNNNNNNNNNNNNNNNNNNNNNNNNNNNNNNNNNNNNNNNNNNNNNNNNNNNNNNNNNNNNNNNNNNNNNNNNNNNNNNNNNNNNNNNNNNNNNNNNNNNNNNNNNNNNNNNNNNNNNNNNNNNNNNNNNNNNNNNNNNNNNNNNNNNNNNNNNNNNNNNNNNNNNNNNNNNNNNNNNNNNNNNNNNNNNNNNNNNNNNNNNAAUUCCAAAAUCGAAAUAAUUCAAAUUAAAUUCGAAAAUGUGAGAUUGCUUAUUUUUAUUCUAUUUUUUAACGUAAAACACCCAAAUUUAAUCUACUAACCUAAUUUCUAAAUUUAAUCUACUAACCUAAUUUCUAAAAUUAACAUAAUCUACUAACAAAUACCAACUAACAACAUUCAUUAUAAAUCAUCAUACAAAAUUACUAAUCAAGCUUGUCAUAUAAUUUGUAGCUACUAGCAACUAAGAACAAUCAUUAUAAAAUUUAUAAAAAUACAUGCAUGCAAUUUGAUGAGAUUGAGAAUGGUGGAAAAACCUUGAAAAUGGGUGAAAUUGAUUAAUUUGAUCCGGUGAAAGUAGCAAAGCAAGCUCCUUUUUCCCCCCUUUUCUCUGUCCGGAUCACCCUUUCUUCUAGAAAUUGAAGCUUGCAAUGUGUGAAAAUCUGAGAAGAAGCUGUUUGCUGCGGCGAAGAUGAAGAAGAAACAAAGGGGUUGGGGUUUUGAGGGGUAAAAGGGACACGUGGCCGCCCCUGACUGGGCCGGACACGUCAAUGCUUCACAGGUAUGUUCGCCCGUGGCAGGGGCGAACACACUUGCCUGGAGUUCUUCUGUUCGCCCGUAGCAAGAUCUGGGCUUAAAAAAAAAUUUCAGCUGUGUUCGCCCGAGGGGUGUAUGAAUUAGGGUGGUUAGAAAUGUGAAGUGAAAAAAAAGGUGGUUAUAUUUGUAAAGCUUUUGUUCAAGGUGCCUAGUAAUGUGAAGGAGCCGUGCUUCCGGUGUCUCCCAAUUCCUCAUCCCUUCUCCCGUUACAGAUUAGGCAUGGAGGCGGAAUCGAUAGCCAAGACAACAACUGAAUUAGCUACUUCCGGAAAUGGCUACCUGGCUCACCCAAUUGCAUAUCUCCCACUGGAUAUGAAAGCACCAGUAACUGAAUUUCAUGAAUUCAAAUCUAGAGAAGAGGCUUAUCAAAAGCUGGAAGGGCUAGUCACCGAUUCUAGUUCUUCAAUCCUUGGGAUAUACGGAAUUCCAGGAACAGGAAAGACUCGAUUAAUGGAGCGAAUCACGACAGAAGUUGGUAAGAAGGGAACCUUUGACAAGGUCGUACGAGCCAAUGUGAGGAACGCGAAGUUGGAUGUGAUAGGCAUACAACAACAGCUUGCAGGGAAGCUAGGUUGCGACUUUGAAUCUGAAACUGAUGUGGAACGUAGAGCUGGUCAGCUGAGAUCUAGUUUAAGGCAGGGAGGUAAGGUACUCGUCAUACUAGACGACCUAUGGAGUGAAAUUCCUUUAGAUAGAAUCGGAAUUUUGUCUGAAGAUGGUAUGAGUUCCAAGGGCGGUAAGAUUCUGUUGACAUCACGAAGUGAGGAGGUAUGCAAGAGCAACAAAUGCAAGCAUCCAGUCAAAAUACAACCUCUUACAUUUCCCGAAACUUGGGAUAUGUUCAGCAAAACAGUUGGUGCUGAUACAAUCAACUCUUUGCAGAAUAGAUCCCUUGCCUAGGACAUCUGUAAGAGAUGCGGGGGUUUACCACUAGUCGUUCUUGCUAUAGGUAAAGCGCUCAAAUUUAAGCGUCUUGCUUCAUGGAUGGAUGCACUCAAUCAACUUAAAAAUUCCAAUAUUGAAGAAGUUCCUGGAAUAGGUAAAGAAGAGUAUGCGUGUUUAGAGUUGAGUUUUGAUAACUUGGAGCACGACGAUGCAAAGAAAUGUCUCUUGUUGGCUUCUAUGUGCCCUGAAGAUGCUGACAUUCCUACGAGGAUGGUGGUUCAGUUAGCAAGAGGCUCCCAGCUUGUGAAGGGUGAUGAAAUAAAAUUAAGAGUACAUUCAAUGAUAUCUAUACUGCAGUCAGCCUCGUUGUCGCUUCAAGGGAAGGAUGGUGAUCAUAUCAAACUACAUGACAUCAUAAGGGACAUGGCAAGAUCCAUUGCCAAGAAACACCACGGAUUCUUAUUCGCAAGAAGUAGGUCGUUGCCCAAUGAUUCAGCUGAGUACUCUGGUCUGAAAGUUCUGCAUUUAGAUGUAGAGGAGACUCAUUCACGUUUUCCAAGUGAUGUGGAGUGCCCAGACCUGCAUCUACACUGUCACUACAUUCAUCAUCAUCUACAUAUAUUGACCCAACACCGAUGCAGGUAUUCAUAGACUGUUUUACAUAUUCACUCAAUUGAUGAUAACUAUGAUGAUUAGUGUUAUAGAACGUAAAUUGGGACCUUGUAGCACUUUUAAGCGGUUGAGUGAACGUUUAAGUAGAAUUUUGAGGCGCUCAAUAGCGGAUCAAUAAUAUAUAAUUAAAUAUUUAAUUGCAAUAUUAAUUUAGUUAAAACUAAAGUUAUCUAUUGGUUAGAAUUUAAAUU
rnacentral:lncRNA from 1 species